rnacentral:lncRNA from 1 species
AACACUAUACAAGAACUCAACUCGGAACUAGGGCUUCUCAUACUCAAAAAGGAAAUAGGGACAUUCAAUCAAUGCUAACAGAAAUGCAUAGAACACAGGCUUUCACCGGUGCUUCUAAGAACCAACCUCAUAAUAAAGAAUACACCUUACUUAUAACAGGGCUUUGGUACUAGGCCGGCAAUCCAACUAUUCACAUUGGAACUAAGCUCGCUAGCUACAUUCUCUAAUUAACGAUCCGAUCCUUGCUUUUACUUAUAAACACCUGUACUACUUCCUGGUAUUCUCUCUACCUCGACUUCGAACCUUGCCUUACCGGCUAUCACUAUUGCCUUUCGCUCUUCUACCGCUACCUAUGAGCAUACCUUGCCUUACCUUCUCUUAGGCUCUCAGCACCUUGCUUUUGAAUUCCCAAACCUCCCUUACCGGAGCUGAACUCUACCUUGAAUCUUGGCAUCCCGCUACCUCAACUCUCAAGUAAUAUAUGGUUAUUUGCGCUGAGGGAACUAACUAUCUUAUAUAAGAGAUAUAUAAUAGAAUAUCAUUGGCACGGAUGAAACUAGCUUAAGAAGAGAAGGAGCCUUCUGAAUCACCUAAGCAGUGAAAGCCCGCAAGCAAGGACUAUGCUUUGGGCAAGAAAGACAAUGAAUUCCAGAAAGAUAACGAAUUUGAUGAAAAGUCUAAUUAGAGAAAUCAAAUGUACUAUGCCUCUACAAGCUGGCUACGUUACCUACACCAUCUGGCAAUAAAUAGACUGUUGAAGUGAAGCGACAUAGAAUAGAGUUCUUUCUUGCGUGAUCCACAUAUCUAUUGAUUCUGUAAAGCUAAUACCAUUCAACGUUAAGUCAGCAUCUACAUCACGAUACGUACACUACUCAUACCAUCAUUGCAAGGCUAAGCAAAGGGCGGGCUCUAGCCUAUGUUCGUAAGUCUCUAAGUUUCCUUCUUUACUGUAUAGAAAGAUUGAGCUAUAAAGGCAUAGCUAACUAUCAUAUACUGGACUGGCGAUAGAUGGUGCGUAGCAGCUCGACAUAGGGUAGCUAGCUCGACAGCUAAGGCCAUCAGCUUUCUUUAUUUGUUAGCUUCCCGAAGAGAUGAGAUGCGUCUUCGAAUCAAAGGGAGAGGAAGUAUGGUCUUGCUUGGGAAAAUGGAUGGAAUUCUGAAUGGAACAAGCCCCCAAGAAGGCAGGCAGGAUUUAGUACCAAAAGAAGGCAGGCAGGAUUUAGUAGGGUCAUUUUUCUUGAAAGACGUAGGGGAUGCAGGAUAGCCUCUUAUAUUCUCAUUUGGAUUCCGAGACUCCGUUUACCCGGGCCCCUUUUUCCUUGCUCACCCUUUCUUUCUCUUUCGGGGAUUUUCGAAGUGUUCCUAUUCUUAUGAUGAGAUCAGUAGUAUUCCUAUUCUUAUGAUUAGAUCAGUAGGAAGGAAGAACAACUUAACGGGAUAUAUUUUGCAUUACCAAAACAGAGGUCACCCUUUUUCUUCUUUCUUUGCUAAGCUCUUCCAUUUUAGGAGUGAACCCGAGCCGAGUCUAAUAAUGAAUUCGUUUUUGGAAAUUGUCCAUGUCUGCUUGUUCUUCUGUACGGCCAUAUUACAAGUCAUUUGCUAACAUUUCGGGAACCUUUGGUGGUCUUUUUGUUCCAAACAUCGCAUCCUGUAUUGCUGGUUCCUUUUUCAAAGAGCUAGCUCAUUAGCUAUCAGUGAUUGGGGCUUGUUGAAAGCAUCUACUCGAGUGUUUCGAUAAACGUACCAGUCAUCUCAACCAUUCCAAAUUCCUAUCUUUCUAGCCAGCAGCCUAUUACGUAAACAGCUUUGUCAACAAAGACAUAUACAUUGUCAAAUAAAUCCUUUGGCCAGGUUAAGUCAAGAGAAAUCGCAGGAUAAACCGUGGGGAGAUUAGUGAAGCUAACGAUCGAUAUAAGCUCAAACAAUUCCCAAGCACAACAAUUGCAAUAGCUGCUGCUUGAAAAGCUCAGGUAGUUCUUGGGACCUUCACAUUCACAAGAUCUCAAUUGAUAAGGUAGUGGUUAUAGAGUAAUGAAAGAGCCGAUUGUCUGAUGUGCUCGUCAGGUAGGAAGGAGAUGACCAUCGUGCUGAUUCGGGGAAAAGACAGCAAAGAAGCUCUAUCGAAUGAAGACCGUGCUCCCUUCUUUAUAGGGAGGAUAUCUUCUGCCCGCGGCUAAGUAGUGAAAGGGGUCUUUGGUUCUCCCCUAAGGCUGGAGAGGAUCCUUACCGCUAAGAAAUAUUCUCAUGUUAUAUCUACGCCAUGAUAUCAAUCAGGUGGUUUAGAACUCAAUGAAUAUGGCUUCAUCUUCCGCUAUAUUCUCUCUUUGAAAUCAGGCUUUACCUGGGCCGCUUCUCUACCGAGAUCCCUUCGAUGGAUGUCACCGUGCUUGUCUCUUCUCAACAGGAUUUGGAUGCUAUUUAAGACUUCUGGAAUAUGGAAUAUAACUACUAGCAUCGGUCCCUUCCACUCGGCAAAGACCCCUCUAUCGUUCGAGCAAAGGACGCCUAACCUUACAGAGGAAAUACCUCGAUGCGAAAGAGCUAGAUCAUUAGUUUAUCUGGGAGGAAUUCCUUAGGACUUUUCUUAGUAAUGGUAACGAAGGUAUGCCAAGGGAAGCUCGGGCCAACCUAUGUCUCAGUAGCUGCCCGAGAAAGGACCACUCAAUCCAGACAGGUUCUCGCAAGUGCCUUUCAAACGAGAGGCAAGCCAUGGAAGUACCGCUAGGUAGGGAGCUCGCUCCUACGGAAUUGGAUGUCUGAUCCAAAUAAGGGCCUUCCAACGGAGAUUCAAGAAGAGAAGAGAGGACCCGUAGUCACAACGCGUGUCGAGCCUAUGAGUGGAGUGGAACUUAUAAGAAAAAAAGACCCGACAGAGCAGGAAGUGACCAAGUGCGGUUUACUACAGAACCUGCCCCGUCUAUCUCAUCGAGAUCUAGAGGAUUACACCUUACCCCUGAACAGAUUAAGAUCAGCUUCGACCAAACCUAGGGUAAACUACCGGUUCUUUACAAGGGCCGGGCCCACUAUGAAAUAAAGUGGUACGUGAGUCUUCUGCACAGGUAGCAAGAACAAGGUUCCUCUCGCACUCGCCCGCAUAAGAUAGAAAGGAGGCUAUGACAACCACUACAGGAUUUGAGACUCUUUCUUUACAGGAUUUACAACAUGAGAAGCUUUACAGACAGAUAUGUGAGAAAGGAAUGAAUUGAAUCUGAUAGAUAAACCGGCUUAGGAGACUACUUUUGUAGACCCUGAUUCCAGAACUAAUAGCCUAAUUCAAGCGUAGAUUUGCUUGCUCCCCCAAUAUAAAGGAUUCUAUGGCAUCUAGGUUCGCUUUCAUCCCCUCAGUAACGAAUUCCCUUACUAACAACCAAUCGAACUCUGCGCCAUGCCAGAAAGAUUGAUUUCAUGUGUACGGUGAGGAGCCCCUUGCCUCUAACCCUUUCAGCACCGAGGCAUUCCAAGUCUCCGGCCGUGUUUUUGGUAUACCGCAUCCUUCUUUCUUGUGUAGGGUUAAACGUUCCCUUCCCUUCCUAUUGCCUCAGCUACUAUGGAAAUUGCUAGGGAGAAUGGCUCGACGGAAAAGGGAUAGGUAAGAGAAUAAGAUCUCCGACCAGCGCCCAGUCGCCUUCUCUUUCCUAGCUAACAGAUCGAACAACGUUGACCCCGAACCUACUCCGGAUCCCUUCAUGUUUCUUUCUCUCUUUAUCACAUCACCUGGUUCAUUUGUUGAUUUCUCUCUUUAUCACAUCACUGGAGCUGGACUCUCCUUCUGCCCUAUUAUUAAGUACACUGCUUCCCUUGAUUCUUCUCAGUAUACGAGUUAGGGCAAUAAGAUCUUUUCGCGUCUAUAUGCCUUUGUUUAAGCUGUCGUAUACAGCAACUCUAUCGAAAGAGAAAAAGGAUCCUGCCUCUUGCCAGCCUCAAGUAUGUAAUGCUAAUGGUUCGGAAACUUGCCCGGUCUGAGUCUAUUCUAUCGACGGAAAGCUUCUAUCGCGGUGCAAAUCAUGUGAGUACCACCAGAGGAAGUUCCUGCUCGUGGGCUAGAUUCAAGCCAUGAUUCCAAAUCCGUGGUCUCUGCCAGUGUGGAGUGUUGGGGAUAGCUGGGUCUAUAUGUAGUGGUUGGGGUAUAUAGACUCAAUGUAUAAAGCACAAAUCGGAAAUGGAAAUGAGUUCCCCGACGAAAUGCGAUUACGGGCUAAGGAUGGGACCGCCGGUCGAGAGGCAAAUAGGAACAGGGUAUGGCGCCCCAUCUUGCAAGGAAGUCUUAUCAAGUUAUCCAAGAAGAGAGAAGGCUUCCAAACCGGAUCUAUGACUUCACCCCUUAUCUUUUCCCUUGAAAGCCCUUCUGGUUCAAUGGAAGCUAGACCUAAAAACUAGACGACCACCUGAUAGUAGAACAUACACCAAAGCGUUUCGGGUUCGAUUUAUUAUGCAGUUAGGAGUGGGGCGUGCUAGCGGGAAGUAUGGUUAUGAACAUAUAUCAAGCCCUAAAUAAACCAUCAGAUCCUUAUCCUGACUUCACUGUACCUUAGCCUAUAUCUCAAGGAUGAAACUCUAGCUCACCAGGGGAGCAGGUAAUUCUCGACUCCCCGCUUCAAAGUCGCCAAGCAACUACUAAUGACCAAGCUUAGGCGUAAGACUAAGUGCGGUAGCAAUAGUAAUAGGCCAAGCAACUACUAACGUUGCGCGGCAGGGCCGCUCCACUCUUUUUAUUACAAUAGAUGUUUUUGGGGCCGCUAGUUCCUGCUCCUUCUGAUUGAGUUUCUUUCCUUGCCGACCUAGACCCUACUUUAGAACCAGAACAGUGAAUUCUGCAUCUGUAUUCCGAACCUACUUCUAUUGUUUGAGCACCCGAACCCGUGUUUUGGUGAGUUCCUGUGUGAGCCUUUACACUAGAUCUUAUUCUUAUGUACUAGAUCUUAUUCUAGAUGCAGGGAAUAAAUACCUUUGAAAGAGAGGUCGGGUUGGUUACUUCUUGUACUGGCUUGGCUCUUACUUGAAACUAGCACUCCUGGCUCGGCUCCUGUUGAAAUUCUUUCCUAUUCUUAGCGCUCAUAUAACUUCAUUCUUAAAACAAUAGCAAGUGGGCAAGCAGAGAGUAGCAACUAAAGUAGUUGACAGAGCAGCAAGUGGAGUGGGCAAGCAGAGAGUAGCAACUAUAGUAGUUGACAGAGCAGAGGUAGGUAGGACAGAGCAGAGGUAGGCUUGGUAAGCUAUGAAAGUCUAGUUGCUAGUAGCUAGUUGCAAGAGGAGAAGAUUCAGUGCUUGUGUUAAGCAAUGAUCAAAAGAGAGAAUUAUGGGGCUCUGAUCUCUACUAAUUAACUCCUAAAUUCAGUAUUGAUCUAUAUAUAGGAUGACAGAUACCGGAUGAAACAAGACCUACUCAUACCUUGCACUAUGCCUUUCCGAUCUCAUAUCUGUUUGCCUUAACUCCAAGAAUGCCCUCCCCCUCUUUGACUCUUCAAUUACAAACUAUAAGAAGGGAGCUACUGAUCUCAAUGCCGAGUUUGUCUAUCCCACAGCUUUAUCUCAAUCUGAUAUUCCUGUCUCUUGACCUGUCCUUACUCGAUGUUAGCCUUUCCUUACAGGUUCUGAUUCUUUUAUUGUGAAUUAUUUAUGAUAUUGAUAAUAUGUUUAUUUACUUAUAUUUGAUAGUACGAUCUAGCGCAUAUAGGUAUAAAAUGAGUAUCAGGUAUAAGAAAAAGAAAUAGGUGAAGUACGAAUCGAACUACAAACAACAAGGGAUUGAACCACAGCCAAAAGACUGGGAUUUGGAAUACAGGAUACAGUUCUGUAACUACAGGAUCAAUAGAUAUAAUUGAACACGGACAUACAAGACUGGCACCCGAAGGCAUAGAGAGUAAGGAACAAAUAUAUAUUAAUUUGCUAUGAGCUAGUCCUGUUUUCUAGAGUAUAGUUGACUUUACAAGCACCCCUUUUACUUUGCCACUUCUGUUGUAUAGGCAUAAACCGACUAAGCUCUAUUAUAUGUAUGAAAUGAUGUAUUAACUGACAUGCCUGUCUUUACUUCGACUUCUGACUUAUCUCUUGAUACCCUUGCUUUCGUUCUCAAUACCUGACAUCAGUAUUUCUCUCCCAACUCUUCAAAAAGUACCCCGUCCGGGAUUUGAUUCUUGUACUACUCGCUCGCAUUCUUGUAGUUAUCCCUCGCACUACUGCUUAUAGGGUUACUUGCACUAUUUCGUUCUCAUUUACUACCGCAUAACUUACGUAGUUACUUGGCCCUGGCGCUGUAGCUGAUGCUUACUCUCUUUCACUUAUAAUAUAGGAAUUGGAUCAAGCACGAACCUAUCUCCACCUACUCGGUAAAGUUGUAAACCCUCCGGAGCGAGUCCUUUCUUCACCCGCUUACCCCCUUCUUAAGCAUUCCGUUCUUCAAUUCUUUCUCUUUUCUGUCGAACUCACAACUUGAAGAACCGCUUCGUCGAUAGGGGCUGGCGCCUUAACUCGCACCGCUGAUUCACUUGUUCUUGUUCGGCUUGCUGCUGACGCGCACUGCUUCUAGAUACGAUGAAAUUAGAACUCCAUUUCAUACAGCGGAUUCUCUAUCUCUAUCGUCUAAAACAAGACUUUCACUUAAAGUGGAGUUCCUUCCUGUGGUUGCUGCUGACUUGAGAGAACUGUUUCUAACUGGGAUGAAACAACAAAUGAAACUCUACACGCAACUCCAAUGGAUCACGCUUCCACGUCCUUUCUUUUGCCCUCUUUCUUUCAUACAGGUUGUUGGAAGCAAAGCAGUGAGUCAGGAGCUGCCCGCUCACGUAAGCGCAACAAAGAUGAGUCACCGCAAGCGCCUUACUCUUUCUUUUUCCACUAAUAGAACAAAGUCACCUAAUUCCUGACUCUUUGAACUUUCCCUCUACAUUGAGACCAGGUGAGACAAGACAGACAGACUAGUGAGCCCUUCCACCCUUGCAAGAUUUAGGUCCAAAAGCGGGUCGUAGAAAAAGCACUGCGGAUAAAAGAGGGUAGAGUGGAGAGUGUUUGAGGGGCCGGGCCGGUAAGAUGAGCUUUGUUCUGUUCCUAAUACGUUUCCUACAGAAGAAAAGCAGAAGGAGCCCAAACCAAACUACAGCAUCAAAGAGAAGGACGGCCCUGUAGUUUUUAACCGGAAGUAAGCAAUGCUCAGUUGGGUUCCCCUCUUUCGGAAGUAAGCAAUGCUUAGUUAGGUUACCUUCUUUCUUAUAUCAAAUAUGUCAGUGAUAUUCCCCUCAAGAAAAAAGCAAUGGCGUUAACGCUACUACUUUAGGUUUCGGGGUGCGAGAGUGAAUUCGUGUAAACACAGGCCCUACUGCUCCCCUACUACUCUACUAUAUUGCUGUCAAAGAAUUCUUUCUUACUGCAGUCAUAUAAGAUGAUAGGAAUUUCUAAGACAACUCACUCCCUUCCUGUCUCGUUAGCGCAAGGCAGCUCACUUACCUCUGACUUUAGCGCUGACUGCGUUCCAAAGCAUUCAACAUUGUCUUUAUAGGAUCACUUUUGCACACUGCUUCCACGGCUUCUGAUCUUGUCGAUGCACCAAUCUCUUCUCUUAGCGCCUAAGCUUGUUAUAGCGCUGUUGCUUGUUCAAAAGCCAUUACUUGUUCAAAAGCCAGUAGGUAUGUCUGUCUAUUCUUCCCCUGCUUGUUCGAACUCAACCUAAACUCGCUUGUCUCAUUUAGUGCAAGAGAAAUAGGGCGAUAAGAGCCCGGUUUGCUUGUUCGGUAACAACAUAUCCUACUGCUUAGAGGGACAUAUUCCAGAAUCAAUAGGGUCACCAACCAGCUUACAGCUUACAGCAUACUAAACAAACUUCUGAAAGACUCUAUGCUUUAGUUACCGAAUAUCAUGAUUACUGCAGACUACUAUAAGCUACAAUUAUUGACUGACCACAGCAUCUGCUCUCUAUACUUGUAAAGGCAGGAGUCUUUCUUACUCCAUUUCUUCUAUAUGUGUGGAUAUCCAUCCAAUAUUCUCUUCUAUUAGACUACUUUAUAUUCUACUACUGCUCGAUGUUCUAUCAUAUUCUACUACUGCUUGCUCGAUGUCAAGUAUCAAGUUUAGUCUAAAGUUUCGUAUUGAAAAGAAGGGGCGCCGAUAUGAGUGCAACAAUCAAUAUGUAUGCUCAGUUAGUAAUCUAUUAUAUUAGUAGCAAGAGAGAUGAAAUGAAACAAGCAACCAUUAUACUAAGUAGCGCAACUAGUUCCAUUCAAAAGGUUAUUCACUCUGUUAGCUAGUUAUUUAGCGAUAGUGCUUCUUUUUCCCUAAAGGCUUCCUUACUUCACUAAUGAAAGCUUACUCAGUUGCUUGUCACCCUCUGCUUGUUUCAAAAGAAUUCCGCUAGCUCUAAUAUAGACCGACACAGCGGUAAACUUAACUGACCGACAAAGAAAGCGUUAAACAAACUCCUUACUGCUUGUUCUCUAUGCUUUUCCUAACAACACAGCGGACUACGAAACUCUAUAAACUCCCUCACUCUCCACUCCACUCAAUAAGCCUUAGCACGCAAAACUGCUUAUGGAACUCUAGCUAACUCAGGACGCGAGCUACUUAAGCUAACGGAGAAUCUUGCUUGUUCCAAUUGCUAGUGGAAUUGAAUUGUUGAAUGCUCAACUGCUCUUGUUGCCUAGUUGCUAUUCCCUUACUCACUUCCGAAACUCACCACUGGUUUCCAUUGAAGCCAUAGGUAUGUAGCCUAUGGGGUAUCAUAAGACAGAAAGUAAUGUUUGAGUUUCAAGAUAGGGUAUAGAACCGGGGUGGGUAAUCAGAGUUCCCGAGAAGAUUGAAAACCAUCUAAUGCACCCGUUCCGAGAGGGAGUAUUGCUUAAUUAGAACCAUAAGCAGGAGAAGUCAAGUUUACAAGAGAAUCAGAAGAAGAGUCCAAAGCCAAAGCAAGGAGUGAUUGAUAUGAUUUUAUUCCCAGCACACAAGUCAGAUAUUCCAUUAUUCCCCCUAACUGCUCUAAUUUGUAGUCGAAAAGCGGAGCAAGAGGGUAAAGAUGUCAGAGGAUAUAAAGUACUGUGGUUAUUACCAAGUCCUGUUUUUGGGAGCUAGUUGUUUUGUUCCCGACAAAAGGCAUCUGCAACCGGAUAAUCAAGAAAAGGGCUCCUGCUGCAUCCAAUUUGUAGUUACUUGGCCGCUGACGCUACACACUAUACGUUAAUUGUCUAGUCGUUGUUUGUCCCGUCGCUUGGUCGUUAGUAUACGCUUGGCCUAAGCUUUGCCGUUGCUUGGCCUCCCACUCCCUGGUUGGAUUCUUAUACUAUGGAUAGCUAUCCAUACCCAUUGAUACCAAGACUGUGACUUAUGAGUGCAAUUCCGAGUCUGUUACUACUGACUCAACAAAUACGGAUCCAACUGAAUACCUUUAGCCGACAACUUACUAUAAGGGCUCUGGACUAGAGCAUCUCAUAUACCUUCAUUCUGACUUGCCCUAAAGAAAUUCAUUAUGAUCUUUCAAAAGGAUAACGCUAGUACCUAUAUUCUAUCUGUAUUACUUAUAUGACUUAUCCUAUUAUCUCUUAUAUUACUUGUUAUUUAUUCUCUGUAUUAAUUACUUAUAUAUAUUCAUAUAGCUUCUCUUCUCUUAUAUAUUAUCUACUGAUAUUCAUAUAGCUUCUCUUCUCUUAUAUAUUCUGAUAUAUUCAUUAUUUAUAUUCCUAUAUUGACUAUUACUACUACAACUCCUCUUCUUCUCUCUAUCUUCCUAUUUCUUAUACUACUUGUGCAAGAUAGAUUCCUGAUUUACAGAGAAGCCUUUGCUAGUUCCCCGAGAGUAAGCCUUAGGGUCGAAGCGAACUGAAUAAAGCUACCCACUUAUUGAAUGCUUGGAUCACAAUAAACAGAAUCAAGCUAUUAAGGGGGAAAUCUGGUUGCUAUCAGCCAAGCAACGGAUAGACAAGCAUACAAUCCGUUUCAAAGCACUUGUCGCCUUGGCGGUCAUGAGUAUACGCUUGCCGGAUUGAUACGAUCGAGCAGUAGGGCCAGGACGAGAUACUCCACUUGAGACUUCUCUUGCAACAACUGCUUACGGCGAACUCAACUCAACAGGCAGUACUUAGCGCUUCAGUCAAGUUAACCAAUCAUUUCCAUAUUCUCUCUUGCGCAGAAGAUCUGAUAACUCCGUUGUAAGCAGAAGUCAAACUGAUUCAAUGGGCAUUGCUUUUUCUCUUGUGGACUUCUCUUCUUGAACUAUACUUGUGGAUUCUCCGGAUCUUGAUACUGUUGCAUAUCCUAUUCCUACUUAUCUACUAUACUCUAUUAUUUCUACGGUUCCUUGUCCUUGCGCAGGAGCAAGCCAAGUUAUAGGAAAAGCAGCUAGCAAGCCAAGAAGUUAUACGAAAAGUGCUGGGCGCUAAGGAGAGUUAUCGUCGGCCAGGCCAGGGUAAUCCAAUCAAUUAGGGAAAGUCUCAUUGAAGAAAAGAAUCUGAUGACAACCAAUAGAAUAGAUUAACCUAGCCCAACAAGCGGAACUAGAAUAAGCACUAGGAAGUAAGAGAGAGCAUGAAACUAGAAUAAGCACCAGUAAGUAAGAGCAUUAAACGCGUCGUUGCUUCCUCACUCCGAACUCUUAUUAUCCCUUAUCUAAUUCUCAUUGCUUACCCCAAAACUCUCUAACGUAAGCACGAGUUCUUUAGCCUUAUUGUCUUUGCACCAGUUCUUUAGCCUUAUUGUCUUUGCUUUGCUUCCUAUAGCGCCGUUACUUGUUCUUGCGCUGGCAAACACUCACGUUAGAACUUGAGCUUCUCUUUUGGAACUUGCUUGUUCCGUAGCUUGUUGACUUCUCAUCUGUCACUCUACUGAAGUACAACUCAUCUGUCACUCUACUGAAGUACAACUCGGUUAACUUCGACUAAACCUCUAGACUAUUCCUCUAUACUUUAUCGCUACGUGGGUCUGGGUCAAUAAGCUUACGCGCAACGGCUAACUCAACUAACUCGUAUUCUUUACAAGGAAUUAGAGCGGGACAAUCAGUUUCACAAGGCUAAGCAGCGGUCGACCACUACUCGGGAAAGCCAAGUCCUUGAAGCACUAAGACAAAGGUAAAGCAAUCCAAUAACUCCACUUUCAAUUGCUGCUUCAUCUGAUCCAGCAUCCUCCAUGGAAACUGCUCUAACAGCUUACUUGAGAUUUGAUUCUUCCUCGAACCCAACAAACUAGAACUAAUUGAGACUGACGCGCUACACACCUGUUUUGUUAUGACUUUCCUGUUAGUAUACGCUUGUAACGCUCUGCUUGUUUCCUCUCUUUGUCCGUUAGUAUACGCUUGGCGCGGCAAGCAGUCCACUGAUUAUUGUAGUAUCGGUCCCUUCCUCUCCUUUCUUUAGAGUGACUUUAGACCUGCCCUAAUAGAAUGUGAGGCCUAAGGUAUCCCUACUGCUAGUAAUGAGAUGAGAGUAUUCCCUGGGGCCAAGCUUAGUUGUUAGUUGCGCUAAGGAGCGGUUGUAGCAAAGGCUCUUUCCUUGCCAUAUUUCCCUGUUUUCUCUAAUCUACGGGGAUCGCUCUAAAUAGCUUAUGUAAAGUAGAGUGAAAUCCUCCCCCGAUGCUUCCUCUUGUCCAAUGAAAGCUUCUUCUUAACCUCUUCCAACUCGGGCAAUCUGAUCAACCCCGGCGUUCCCUUAGCUUAUGUGCUUGCAGUCUUCCAUAGAGGUGUACGGGGAAGGAGGUGAAAACGAAUCACCAUUACACUAGUACCCGUAGUGCCCCACCUCGACUUAUUGACUAAGAUAUAAGGGCACCGGAACCUCUCUUCUCUCCACUUGUUCUUGCCCCCUGUAACUUGGACUCGGUAACAACUGACGCUGACGAAGACGACGAGCGGAGGGGCUUCAACUGUGUUCGUACACCUGUUUUCGUUCCUUUGUUCGUCUGCCUUCCUCAAUUCCAUUGUCAGCAACAAGUGGUUUCAGCUCUUUGGGUACGAAGUUCAGUCUAGUGCUGUGUCUUUACAAAGAAAGGGGUCUAUACCACAUGCUUGCUCUCUAUAUUCCAUUCAGUAUUAGUGGGGGAGUUGGGUCAGAAUCAAAUCUCAAGUAAUCCGUGAAGUCGACCAGAGAAUCCAAAGUAGCAUCAGUAGUUGGUCAGCAACAGGAUCAUAAUAUGGAGCAAGGAUCUUUAUAAGAAGCUAUAUCCGGAGUAGGAACAGAAGAAACUGGAUAAGAUUAAGGAGUUGGCUUACCAGAAUAAAGGCAAGAGAAGGAUCUGAAUCUAAAGCUGGAUCUGGAAGGGAAAUAUAGGCUCAAGUCAACCAGAUAUAGAGUCCACUGAAAUGGGUUCGGGCAAGUUCAAUGACUGUUUUAGCGCGAGAAGGGCCAAGCGACUACUCAAGUAAAGUUCCCCAUUCUAUUCUUUUAUAGUAGGUUGCUUUCUCUGGACCUAUGCUUACCGGUGGAGGAACGGGUCUUAUGCCUACUAGUUAGUGAUUGCACUCCCAAGUUCAAUUCUGUGGAUUGUCCCUAUCAUUCGCGCUUCAUUACCUCCGAUCCGAUACCCGAUUCUUUGACUUUGUAGCUCAACUCCCUAUUCCUUGUUCGAUUCUCCCCACUCCCAUACGUUAAUGGACUAAACUCGGAACACGGAUAAACAAGCAUGAAUCUCGGAACUAAGCCUUUCGCUAGUGCUUUCAAGACUCGAACCGGGGCUAAUGGGGCUUACCCCACAGACAAGGGAAUCUAUCUGCUGACAAACAGACCUGUCCUGGCGCUUCUCAUACUUAUACUAGAAACUGGGAAUCGAGCUAUUGCCUUUAAGACUAGAAGAGCUACUGCAUUGGAUCUAGCGUCAAACUACCUCUCCUUGUACCAACUCUGGAUUGUUAAUGAAAGAGUAUACACCUAUUACAUAUAAUACAGAUUGAAAUCAAUGAGAAGAGAAAAAGAUUGGAACACUGUCCCCAUACGCUGAAACCGCUAUUAUCAUACUUAUGGAAUCAAUAAGGGAAUCAAAUAAGAACUAAAGUAAUACAGAAAUGAACUAUAGGACAUACACAAAUAGAACUCCUAAAGUAAGGCUCGAACUCGCAACUAGCUCUCUCGGGCAUACAAGGGUCGAACAAGGGUAUACAAGAAAGGCUGCUACUACUUAUAGAAUCCAACUAGCACCAACACAAGACUUACGCCUUAACACAUCCAAUCCAACUAUCAACUGCAGAACUCAACACUGCACUGGCAAUUCCACUCAUAAGUAAAGAAUGAGAAGCUACCAAGUAAAGCUCUCACUCUCACUAAAUAAUGGGGUCAAGUAAUAGGAGACUUAAGGCAAGGUAGUUAGCCGAGUUUCCAGUAGUUCCAAUCUACAUUAUGUAAGAUCAAGUAUGAGAAGGCACAGUUCAGGCCCUAUCAGUAGUCGCUUUAGUCUAAUAGUCUGAUUGAAGAUCUUAUCAAUAGUAGUUGUAGCCUUCUUUCUUAGUACAAGUCCCUUAGUGCACUGAUCCAUUCCCAGCUCCGAGUUUAAUGUCCCUGUAAAAGGUAGAGCUGUGGUUUGCUCCAAUUACUAUAAGCAAAUACUAGAGCUGCUCCUAUUACUAGAAUCAAAUACUAGGUAAAUAACCCUGUGACUAUAAUAAACUAACUCGCUAAUAGAGUAUAAGAUAAUAUAAGAUCAUGUUUGAACAAGCCAAUCAGAAGCUAUGCAGUAUCUCGGCUCGGGGAAGAAGAUAUAUAAAGUCAUUCCGGAAUAGUAGGGCUAUUAGCAAGUUCUUAAAAUGGAGUGGAUUGGCUUUCCUGAGCCUGAUGCUUGGGUGUUACAGAACCCAAUCAGUGAGUUACAGGCUGCAGCUGGGUAGUUAGGGAAUAGAGCCAGUGCUAGGCAGGCUUCAACACGGUUAGAAGAUACAAGCUACUACUGGGUGCUCUAAGGCAUACAUACACUUACUAGUGCUAGCUCCCGAGCACAUAGAUAGUUUCAUCCCUUGUUUGAUCUGGAAUCCUUAAUAAAGAUAGAGAAAAUGAACCACUCGCCAAGUAACUACAAAUGUGUGUGACGAGUAAGAACAAACAAACAAGGGCUGGGCGCCAGAGAGAAUAAAUGAGUCCUGGAGUCUAGGGUUAAGAAAAGAAGCAAGCAAUAUAGAAGCAAUGGGUUUAGUUUACUUUCAUUAUAUGCGAGAGAACAAGCAACGUAUUAGAAUGUUGCACUCACUGAGCUCUGGGGGGCAAAUAGAUGAGUUCGGGUCUCUCUUUCUGUCCUUCUCAAGCACGUAAGCUUACUCUUAUCGGGCUGCCUAGCGGAGUUCAAUAUGUAUGCAGUGUUUAGAGAGUCUUUCUUUUGACUCAAUUCCAUACUAUGAACGCUACAUGAUUUAAGCUACGGGAAUUCACAAAAGCACAAACAAGGGCUUCUCUGUACUGAAGUAGUAAACAAGCAACGGAACAAGAAGUUUCAUGCUCCAACUACACUCACUUAAUCCAAAUAGGCUUUCUAAACAAGCACUUUAGCAGCGACUUACGCUCGCACAAGCACUUAUACUUCUGGGGAACUCUACAUUCAUCUGGAAACUAUCCUUUCCACUUUCCUUCCUGCUUCGUCGACAACAAAUCAUCUUGUUCCUGAGCCUGCUGUUGAUUCUCUUGUUGACUUGAAAGCAGUUUCUCCAGCUUAUAAAACGGAUCUUGUUCCUACCCCAACUCAAAAGUGAGAAUGGAAAUGAUAUCUUUUACCCGAGCCCUGUAAAGAAGGAUGGAAAUACCCAGCUACCGAUCCCAAUAGAGUAUUAGUAUAUGCGCUCUCAAGAAGAAAUUCCACAAUUCAUUAUUUGUUGCUCUAAGGGAAUAAAGUCUUGUAUGGAAUAGAGGGUAACGGGUCAUUAGAGAAUCAGAGGUGUGUUGGCUGAAGAAGGCUAUUCUCUAAGUAAGGGAAGGCGCCGGAUUGAAAGUGCAAACCCAUGUGAAACUCAACUUCGAGUAAAGAACUGUGGAACUAGUAUUUGAAAGAGAAGCUAGAGCGGGACAAUCACCGAACCUAGACUUUACUCACACAAGGACUCAUCCUUAAGAAGGCUAUCCAUAUAUAUAAAGUAAGGGAUAACAUUGAGAUGAAAUUCAUUAUUGGAAUUAUGGGGUUUCCUCUGCGCCGAGGACUCCUUUUGAGGCGGGCUAUCAUGUCCAGCGCUAAGUAUGGAAAGUUCCUGUUCUAGUUGUUGGCGAUGAGUCUCCUUCUUUUCUUGUUAAGUCUUAGAGAUAAUAUGCGGGAUCAGACUCUGUAUCAAGUGAAGAAACAGAAGAAUAGGGUUGUGAACUAGAGAAUAGGGUUUAGCUAGGUAUAAUAGAAGAAGGUAACUGCCCAGAAUAAGGGGUUACUAAGCCACCUAAAGAAGGUCACUCACCCACCUAACAUACUAAAGCGAGAAAGGAUCAAUUCAUGUUUUCCUUGACUCGGCACAAGAAGAUGAAGUAGAACAAGUAUAAGGUAGAUCACCAUCAGCAACAAGUGGUUUGCCAGGAAUAUUGGCGGGUCUUUGAACAGGUUGAUUCUCAAGUAGAUGAUAAGCCCGUAUCAAGCCUACCAUCUCUCUCUCAUGAAAGUGUUUCCAUACCGUCUCCGAAAGACAGAAAGAAAUAGAUUCCAUAUCCGUGUGGCCCUGGUUCCUGAUUCCACUGGUUGUAAGGCAAUAUGCUGGGUCAGAAGGAAGAGCAAGAGCAAACAUCAUCUUAUCUGGGCUCUUCUCUGGAUCUUUAUUCGGCAGCUGCCAGUAUUAGACUGCCCUUGCUUUUGUUCCCCGAACUCAAUAAGAAAGUCAAGGUGUUUAUUCCCUGUGCAAGAUAAUCCAUUAAUGUUUUCCUCAGUGCAAGAAUGAGGGUAGCCGAAAACUUGCCCAAUAAGACGCCUCAGUGCGGGUAAAGGAAGGGAUUGGUUUCAAUUCAUGUUUGACAGUUUUCCCUUGACAACUUCAUAUUUCAAGGCAAGAAAGAAACAAGUUUAGUGCACAAAAGGUAAAGUUUCAUAAUUAUAUGUUGGCAGUUCCAGUUUAGGGUCAAUUCGUUCUUCGGCGCAAAGAGAUUUGAAAGUUUCUGUUCGAGUGUCGGUAAGUAAAUCAGGUGUGAAAGUAUAAGUUGAAGUUGGAAUAGCUAGAAGAGACUCUGUUCUGAGGCGAAAAUGUAUUUAUACAGCCUUUCUGAGGUCAACAUAGGGAAUUAGCCAUAAUCAAAGUUUCCCAUAGGUUCCACUUAGAAAAAAGGGGCAACUAUUGGAUUGGGGUGCUGUGCCGCUAGAGCUCAAAGUAGUGUAGUUGGAGUUAUCAGAGAGAAAAGAGCUUCUGCGCUCGAGAGAACAAGUAGCGUCUCUUGCUACUAAGUGUGUUAGGAAGAGGGAGUUUGAAGCGUUAAGUAUUGCCCGAAACUAGUGCAUCAGUUCAAUCAGUUCAAUUAACAGUUUAAUAAGCUUUAUUGGGAUAAGCAGCUGUAGAAUAGACAAGAGAAAAAGCAGUGCCCAUUGAAUAAACAUGAUCGGGAUCGGAAGAAAAUCCUUCUCACGUGCUAAGUCAAUCAGUGUCAGAGUAUCAAGAAUAAUAAAGAGGCAAAAGUCAGCGGAACAAGAAGGAAGAACACUAUGAAAUAACCCUUACUUAAUCGACCCGACCCCUUAACGAGGCAAAACUCACCCAUAUCCGACACAAGAACAGAAAGAGACUUUUUCACAGGCAAGUAACUACUAACGACCAAGCAACUAAGCAAGACGUUGGGCGGUAGCCAUGAAUAACGAGUUAUAACGAAUUAUUACUAAGUCUUGUGUUCUAGCGGCAGGAAGUUUACCGGGAUAAAAGGUGAGGGUAGAAAGGAAAGGACCUGUAUAGGAGUGAGUGAAGUCGACAAUAGAAUCAGCAGCACGGCAAGUCAGGAUAUCAUGCAAGCGAAGCGGUCAGUUCCGUUUCAAUACGAGUGCACCCUUUUGCUCGAACACUUAUGUAAUUCCAUAAAGUCAGCUACUACGCGGGAUAAGAAUAAGAGUCUGAGGUGCCCGCUCCUUCUACUAGUUGGAAAGUUGAUGUUUCAUCGUUAAGAGAGUCUCUUUGCUUUGCGGCAGAUAUAUAAGUAGCCCACUACAAGACAAGGUUUCAAGAGGGUAAAGGCCAUGCAGGAAGGAAAGAUGUUGGCACCGAGCGGUUUGGUUCUUAACUUCAAAGAUAGGUGUGAUUGAUUGGCUUUUCCCCUGAGUUUCAUCGUAUAAAUAAGCGGGAUCCGGAAUAGAAGUAGGAUAUGGAUCUGGAUCUCAAGUGAUAUAUGAAGCUGUAUCCAUGCAAAGAGAGUAAGGAAUUCCAUAGAUAGGCCUUAAGUUGAAGCGCUUCGUGUAGUUCUUUUUUCAAGAUCAAGAUCACCAUCAGUGAAUCAAGUUUGGUGUUGGCGCCGGAUCAGACAAGGAACUUCCAGUGAUUUUCCAGAUUCCAGUCGAGUUCCAGUUCUUGUUUAGAGAGAUGCUUCUUCAGUUGAGUUUGCCGGAUCAAGACUUAGUGCUAUAAUGCUUACUUCGAGAAUAACCCUCUUUAAUCAAUAGGAAUAUAAGAUUUCUUAAUAGUAGGUAGUUUGAUCACUUUAUUGCCGAACGAUAGACUCUCGUAUAGAAUUAUUUCCCUUGUGAACUCCCGUUAGUUGAAGACAGGACAGGAAUACUAUGAAUUAUGUCGUUAGCUUACUGUUUCUCUUACGGAGGGGAGGGGUUCAGUCAAUAAAAAGCUAGCCGGGUUAGGCUACGUAAGCACGUAUAAGAGUCCAGUUUUAGGGAGCUCUUGUUGGGGGCUUAAUGGAGUCAUUUUCCAUAAUAUGAGUUGACCCCGCGACUCGAAAGAAAGGCUCCGGUCUCUUGUUAAGGGAGUUCGGAUAGCCCAUGUAAUGUAGCGGUUAAUGCUUGAUCGAGAGACUCCGCAGAUAGACUAACUGUUUGACAAGGGACAACCCCAACUAGAACAAGUGCUCUAAGGCGUAAGUGAGUGACUCAAGCAACAAGUGCUCUAAGGCGUAAGUGAGUUAUUAAAGCGCAUCAGUGGCAGUUCCAUUCUCAAGGGAUUUUGGGUAUUUCCUCAAAUCUAUACAAAGUGGCAACGUCUGCUUCUACAAGUUCCGAGUCAGGAUCAGUUUCAUCAGAGAAUGGAUCUUCAUAAGGUAAAGAACAAGUCCAAGUUGGUGCCCCAACUAGUAAGGCGGAGUUAUUAACAAGUAGGGCUUGACCACGGGCAUACCAUAGAGAAUACGGCUUGGCUACUAGGCUGCUGGCUCUGCUUCCUUCUAUAGAUAGUAAUGAGUUGGCUUCUUCUCAUGGGAUAGUAAUGAGUCGGCUUCUGAUCUGAUCUCUUGGGGGGCUCUGACUGACGCGCAACUAGACUGACGCCGAGCACAUCUUCAGUGAAACCAAGGUUCGAACUUACUACUAGCAUAACCCUUCCUUGAUCCAACUCUAACUAUGCUUGCUUUUAGUCUAACAUUCCUCGCCGUAAAACGGAUAUUACUUACUAUAGCUUUCUCGCUUGUUAGUUAUAGACUUUCACUGCUGUUUCUAAUGCUUUAUCAUACCAGCUUUUGAGCGGAAUUGCUAGUUUCUUUUUUCAACCUUAUAGGUAAGGAGCUACAUUCUUGUAUUCCCAGUCCCAUUCCAUUAGGUAGUAUAGUAAUAGUAGCCUUGGAAGCAGCAGUUCCAUCUUAUAUUCUAGUUUUUAGUUGACGAGCGAAAGUAAAGGUAAAGGUAGCAGGCCUAACCUAAUCCUCUAAUAAGCAAGAAUACUUGUAAGUAGUGCCAGCUUGAAGGCAAAGGGUAAAGGCUUAGUUCCUUUUAUAGUUCGUAGUUGCCGAACAAAGGACUUGUUUCUAACUAGAGAAGAAAGGACUUGUACUGGCUUUGAGACGAGGUCUAAUUGAACUAGCCACUCCGUUAGUGCUUCCUUGCCUGUGUCAUCUGUCUUUGUCGGGUCUGCAAGGAAAACAGUAAGCCCGCUCCUGCCGCGUAACCGGUAACUCCUGUAUUGAACAAAUAUCACUAGUUGACUUACGAGCAAUAGAUAGCGGGUUCAAAAUGCAUUUCUACAUUGGAAUUGGUCAAUAGGCGAGCAGACAAGUAAUUACUAUAAGAAAAGAAUACGAUGAAAGAGAUGAGCUUAUAUAUACACGAUGACAUUUUCAAAGAGCUAGAUGAUCUUCCUUCCUCGGGACAAGAAGUUUAGUAACCAACUUCUCUGGCUUCUGCUUUAGCCUCUUCUUCUACUCUAAGGGAUCUUUACUUCCCGAAUUAUGUAUUAGGCCUUCUCCAACCCUCGCAACUUUACUAGUCAAUUGAAUUCAACGGUAUUCUUACACCUGCACAGAGCACCGAGUUCCGGAAGGUAGAAAACUACUUCAGAGGAUUUACUGGUAUAAAACUACAGAAUCAAACCAGAAGGUAGAAAACGUACGAAUCAAACCGCAACUACUAUUAAGAAAGAGAACCUGUGUCCUGACUUAAUAUCCUCUCUGGCAACUAAUUCUAUUCUUGAGCUUGGCCCCUUCCCUUGCUUUGACAAAAGAAUCAAACUCAAAACUAUUCUGUAAUAAAGUAAUCUCACUGCUGACUUUAAGACAGUACACUGCACAACGGCACAAUAAGUUCAAUGUUCUUUCUUUUAUCACUGACUAUCCCCGAAGUUUUUUCUCACUCCGCUCCGCCACUAAGCUAAUGCGCAAGGGCCUAGUUUCUGAGACUUAUUGAAAGGAAUAACUAGUUUCUGAGACUUAUUGAAAGGAAUCAAAUAAUAGUGUGCACACACCACUUAUAGACUGAAGUAACGAACCCGCAUUGCUUGUUUUGAUAAGUGCCCCCCUAUUCUAUAAUAACGUAAAAACGGAGCAUUACUUGAAAACUCACUGGAUACUAGGCAGACGAUAGACCCUUGCUUUCACCCUAGCCUAUGAAGAUAGACCCUUGGUUGCAACCUAGCCUAUACGGAAAAGAAUCUAUCGUUCACCAAAAAUAGAAGAGAGUAACCAAACCUAUUACUAAAGACACAAACUCUCUCUCACGUUAGCGCCCCGCAACAAUGAGGAUGGGCACCCAGAUAGUCAAAGAAGAGAAUUAAAGCACCUACCCCGGAAGAUAGUAAGCUAACUGUUAACGUUAUAGUUCGGAGCUCACAACACUAAACCCCUUUCUAGGCCCAUAAAGUGAACAUCUUUCUUAUAGAAAUGAGGUAACUUCACACUGCUGACUCAACCCUUUACUUGCUUGUUCGAACGAAAGCCAUUGUUCUUGUUCUUUCUUAAUUCCACUUGCUAAGCUGUGUACUGAAUACGAGUUCCAAAAGCCCGCCAGGCCAGGGAAAAAGUGUUUUUCCGUUUGUACAGUACCCUCUUAUUUGUUUACUUGUUCCGUUGCGCGUUAGCCUAAUUAGUACAAGUCAUUAGGCAAGUGCUCAUUUUUAGCGAGGGGCUCUUUCAACUCCGAGAUGGCUGCAUCAGAGAGCUCCGACAUCGUCUUUUACUGUGGUAGGCGGUUUCAAUGGUCGUUGGCCUUCUAUCUACGUGAUGCCUGACUCUCGUCCAUGCUCAUCCGUCAGAUCAUCCGAAUCUAAGAGACAGAAAGCACCAGAUAUCUCUUCCAAUACGAUUCGUCACGUGCUAUUCAAUGACCAGGCCAAGCGUAUACUAAGUGCCAGUUCCAUUCCGUUUUUAAGGAAGAAGAGAAGCUACUGUCUGCCGGGGAGUAGUAGAACCCUAGUGUUCAGCAAGUAGUCAAUUCCAUUCUAUAGUUUCCUUUCCUUUUGAAGCGCGGUCUACUUAUUACUUUCGACUUUGUACGAGCAAGUAUUGUAGGGGAGCGGAAGACAAGCGUAUACUAAACGAGAUCGUACCUAAUGCUACUUACAUUGCAUUCUGAUAUUGAAUAGUGGAAUUCUUAGGAAGGAAACUGGAGUCUCUAUUUGCUAACAGCCAAGUCGACAACACAGAAGAAAAUAAGGUAGUGAAAGGCCAAGCAACUAAGUAAGACGGCCAAGCGUAUACUAACUACUAAAAUCGAGCUGCUACUGAUGAGAAUGAAAAUGGGGAGUCAAGAAUCAAACUCCGGAUUAAGUCCUGGGCUCCAGUUGCAUUCUUAAAUGACUUACCGCAACGAAGACAUCUCUUGACUGAAGUACUUAUAGCUUCAAAGCCUCUCUUCUUGAUACAACUACUUAUGAAACUACGAAACUACUAUGGCUACAACUACUUAUGAAACUACGAAACUACUAGUUAGCAUUACUACUCUACUACAAGGAAGGUAUUCCACUCGCCAACAACAGGCUCUGCUCUGUCAACUAUUCACUUAAUUCGGCUAAUCUCACUCUGGCAACAAUGCAUUUUACCCUGUCUCCCGCACCCACCUCUCCUAUUGCUAAAAAGACAUAUGAAACAGGACUACUCGUAUACUGGUUUGGUAUUCAACUCACACCAUUUACUUCAGGGCUAGCUUCUGUACUUGAUGACUGGAACAAGACUGGAAUUGCUAUCAGCCAAGUCACGACUAGAACUAUCACUGGGCCAACAUAACUAAACUUCCUACUUAAAGAACUCUCCGGGCCAAGCAAUCACUGGGUCGGUCAGGUCAGGACUAGAAUAGCUCUCUCCUCUUGCUACUAGCUAAUAUCUAUCCUAUCCUUUGUACUCUGGACUACUCCGACUACUCUACUGGUUGGGGAUUCCACUUCACCAAAACCCGUGUUUUUUCAUAGCAUUAGCUUUUCCCCUCCUGAGGUAUCAGAUUGAUAUUACAAUUUCACGUUUUCCCGUGUUUUUUCAUAGCAAUUAGUAUAAAGUAGUUGACUCGACCUCUGCUCAGGCUACUCAUACUGAUUCCACUGGACCAGACCUAUACUUGAAGACGAAGGAAAAGGAUCAUUUCUCUAUCUUGCCUAGCACAACUUACAAUAAGGGCCUCUGCUUGAGUUUCAUUCCUUCGAUUAAGCUUAUGGCUCUUCCUUUCUUCCCUUAGUACUGGCACUGCUCCUACUGUUUGGGAAUCAUAUUUCUAUUCUUUACCUACUGAGGAUAUCCCGAUCUCGGCACCAAUACCAGAAUUCGGUUCGGCUCCUAGGCAACUGCCAAGCGUAUACUAGAUUCAGAAGAUGGGUAAUAUUAGUUCAAUUCCAACUUUCCUACUUGAGAGACUACUUAGUUCCAUUCUGACUUGCUGAAUGAGGCUCUCCACUAGGAGCUAUAAGGGCCUCUCUACUUCCUCUUUGAACUCUGGUAUUUGAUUGAACUCCUAACUCAGUAGUAAUAGAGACAAGCUAUGUAGAAAGGUAGAAAACAGAGCUAGUGUUCGUCUUUUCCAAUAGGCUAAACUCAGUAUUUAUCGCUUCCUCGCCUCUCCUCUCCUCUUUCUUUACUACUUUAGAGUCGAGGUCGGGGUUCACUCAAAGGUUUUAGGACUUGGUGCCUACUUGUUCUGUGUUUUAAGAAUUCCGUACUUAUGAACAAUAACAGGUGAUGAAACUACAUAUGAAGGGGAUUCCACUCGGGGAAGGUUUUUCGCUCGCUACCGCCCAGAAGACAGUUAAGCUCCUUAAGCUAGUGUUCGCUCUGUAAACUAGGGAUGACUUUCUCACUGCCUCCACUGCCUCUGCAAGUACAACAUCUGCCUCUGGUAAAGCACCAAACCCAUCUAUACCUGUGACUACCUGGACUACCGGGAUGGGAUGAAACAACAAAAGUAAGCCUAUCACUUCUACUACUCGGCUCGGUGUUGCCUUAGCCUUUGAACUCUCUCUUCUUGAUCACCCUGAGCGAGGUAAAGUACCAAUUACUUGAGUUUACAGCCCAAACAAGUAGGAGCCCUGGUUGACAGCCCAAACAAGUAUACGAGUAGUUUCAUCCGUAGUAGUAGCCAGAGAAGAUCCGAUUGCGUUUUCCCGUGUUUUUUCAUAGCAACCCCGAUUUCCCUCCUAACGAGGUCCAAAAGAAUCUUAUCUUUGCGGGAACUCCUGCCGCUCUAGAUUAGGACUCCGGAAUAACGAGUUAUAAUACAUUUAUUCAUUGCUAUGGUUUUGUAGUAGUUACUUGGCCCUUUCUGAAUCGCCAAAACCUUACUUUUGAACCAGAGCAGUACUAUCGUUCUUAAGACAAACACUUGAGCAGGACUUAUAGUCAUUUUCUUCCACUCACACAUGAGCAGUAAGAGAAUGGAUUGAAUCUCUCUCCCAUUGCACAACUAGGUUAGUCUCAUAUGAGUGCAAUUCCUCCUUGCUUAACUCUUAUCCCAACUCAGUUCCAUUCUUCCCUGUUUAAAGAGCUCACCAGCCUUACACCCACUAGUGGAAUUCUGAGCCUACUUAGUGUCAUUCUUACUCUGUCUGCCACUUGUCCACUCUUGAACUCCCUCUGGCAGUCUUAGCCCCUACCUUAACAACUCUAACUCUUCACCCCCGCAUUCAAAGCCUGUAACUACCUUAGCAACUGGGGUAUUUCUACUUAAGCCUGUAACUACAGCUGCAGGGAACUGAUUAGCAGUGGUUGUAGUCUUUCACUCCUUAGUUCCCGAACACAGCACUUGGGCAUAUGAGUGUCAUUCUUUAACAAGCAUCUGGGGAUCAGUGGUAUUGGUUAAGGCUUGGAAGCACUGGUUUUAGUCUGUAACUACUGAUUGUUAGGCUUACUACCCUUACUUUCAGGCUUGGACCUCCCUGGGUUCAUCCUUUCUUCAUAGCCUUCCUUCUACUUACUAGUGUCGUCAACAAAAACCUUUCUUUCUGCUUGCUUUCGAUCGAUCAACAAAUCAUUCAUUUCUCACUCCUUCCGUACUCUCCAACGGAUCUCCUACUGCCAACUGAUAUCCGGUCUGAAACUCAGUAUUCCACUAGCAACUAUCAACUACUGGCAAAGAAUGAGAAACUGGGGAUUCAACUAGAGCACCGAACUCAUCUCCACGACAAGAAGAAUGGAAUCGAUGCUAGCAAUACCCUAACUGGAAACUGGCAAUACUGACUUUAUGGACUCGAUACUAUAACUAGAGACUUUAUGGCUACAAUACCUAUGGCAACUUGAAACUAUGAACUUCAUUCCGCUAAUCUCACUCUUUCUACUAUACCUCCUGUAAACUCAUACUGAUGAAACUACUAUACUACACCUCUGGCUCAUCUAACUAUGGUAACUCUACCGACUUAAUAGUUGGGCAACUAUCCCUCUUGCUCAUCCCAUGGCCUGUGUGCGCCUUUCCCUUAUUCUUAUUAGUUUCUCAGACCAGACCGGUAACUCUGGCUAAUAGACCCCUGUGGCUCUGUCAACUAAUCCUGUUAUGGCUCUGGACUCUGGACUACCUUACCCUCCCUUAGAGAAGUCUGAUUCUUUGCAUAAUAAGAAUGGAACUGUGGUGUUUACAAGACUUUACCUCACUAACCGGGUAUAAGGCUACUGAUAAAAGGAAUUGAGCAAGUGCUUAUAAUAACUACCUUACUAUAUGAGAAUUAGAUUACUUUGUAACGAAUGAAAACUGCGCUACUAACAAGCUACUACUACUAUAAUAAUGAAAUACAACUAGAAUAAUCCAAAAAUAGCAUAGGAAUGAUUGUUGUGGGCGCUGAGUCAUAAAUCCACUAGUAAUACUGAGUACACCUACCUCUAACUGGGCUUUAACUCAAAACAGGUAAAUCUAACUGAUUGGUAUAAGCAUACAGGAUGUAGGUACGAUCUAGUGCAUAUGGAUAUAAGUUUGCUAACCCUCGCUUCAUUCCAUAUUUCAUGUUAUUAAUUGAUUAUUAAGUUCACGUAUAGAAUAUUCUCUUCUACAUUAUUAGGGAAAUGUGGUCUCAAAAAGGCGAGUGGUUUUCUAUUCCAUUGAGAACUGUUGUUUCGGGUGUGAAGUAAACAUCACUCUAGGCAUUAGAGACAGAAGCCGGGAUCCCACUAGUGUUUCUAAAGCUUUAACCCACUAGCAAGACUACACGAUAUGCGGGCUUCACCACCUGAAAUACAGGCUUAAUCACCUAUUGAAAAGACGGAAAUGGGGGCGACCAUCAGAAUGAAACCACAAACAUAGGCUUCAACUAACCCGCAACUCAGAAUGAUAUAAUAACCCUAGCAAACCCAACUAGCAACCCAGACUUAAGGACCUACCUCGCAACCCAUGCUAACAGGAAUUCACUACUGCCCUAUGAAGACGAGAACUCAAAACAAGUAAAUCAACAAGUACUUCCAAGACUGAAACCAGCAUCCAACUCUGUCUCCGUGGGAAACAACUCAAUCACCAAGUAGAGGCAAGUUGUAAUGAAAUGCUCAAGUCAGAAUACCCUUCUAAGGAUGGGAAUCCAGAUACCGAGCUCACUAUAGUAAUAAGUAAUUGACGAAUACAGAAUCCAACUAACAAGUAUCAGAGCUAAACCCGGAACUAUGACUUAGCUAUACGACCAUCAUAAUGAAACAAAGAAGCUAGCCCUCCACUCAUGUCUCUAACUCUUCCACUCCCGAUCUAACUUCCGUAUCCCAACCACAUAUAAGUGAGUCUGCCUAUCCUUUCUUUUAGCCUUAAUUACCUGCCUCUCGGCCUGUCUGUCUCUUCUCUUGGCCUGCCACUAGUUAGCUUCACCCUUAUUGCCUUGCCCUUAAGGAUUCCUCUCCUUGCUUUCAUUCUCUCUUUUCUUUCUGGAAUUCCUUAUGAUAUUAACGUAUAUUAAUACAGUAACUUAUCUAUCUAUUCGGCUUGUCUGCUUGACUCAUAGCAAUUCAUAACUGAAGUACUCUAAGGAAGGUAAAGAAAGCUCACUGACGCCGAUGUAAUAGUAGUUGAGUUCCUACUACUUUGUUGACGAAUACAGGACUUGGUCAUAACUCGGCAAAUGGAUAAUAUCUCCCCUGAUCUUUCCUCUGAUCUCGUAUACCUAACUUUAGUGAUGGGACUCAGAAUUGAACAAAGUAGUCCAUAAGUCGGAAUUACAGAAUUGAGGUAGGCUUACUUACUACUACUAACAGACUAGGUGAAUAGGUGGGCUUACUUAAAGGGGCAAGAACUAGACUUUCAUAACGGACCUCGUGGGAGUAAUCAUACUUUAACUAAGGGACCGAUCGCCAACAACUUAUUACUACCACUCACCGGCAAGCUACUACUAGACAAGUUUCACUCCUAACUAAACAAGUGGAAGAAGAAAGUACUUGCUUUGAAGCCAGUUACUUGCAGGGUUCAAUUAAUUGUAGCAAUAGGAUAGGUAGAUUAGAAAGCAGCUUGCUUGUUUUAUUCGAGUGGAAUUCUUUGCACUAAGUAAACUCCAUUCUUAAAGGAAAGAAAGAGAACUACAUAAUGAAUGAAUUGGUUGCCAUUACCAAGUCCACCAAGCUACUACUAGUUAUGGGAUAGAUCUAGCGCAAGUGAGUAAUAUAAGUAAUUCGAGUGACGUAACACUAGUUUGAAAGUAGAAGAAUAGUGGAGUUCGCUGGCGUGUCAGUGAGUUUUGGCUAGACAAGUCACUACUGAGGUGAAGAAAAGGGCUCCUGUUAUGAGCAAGUCCGUGAUUCGAAUCCAGAUUCUAAAGCGUCUUCUGAUUCUGUUGUCGGUGUAGACCUCCCACUUGCAUGAUACCCAGACCACUAUUCUCGAUACCAGAUUGGAUCGAUGCUAUAUAUAAGAAAGAAUCAAACAGUGAGGAACAGCUCCCUACCGCUACACAUUAGUAAUAGCUUGGCUCGGUUCGGUUGCCUUUGUAGUCGUGUCUUGGCGGGUAGGUUGACUGACUUAGUUGCCCGAGGAGAGGUAGGCCAGAUAAGAGAGUUAGAUGAGCUCGGGGUUAACACUUAUAAGAGAAGAGUUAGGGUCGGGGUGUCAUGUAAUAGAUAUGGGUGCCGCGUAGGAGUAUGGUUAGGGGCUGAGAAUAUCUUUUAGUACGAGUAAACGGUUUCGUAUAAUAAAGAUAGAAUGUUUUCGUAGAAUAUAAGUCAGAUAAAAAAGAAUGUUUUCGUAGAAAUAGUGGUUUCGUAUAUCGUAUAUUUUCGUAUAUCGUAUAUAAGAUAAGAAUAAAUAAGAGUUCAUUUCGAUUGGAAGGAAUGUUUUGAACACUGUGUCGGUGCUUGUAUAUUGAACACUGUGUCGGUGCUUGUAUAUAAGGGGAGUGGAAAGUGUAGUUUAGUAGGAUAGGAUUGAAGCCAAGCAGCAAUUGGGUCAGGUCAUCAAGUUUAGUUCGGGCUAGAGAGGUCGGGGCAGAGACAGAGACAUAAUAUCUUCGUUCUUUAUGCGAGUGGUUAGUCUUCAUCCCGAGUGUCAGUUGCCGGAGGAUAGGUUUAAGUGCUUGUGUGAAGCAAGUAGUAAAAGAGAGAAUUGUGUGGCUCUGAUCUCUACUAAUUAACUACUAAAUUCUAUAUUAUCUUAUUAAGGAUUACAUUUAGAAAGAAAGUAGACCGGAAAGCACUUGGUAAUGGCACCAACACACCCGAAACAAUACUGGAAGACUAAACUAAGGAUGAAACUAGGUCUUCAACAAUCAAGUAGGAAAGGUCGGUCUCCAAGAUGAGUUAUAGGCUUAGAUGGGCAGGCAAGAUAAGCUAUAAAAGGUGUUGACUAAGGUAUGCAAGGGAGGAAAUAGAAUCCUAAGUUUCAAGAGAGAGAAUCGGCAGUGCCAGUGAGAAAGUCAGGUUAAGGCGCAGUGCCAGCUCCUGUUGUCUUUGUCUAUAAGUCGGAUAAUUGCCAGUUCAAGUGACAGGUGAGUCAGUAAAGUAUCUAGUUCUAGGAUCCGCAAGCUGGGAAAGUUUCAUCAACAAGAGAAUAAGCUGGGUCUAAAGCAUAAGCCGGGGAAGUUUGUCUUGAUCCUGGUAGUCCAGAGUACAGAGCCAUAGUGGAGUGAACCCCAGUUUGUUACUUCAAAAGAGUACAGAGCCAUAGUGGAGUGAACCCCGAAACUUCUUAUAUAGGCCUUUCUACUUCUAUAAAAGAAUGGAAUGGAAUUGGAAGAAUAGAGUUGGAAAGAAUAUAAGUAAGGGCAAGCAGACAAUAAGUAGUAUCACCCAUGUGUUUAGUUAAAGAGGUAGACAGGUUGACUUACUUGGCGGGCCCUUAUAGUCAGUUGCGAGUUUAGCAGAGUCGAAGUAGGUUCGGGGACAUGCAACUACUAGAGCAAGAAACAGCUUUUAAUAUAAGUAAGGGACAAAAGAGAUAGAGAAAAUGAAUUCUUUGUUCACUCAGGUUAAGGUGGCGCAGGAGAAUUCUUAGUUGAAACAGAAGAUGGAUGCCGGGGGUUAGUGCUCGAGAGCAAGAGAAGAUGUGGUUGCUAGGGGAAGUAGUUAAGUCAGUUCAGUUCACCAAAUCACCAAAACCAGAGCCAUAAUACAUAGGCCAGCGCAUCUAUAAUCUAUAAUAUCUUACUUCUUUUGUGUCGCGGCAGGGCAGCUAUGUUCCCCUCCGCAUAAGGUAUCUUAUCUAUCCCUAGUAUAAGAAUGAGAAUGAGAAUAAAUGGGGGGCCAAGAAACUAAGUAAAUAGCGCUAAAGGGCAGCUCCUGUUAUGAGUAAGUCCUAAUUCCAUAUGUUUUCGUUCCUUUGUUCGUGUGACGCGUCAGGCGCGGGGCUUUAGGGUAGUGCUCGUCUGGUCGCAUUCCUACUUUCUUUUUGGUUUGUUUGGUGUGUCAAUGCCCUUUCUUUUGCUUGUUGAUUCUAAGAGUGUGUCAAUGCCCUUUCUUUUGCUUGUUGAUUCUAAGAAGUUCAUUCGCGUGUGCUCGUUUCGGUUAGAAGACAGACCCAUCCCUUGGGCAGCGUCUUGGGCUGGUUUGCUUGGAUAUCGGUGGAUCAAUAGUGACGGAACUCCUUAAACCUUGAUUGAUAGGCUCUUUUAGUGUUGGCGGAUUGGGUUGACGGCAGGGAUGCUACAGCUGUCUUUACCUUUAUUUCCAGGUGCAGACUCGGUUGACACUAGAGGAUAGAGGUAGACCCAUCCUAUAGAUAGAAUGUUUCCAAUUACAGAGAGUUUGUGUUCUCCCAGGAAGAAAAACAAAGUGAUAUGAAAAAAGAAAGUGAAUCAGGCAGAGAACGGCCGGUAGGUGGCUCGGCUCCUUUGGAAGGCAUUUAGUUUACUAUGAAAUAAUGAAAUAAAGAAAAGGGCUAUUCGGAGGCGAGCCUAUUGUUUCAUGAAAUAAAGAAAAGGGCUAUUCGGGGGCGAGCCUAUUGAAUCUAACAUGAAUGGGGCUUGGAGACGGCAAUAAAGAAUUUCGCAUCUUAGGAGUAAGAUCAAGGAUGUUUAAAGAAACGUCGGCUGUAAGGUCGGCUCUCGAUGAUAGCUAACGAAGACCGGGGCCCGCAAGGCAUAGUUGUUGAAUCGCACCUAUUCCUCGGUCGAUAUGAUAUCUCUUUGAGUAAACACUUCCGAUCUGUCAGUCCAUGGGGAGUUACCCUUGUGCUCAUAUGAAAUAAAUAGAUAAAUCGAGAAUAGCUUCAAAGAAUAAAGAAGAGCAUUAAAAGAAGGGAUCAAAAAAGGGACUAUAACUGGGGAAUCUCUUUCAUUCGAAUUCUAUUCUAUAUCGUGGGAGUUAGGCUGGGAUCCGGCCCGAGUUCACGGGUUCUUUUUAGAAGGCAGUGAGUGAGCAAAAGAAUAAGGCCUACUGAGAAUACCCCUCCCUAAUUCCGUUAAGAUGUUUAAGUUAGGAUAUUAGAUUAUAUAUAAGUAGGAUAUUCGAUUCUAUUAAGAUGUUUAAGUUAGGAUAUGAGAUUCAGUUAAGAUGUUUGUAAUAACUUGACGUUGUUAGCUUCUUUCCUAACAUGUAGCUUCGGCUAGGAAGUCUGUUCUACUUCUCGUCCUAAGAUGCACACUAGAUGGGGGAUUUUCGCUCUUCUGUCUGACUUGGAUUCCUGUGCUACACAAAUUCCCUCUGAACAGAAAUGGGAUCUCUGCCUUCAAUGCACGAUAGGCUUGCUAUGCGAUAUCCUUUAGGGGGCCGACUCGACUCUAGAUAGCUUUUGGAAUCAAUUGGAAUCCUUUCCUUUACGCCAAGUGGAAGAAAUCCCACCUCCACCUGUCCAUUAGUUCAAGGGCAAAGGGAUCCAAGAGAAAAUGGACAAUACCGAUUCGGAAUCAACAGUAAAGGAAUAAGUCCUGCUUGGAUAAUAGGCUUAUCCUCCCUUUUAUGGUAUGAGGAAAGAAAAGCGAAAAGUAUUCGUGUAAUCAAGGCCAGGGCGUUGGUGAAAGCCCAUUUAGACUGGACGAGGUUGAUCUCUUUCAAUGGAGCCAGCAGAAUGUCGUUUCAUCCUUAAAAACCACUUUUCGCCGACAACAUUAUGAUUGGGUAUAGCAGAGCUCCGCUUUUUUUCUUGUUGCGCGCAAGAGCUGUUAAUUCCUAAACCAUGGCCCCAUUGGGUGCCCUUUAGAGCCUUAGUGGAAUUGGAAGGCUCCUUAAAAUGGGUUGUUUGGUGUUUGCUUUGGUAGUAUGAUGUAUACGUUUUCAUAAAUGGUUUUUUCGCGCGGGUAUUCUUCGCGCGGGUAUUCAUUGAAUGAGUGCGUGUGGGUAAAGGAUGCGGCCCAUCUUGCUUGGUUGAAUGAGUGCGUGUGGGUAAAGGAUGUGGCCCAUCUUGCUUGGGAAGUAGGUGGAUCGGCCAAGGCAUAGUUUAGUGGCUGUGGAAGGAUAACCCUGCGAGUAAGCUGUGGUUAAGGGUUCUGAUUGAGCUAGAGUAGAAGGUGAGUUUUGAAGGUCUUUGAUGAUCUCCCAUUGGGGAAGGCUCGAAAGCCAUAUCAAGGUCCACCCACUUAGCAUCUCCCUCAUUGCAUCUUUUAGCAAAGGAUUCUACUGGACCGGAAGGACUGGGAUGAGACUUUACUUAUUACAUGGCGAGAAUCCGGAUCAACCAAGUAUCUACCGCCCGACCCAGGCCUUACUUAAAUAGGGAGUGGGGAAGGCCCCAAUAAGAUCAAUAAAUUAGUUAUAGCUGAACUAACUGAACCUAUUAAGGAGAUCCGUUUGAAACAAUCGCUAAAUGGGAACACCAUUCGGAUAUUUGGUUUAGCUGGCCGAUCUUAUAAACCUCGUAAUAGGUGAGCCUCCCUCUAUAAGGAAGGUUAGGUUCCUUAGGUCUUUGUACAAGCCAAUAGAUAGGUCUGUCUUUGUACAAGCCAAUAGAUGGAGUGCUGGUGCUCACGCUUCACUUACCUAGAAGAGCUUUUCCGCAAGACCUUUUCCCCAUAUAGAUGCUGAGGCCUCUUGGCGCCUAGUAUUGUGACACGCCUGACGAGCGUUGCUCUUUAUAUUCGGGCGAGCUAGCCUAUUGAAAGAAACGAAUUCAGAACUCAUCCUGCUUAUAGAUUCUCUAAGGACUCUGACUCCAAUAGAUCCUAUACUGACUCUUACUCCAUAGGGACUUUGACAACUUUAAGAAUACUUAGAGCCACUGCGAUUGAGCCUACAGACCGUCAAUAGAGGAACCUCCUUAGGGAAUUGAUCCAAACCAUAAACUAAAGCUCUUAGAAGGAAAAAGAACUACCUCAUCAAGAGCAAUAGCAUGAGAGAGACUUCCUGCCCCAAAACGAAGUAAGAAAAAAACGAUUAGAGCAUUACCCGCUCCAGCAGAUAGGACGACCUACUCCAACAUUGAAAUAGACUUGAUUUGCCAAUCACUGGAAUCCGAAUAAGGAAUAUACUAUAUACUAAAUCAACUGGUACAGCGAGUACAGCUGAACUACCCAGAUAUGCUUCUUUCUCUUUCAUCAAGCAACGGAUUUAUGGCUUUCAUGAGCGGAAGGGUGAGAGUAGAUCAGUAUUGUAUUGUACUGCAAGGGUGGUCGAAGAUCAGGAUUCCAUCCAUUCCGUUUGUUUUUGAUCCGGAUCAUUCACUCAGCUAAAGCUCUGAGCCUAAGGCGCUACGCGCUAUGAAUUGCCUUGCUUCUUUCUCUUGUAAUACUGACUUGAACCCAUGGCCAACUAUGUCAGAAUAAUCCGCAUACACAAAAUUCUUAUACCUAUCCUGGAAUUAUAUAAUCAAAUGCCCGGAAAUCCCCCAUCUCCGAAUGGCAAAAAGUGUUCAAGGCACUCGUUAGGCCUUAAAUAGAAUCUUAUAUAGACUUAGAAAGAAAAUGAUCUGUCAAAGAAAUUCCUGGGGGACACUCUUUCUUUACAAACUUCUAUCAUAGGUGCUCGAUACGAAAGAUUCCAAUUAAUCAAGAAGAUCUUCCGCUUCCGUUUCUGCGCUCCAAUAGAAAUAUUCGAUUCUGGAUAGCUCAGCUGAUCUGAUAUAGUGGUAUUCCGUUUUCUACCUUCCUGCUCCUGUUCUUGUUAAAUACCGAGUUUCAUCUAUGUUAGUUGGCGACUCGAGAGGCCAUAUGGUUUAAAGGAUUGGCUUAACCGAGACUAAAGGUGCGCUUCGCUUGCUUUAUGGUAAGGGUAGACUCAAAUAAGGGUCUGUGAUUGGCUUUACCUUUACGUCGUGGAGUACGGUCUGGAGCGGGUGGUGAGAAAGAACAAAAGCAUUAUUAUUGUUCUGUCUGCUGCUUUAGAAGUAAGCGAGGCUGGCUAUAUAGAUCAAAUGAGUAAUGAGGUAAAUAGGCUUUCCGGAAUACAAGUAAUCAAUAACAGAGAACAAGAACGCAGGAGCAUAAAGAGACUUAACUAAGCUAUAAGAUACAGCGCUGAAGACAAUCUGUUGACCACUUGGACCACACCGCGCUGAAGAAGAUAGGACAGGCCAAUCAGUUUACGCAGGAUAAGGAACUUGAGUUGUCGAUUCUUCAAGUGUAGUUACUGACUCUCUUACUUAAGUCUAGGAAAGGUUUACUUGUUAAGGUGCUCUAGCUCUCAUAAUUGUCUAGUGGGUUUUGCUUGGCGAUUAUUGACUUCGCCUUUCCUGUACCUAUACUAAAGAAUACGAGUUCAAGUUGGAGUGUUGGAGAAUACGAGUUCCAGUUUUGAUACUAUAUUCAUUCUGUAUUAUGAUGAGGUGCACGCUAGAUUCCAUUCCACAAUUCCACUAUGAAUCGAUUCAUUCGGCUUAAAGUCAAUUCCACCUCUUUUUAUGCGCUGCGCUCGACAUCCAUACAGUAGAAAGCAGGGUUACGACAUCCAUAUGUUAUAUUCAAACAGUGAGUUUUAGAAGCAAAGCCUUAAGUGAGUCAGGAAAGAGUUAGGAGUGAACAAGCUAUGCUCUGUAAUGUUAAUAUCUUAUAUCAUAUGCUAGUGAGAUGAUUUAGUGAGAUGAUUUUCCAUUCAUAUAUCAGUGCUAGAUUCCAUUCAGUAUUAGUUGAACAAGCAAUUACUGGGCUUGCGUGUUAGCGAGUGAAACACUCUCCCUACAGCUAGGUGAAUCCGCUCGACUCGAAGUAGCAAAUAGAAACAACGAUUUCGGGGCCAUAGGUGUAUGUCAGAAAUAUGUACUCUGAGGGGCUCUUUAUAGUUCUGCCUCAACUUGUUCUUAAAGGAAGAAAGCAACAACGGGUAGAUCGAAAGCCCUAGUCCAACAAGGAAACCAUGCAGUGUCAUUUACUGAACUGAAGCGUUGCUCUCUUUUGCUAAUCUCCUUUCUUUAGGAAAAUCAGAACUUAUAAGCUAUGCUAGAAAGAUUCCAUUAAUGAUUAGUUGACUCGGAAAAAGGGUAUAUUCCGGUGUCUCCUUAGCUAAAGGGAAAGCCUCAGGUAUCUCUGUUAAGCGAGUGAGAGUGAAAGCUUCAGCAGGUAAAGAAUAGUCUCAAGCAUAAGCGGUCUCAGAGGCGCAAGCAUAAACUGGAUCAGAUGAACCAUCAAUUAGUUAAUAAAGUCUAGUUUCGUUCGGGGAAACCGAAGAAAUAGAAUCACCAGUAGCAGGUCUAGGCCCCAAACCAGAAUACUCCGUGCGCGAACGAGAAUAUAGUGGAGUUGUGGAAAAUCAUCUAUUCUAUAAUAUAGGCCGAGACAAGUCACUCGACUACUUGAACUAUAGGAAAUCGGACUUAGCUGCCGGCUAUAGUUACUAAUAAAUAGAAGAAACCCAAUGUAGAGGUAGACUUAUCUACAGGUGAAAUUCGAAUAGUAGUAAGGAAGAGAAGCCUUGUUUGCGGUAGCUCAAUUACAUCGACCCUGUUGCUUGUUUCAGUAUUAUAAGUCUAGUCGCUGGGGAAUGAGAUAAGGAGAGGUACACGAUAGCCACCAAGUCAGAAUAAAAGAAAGUAGAGGAAGCCCGAGUUCAGUAAUACAGCAUUGGUUUCAGUGGUUUGAGUUUGAUAGCUAGUGGAGAUAGCCCGGUCUGGAAGGUAGUAAGCCCUGGAGCUAUAGGGAAGUAAGGCCUCGGCUCUAACGACAGAAUAAGGGCAAUGAGCUCAAGAGUCAAAAGCAGGAGUGUUGGACUAAAGAACGGGAAAAGGAUACCAACAUGGGGCUUGGGCUACUGGUGAAUAGGCUCGGCUACUAAAGUAAGUAUGCCUCUCCUGCCUUCCAUUCCGAUACCCUGGGGACACCAUAAGUUCUCUCUGAUAACAAGACUUGAGUUACAAACAAUAAGGAUAGAACUACUCACUAUAAGAUUUCAUUCAGUAUAGCAUGGGAAUGAACUACAGAAUGGAGUCUACUGGUCUCGAACGGACAUACAGAGUUCCGGGAAGGGCAGCUUCUAGGUCAACAGCUAAAGAAUAAAGGUAUUGAUAGUAAGCCAUAUAGUUUCACUACGGAAUGCAAGUAUUUAUUGGAAGAAUCCGAAUACAGGGUAAAAGCUCAAGGGUUUGGUGCUAUAGUUCAAGGUAGGGUAGUAUAGGCUUUCAAUGAGAAAUGACAAUUAUAGGUAUAGCUCGGUUAGGUUCUUUUUCAGAAUCAAAGAAGGGAAAGUCAGAUCCGAGGUCAGUAAAGGAGGGCCCUUACCUUAACUCUAACAUAGGCAUUGGUAGAGAGCUAGCUACGAGAAUCAAAGCAAGUCAAGCAAGACUAUAAGCUCGGAGGGGAAGUUUUCAACAAAGAAGCUAGGAUGUCAGGACCAAGUAAAGGCGAUGUGGGCGUUACUUCCGAUUUGGAUUCCAGAGUGCCCGAGUUUUAUAAGUAGGUAGGAUCGACUUAGAGGUGAGGGGCAGCAAUAAGGCUUGGUUUCUAGUUCCGGUAUUGCUAGCCCAGGCCCUAUUCUUAGAGUGACUAGUUAGAUUUUCUCUUUACUAGCUCAAUUCUGUAUUUGGUAGCUCGAUCCCCUACCCAGUUUUUCGAGUGGAAGACCUUUCCCUUUUGAAGUCCAAUUGGUACCAGUUCCAUUCUUAUAGUAAGUAGAUCAUCCCCUCACAGUUAAGUCUAUCAGGGUAGUAGUCAAUUCCCAAUUUCAAAUAUCAAGUCUUAGUUAGUUGCGGGCGUAGCAGUUCUGUGUGUCAAUGUGUUGGAGCUAUGCCCGGCCCAAACAUAACUUCUUCUAAUAAGAGAAUAGAUAAGUGAUUGUAUUAAUAUAAGUGAAUCGAAUACGGCAUUUAAUAAAUCAAAGAUGGAAUGAUAAGUAGCGGUACAGUUUGAGAGAAGGGAGGGGCAGCUUCCGGUGCAGGGGAAUAAGGCUUGGUUUGUUUUUGUAGUAAGUAAGGCUUUGUUAUUGUGUUCGGGGUCGUAGGCUUCUACUAAAUCAUAUAAAUGAACUUUCAAUACUAUUCUAAUCUACAGGAGUUUGUAUUUCUAUAAUAUAAUCUGGAAAGAGAAUAUGGAAUUGCUACAAAAAAGAGAGAAUGAAAGUAAGGAGAGGCAUAUUAUAAUACAGAGUCAAGUAAGCCUAUCGCGGGGAAUGGCGGACUAACUAGUGGAAUCAAGAAAAAAGUAUGGAUUUCCAGAAUUAGGGGCAACCUCGUAGGCAGGGAUCUGUAUCCGGAGUCUUAUAAUGAAGUGUUACAAGUAGUUAGAAUCAAAGGGGGGAACUACAGGAUGAAAGUCAGCGUAGUCAGAAUCAAGUGCACUAGUUAAAGAAUGCAGGUAAGGAGCGGGCUCUAUGAAGUCAAAGUCGGGAUCCAAUCCCACAGUUAAAGAAUACAGGUCAGUAGAUCAAGUUUUCAAGCCAGUAAAGCAAGGUUCAAUUUCCGUAAAAUAAGUCUUCAUGUUAAAGCAUAAGUAUUGUUAGCGGUGAUGUAGAUCUUCGAGGUACCUGUGAAGGCCUUAAAAGCACUAGGCUUGAAGCACCUUAUUAGAAGUUCAAAGCAUGAGAGAAGUACCAGCUCCAUUCUUAUUGGUAUAAUAGUGAAAGAAUAAAUGUAAGGGUAGUAAGCCUCGGGCUCAGUAGCUCAACUCCUUUUCUUAAGACGGUAGGGGCAGCUACUAGUUAAGCCUAGUUAACAUUGGGUUCAUACUGAUAGGCCGGGGAAAGGCAGAAUCUUAUAGAGUAAUAGAAGGCUUAGCAGGAGGAGGGGAAUAGACAAACAAGGGGAUUGAGGUCAAUAGCUUAAGUGGAAAAGCAAAGAGGAGCAGACUAAUAGCCAGUAAAGACAGAGUGAUAGGUACGAGCUACAGGCUCCGGAAGUGGGGAGCAAGGUUUGGUUCUAUUAGUUAAAGAGUCAAGGCGGGCAAGUAGGCAAGUAAGGUAAAGAGGUCAGUAGCGGCAGGCUAGGUUUGCAGUUACAGCUAUAGAAGCAGUAAUCGUAGUCAUGGUUCCGAGCCCCUACGCUUACGAGUAGUAGAUCCACUCUUAUUGGUAUGGGUUUCGUUCCUUAUAUCGAAUAUUUGUAUUAGCAUCCUGACUGUUGAGUUCGAGGAAGAAUAAUACACAUCACCCUAUUUGCUAUUUAGAAUCCGUAAUCUAUGAAUGAAAGAAGGGAAUGACAGACCAAUAGAAGGGCCAAGCAGACAAGUACUAAGAUCAGAAUCAAACAAGCAAGUCACAGAAUCAAACAGUGCACCAACAGACUGAAAGCAGUACCAGCAAGCCUGAACUAUUCCUUGGGUAGAUCAGAAUUGCACCAGUAAAUCCAAGACUCCAACCAGCGCAUCUAAGCCUGAAACCAUUGUAUCUAAGCCUGUUAGCAGUGCAUCUAAGCCUGAGAGUGCGGUGAAGAAAGUGAGACUGAGGCACCUAACUAUCAGAACCAGUGCAUCUAACAACCAGACUGAACCCAGGGAGUCUAAGGCUUCAACCAGUAAGGGAAAGAAUGCAACUCGUCAGUAAAGGAAUGGAAGCAGUAGCUGGGAGAUAGAGUUAGUGCGGGGCAGAAGCAGUAGCUGGGAGAUAGAGUUAGCGCGGGUCGGGGUUAACUCCAAGGUCAGAAUAGAACCAAGUAGUUUAAGACUCAAAGCAGUGCCAACGAACCUGAUAGCACUACCAUCAAGACUCAAACAAGUACCACUCAGAAUCAAACAGGGAAGUCCAAGAACCGAACCAGUGUUUAACUCGCUACCGCUUUUCUGGUUCUCAAGUCAGGGUAAGGCUAGGGAAGGAAAGAAAGAAAUCAAGGGUUUUCAUCUAGCACAUUACCCAAUUGCUAUAGGAUUCAUUCUACCCAUGUCUAUGAAGUAUGUAAACCAGUCCACCAAGUCAGUCCACCACCCUUACACUAGUAAAAGAUGGGAGCAAGGCUCUAUCCAAAAUAGGAAUGAGUUUACUUAGGUAUAGUAGCAAUACCAAGACCAGAUCAGAGGAGAUAUUCCCACUUUGCUAUCAAAAAAGAUGGGUUUCGGGCAACAAAAUCAGUCUUGUUCCGCUGCUCUAGCUCUAGGUAUUCUAGAAGGAAGUAACCGACCUGACAAGUAACGUAGCUAGUGACAAAAGCAAGAAAAGGAAUCAACUUAUAUAAUAUGUUAAUAGGAGUUGACAUCUUUAGGGUCGAAUACUGGACUUGUCUCCUCUCUUACAACUAUGAACUGCUUCCCUUGUAAACCCUUAACCUCUAAUAAGUGUUAACCUCGACCCGACCUCUGUUAUUAAUUAGUAACAAGUUCUUCUAUACCUCUAGCUAUCAUCUCGCUGGCAACUAAUCCUCUCCUCUGGCUCCACAAACACAUAGCAAGUAAGUCCGCUGGACUACUAUCGAUCAAGGCACCGGACUAAAGUAUAUGCUUGGCUCUAUGUCUUUGUAGUAGUUACUUGCCUAGUGUCUUGUCUGCUUGCCCGGGGCUUGUACCCUCGAAUAGAAGUCGCCAAUCUAGCGAUACCAGACUCUCUGAAUGCAAAUGAGAAUGAAAUCAGUGGUGAGUAAAGUAACCCCCAUAACGUCAAAAGCCAAAUGAGACCACUAAAGCGAGACGACCUAGAAGGCUAGACCUUCAAAGACCUAAUUGGGAUUGCUUGUUGAAGGACAGGAAGCUUGAGAAACACCUAUAACAAUAAUGGAAUAACACAAUAGGAAAUACAUGAAGUUAAGCCGGAGAUCCAGAUCAUUAGAAAUAGAUAAGCGGUUCGAUAGGUCUUUAUACUAUACUAUUAUCCGAUAGGUCUUUAUACUAUACUAUUAUAAGUAUGCGCGUACCUUAAAAUGUGUUCAUUUGCUUUCCAAGUGCUUAUCUCUUCGCUAUCAUCCUUAUGCUAAUGCGAAUAUCCCGUUUUCUUUCAGUUCUUCUUUCUCAAAUAUCCUGUUCUUUUCUUCCUUCUUAAAGAGAUAUGUCUCCUGCCCCAGUGUUGUUUGCAUCUCUAAUCUGACGUUAUUCUUCAGGAAAGAGUUGCCCAUUUCUUCUUUCAAUUUGACUAAGGAGAUUCAAUUGCUAACAAGCCCUUCGUUUCGUGUUUAUACUAUAUAAAAGAGCCUUAUGUUUCCAAGGCUAUCGCACCUCUAUCUUACGUCGGAGUAACGAGUUCACUUUCCAUUUCACUAACGACUGGUACAACACUAUAAGACUCUCCUCGAAAGGCAUAAACAGCUUUCCUUAAGACUUAUGGCGGCGACUGCUCUUAAAAAGGCUCCAUAAACCUUGAAUUGUCAUUUCUCAUCAAUAAAAAGAAAUGAGAUUUGUGUGUGCUCUAUGAGAUCGGUAAGAUUGGAAAGAGUGAUAUACGAGUGUCUGAUGGAUUUUUCUUAGAUCUUGUCUUGGUUCUAUUCGUUCUGGUAUUGCAAUCCUCCCUUUGAGUAAGUUACCCAGAAUAAGAAGGCGGCAAUAGAGGUGGGAAUUCACUAGUUAUUCCAGAUGCAAGCAUCUUUCCCUACUUUUCAAAAAAGCUGCUUCGUGACACCUUUCUCAUGGGCAAAAGCCUUGAUUUGCUACUCUCCUUUGCGAUAUUAUACUCUCCAUGGACUCACCCGACCCGAACUCUACUACGCCGCACUGACACCAGCACUCGAACCCUAACUUCUACUUUCUGCUUGCAGUUGAUUUUAUACUUCUUGAGCAACCAUUAAUAAGUCUGGACCAGUAGGGCCGGGAAGAGAUUGGAGUGUGCCGAUAGGAAUCUUAGAAUGGAAUGUAGCAACGGUUAAGAGCACUAGGGUAGAACUUUACUGCUUAUAAUUAUUCUCUAGCUUAGGAUCUUUAUCCUACUCGCUUCAUCAUUAAGAUAUGAUUACCUUACCAACUAGCUGCCCCCUAGCUUUAAGGCGGAAUCCGGAACUACCCUUUCUUUUCUUCCCUUGACUCUCUAUCCUCUUGCCUUGCCCCAACUCAUAUACUCAUCUGAUUGCCACAACUCAUAUACUCGGUUAAGCCUUAGCCUUUGACUCUAGAAUUCCACUUCACCAAAACACGGGAUUUUGGAUAGCCAAGUCAUUUUCCUUCUUAGCCGGGUUCACUUAUCUGAUCUUUUCACGUUUUCCCGUGUUUUUUCAUAGCAAUGUUAUUUUGCCUCCUAGAUCACCCAUUGGGAAUUCGAUUUAUGACGAAACCCGUGUUUUUUCAUAGCAAGGGUGAGACUCCUGCCGCGUAACAUUAGUAGUUACUUGGCCCCCUAAUAGAGAACCCCAAAGUCAUGCUCAUUUUAUGAAACCCCGGGAAAAAACAUAGCACUGGCAUUUUACCUACUAGAGCUCCCCAAUUGACUUCUUUUUUGACGAAACCCGGGGCCAAGCGUAUACUAACGUAGCGACCAAGCUUAGGCGUAAGACUAAGUGCGGUAGCCAGUAAAGAGUUAUUCCAAGUCAUAACCAAGUCCUGUUUUUGGGAGCGGUUCAUAGCAAAGUCAUUUCCCUUCUUAGCUAGGUCCAAAAGACGGAUUCUUUCACGAAACCCGGUAAACAGCGCUGCCGCUUUCCCGCUCGCUACCGUUUCACUCAACUCCUACCGCUUUUCAGCUCGCUGACGCUCUUUUAACUCGCUACCGUUUAGCUCAGGCUCCUACCGCACAACGUCCGAGCACAGAUACUGUAAUAACUUCGUUAUGACUUCUGACUAUUGCUGACGCACAACAUUAGCAGUUGUUUGUCCCGUUGCUUGGUCAUUAGUAGUUGCUUGGUCGAACACAUAACUAGUAAUAACUGGGGAACUCUAGCGGCCCUGCCGCGCAACAUUAGUAGUUGCUUGGCCCUAUUGUUGUUACUGCCGCACAACUACUUCCGUAGUUGCUUGGCGUCUAGUAGUUGCUUGGCAAACACAUCUUAAGGCAUAGCUCAUCAUAAAUAUACUUUAUGUUGUUUCUUAUUGUCAAAACAACUGCCGCGGAACAUUAGUAGUUCCUUGGCCCGAGUGUCUUGGCGGUCAUUAGCAGUUGUUUGUCCCGUUGCUUGGCGUCUAGUAGUUGCUUGGCCCCGCUUGUUGCUGACUUGAAAACAACACUUGAUACUUGACCUGGAGCAGAAGGAGACUCCACUGAAGUACCUUUACCGAUAAUGCCGCGCUACCAUUAAAACCCAGUACUAGAUGAUUUGAUUCCCUUAACGAAAACUCUGGCAGCAAGAUCUUGCUUGUUUCAUUUCCAUUUCACUUAUUUUCUAUCCAGUGCGCAUAUAAGAAGAUAGGAAUAUAAAUAUAAGAAGAUAGGAAUAGACGAGAGCACUUAGAGUUGGUCCCCGGGUCGGGAUAUAAAUGGAAAUAGACGAAACCUUCCUUUAAACGAUACCGCUUCUCUUGAUCAACUUGAACUUAUUGAGGGCUACUCCACUUGACUUUUGCAAUAUACAAUACUUUCUACUGCUUGAGCAACCAAGUAGGGCCUGUGUGAAGUCAACCACUCAUUGAAUCUAGAUCGCACAUUAUAGAAUCAAGUAAAAAACAUCAUUGUUGCAAAACUAUCCCCGCUCUCUCUGACAAUAGCUUAUAUCAUAGACUAGACGUAAAGCCAAUAACGGAACUCUAUGACAAGGAGUGUAAGCCUACUUAAGCGAACAAAACAUCUGACUUUAUGGACAACUUAGUGGUGACAACACAUCUGACUUUAUGGACAACUUAUAGACCAUAGUAACUCCUAACCGAGCUUAUGUUGCUUGUUUACUUGAACUUGCAAUAUAGUAGGGGAAGGGGAGCGCAUUAACUACAGGUGUUUCAACUUGGCAACGCCCCUUGCUUUCCUAUUUGACUUGAUACUUUACUAUGCUAUUUGACUUCCUGCCUUGCCUAUUUGACAUCCAGCUUGCCCACUAGCUGUGGAAUGGAACUACUCCUUUUCUUUCAAUCGAAUGCCUCAAGGCCUCUUUCUUAGCUUAGGUUAUCUCCUUGACAAAAAAAUAGACUACUACGAAGGCUGGUGAGAAUGUAAUGGAACUAUAUGGCGGAGAACUAACGAGAAAUCUUUAUCCAACAAUCACUUAAACAAAAAUCCCCGGUCAGGAAAAGCAAGCUCUAUCCAAGAGAGCAGGAACUUUGCACUCUAUUACUUAGAACUAGCAGUAACACUCGAAAGUAGGCCACUCACACUGCAACACGAGGGAAACUCACAAUGUAAAGGGAACUUCUAUAUUAAUAAAGAAUACACAGAUAGAUGGACUGAUACUAUAGAAAUAAGUGUGGAAUGGUCUUCUCAACCACUGAGAAAUCAAAACAGUAGGGUUUCACUAAGUCCCCUGCAGCACUCUUACCCGACGAUGACACAGCCCCAUGGAAAAGCUCUAUUCUUCCGCUUAAUGCUUCUGCUUGCUGACGGACUCCAAUGCGUAUCUCUUUUCUGCUAGACGGACUCCAAUGCUUAUCUUUUUGAUCUAUUGUAGGUUCAACCCCAGGUUAUGGAUCCAUGGUUACAGGCCAGCUAUCCUAUUGUCUCGUAUGGAUCGAUACUAGAAAACCCUACCAAGUGCCCGUGGAACGCAUUUAAAGGGCUAGAGCUAGAGACCGACGGGGAUCGGAUCGAGAAAACCAAUCGCGGGGAAGGCGGAAACAGCACCCAUUGAUACUCUUUCGGAAAAUGGGAAAACUGCUGGUAAGGUAAAAGGAGACUUUUAGAGGGCAAAAGGACGCACUUAUCCUAACACUUAAACAGAUGCGGUUGUAUAUCCUUUGUUUUCACUCACACCACUCUAUAUGGAUGGUGAUGAUUAGUCUCUUUGGUUAUUAGUAGAAAUAGAAGAAAAGCGCGUUAGCGAGUUCUGCCCACUACACGGUUGAAAGUAGGAGUCUAAAGUCAGCGGACCUACCCUACUGAACUUGAAAGUUGCAAAGCCAAGAAAACGAUCACUUUGAUACUUCACUCAAUAGGUACAGCCAAGAGAACCAGAACAAAAUAAUACUUAGGUAACAAUAGGUACAGCCAAGAGAACCGGAACACCAUUAUAUACUUGCUAGCCCUAAUAUACCUGAACUGAACGGAACGAAUUUGUCUUAUUCCCUCUUGCCCCCGGACUUUGAUUAUGGCCUUCCCGCUGUAGCUCAAAGCAAACUCCGUAAGCGCACCUUUCCUAACUCACUAUAGCACCCCUAAAUGAGAACCUAAACGGAACUUCUACAGAGAGCAUUGCUUUCUUUUACCGGGGUCCAAAUUGAUUGAUGAUACCCUACUUUCGCUGUUGCUUGCGCCAAACUAAGUUAGCGCUACGGUAUAGGUUGCUUGUUCCUAAGCUUGUUUCUUAUUAAUUUCAUGCGCCUGCCUUCCUAUUCUCUUGUUUCUUAUUAAUUUCAUGCGCCUUCCUAUUCUAUCAGAGAUUAAUAAACACAGCACUUAGAGCCGGUCUAUACUACUAUUAGAGCCGGUCUACAACUAUAAGGGUUCAAAACCCAGAUACUCCACUUUCCACUAAACAGCUUUGCCUGAGAGCAGCGAGAUCCAAAACUCCUUUACCGCCACAGCUUUGCCUGAGAGCUACGAGAUCCAAAACUCGCCACUGCUUCCCUUUUGCUUUUGCUUCAAAACUCUGUUAUGGAACUUUUGCCGUUCACUUCUCUAACUCUAACGCGAAUAGUAGUGUUCGUUCUGCUGCUUGUUGAGUUCGGCGUUGCUUGCUGAAAACACGGGUGACUUGCUUGCUCCCUUGCUUCCUCACUUAUGACUGCUGGCUCUGCUCUACCAAAGUUCCGGGAAUAACAGAAUCGAGUGCGGUGUACUACUUAUGUCAUUUCUUAAAAACAGAGCAUUGCUUAUUUAAAGCUAACGUUAGCGCCCCGAUAGCUCACUAAGGCUUCCUUUCCUUACCGGGGUGUUUAAGCAACUUGACUUGAUACGUGCAUGAACUACGCAGUAAGCUUCAUUGGGCCAGUGUGAGGUAAACACCUUGCUUUAAUUAAGGGGAAUGAAAUACAAAAGAAUAAGAAGUCGCAUAAUAUAGAAUGGAGUAAACGAACUGCUUGCUUUAAGUUAGAAUAGCUAUAGGUGCUUGGCUUGUUGCAUCUUAUUAGUGUAUCUAUGCUUGUCAUUAUUGAACCUAAUUCCUUACUUCUAAAGCAACAACAGUUUGGCCAGUGCUCAGUCAACUUUCUUCUUCUGAGACUUAUUUCAAAUCAUCUAUCUAUCUAUCUUGCACAAUAUAGAAAAUGAAAUAUGGUAAACAAACGGUAUUGCUUCCUAACUCACUCUCUCUCUCUAUAAGGCACCCGCCGGAAAGUAUGUUGAAUCGAAUUGAGGCACAGCACUGUUAUCAGAGUUGAGACUAUCGCCCCUGCCUUUCAUAAUUCAGAAUGGAAUUUGGCGUUAUCCGUUUCUACUAGCGAAAGACACACACCUAUUUGAGAAUGGAAUUUGGCGUUAUCAGUAUAGAUCUCAGUAAAAGCACACUACUUACUCUCAAAGGGAUAAUGUAGGCUCAGUUACGUUGCUUGGACCACAACUCCGUUUAGGCUGGAACUUCAUCUUUCUCGUUUUAGGGUUUACAGCCAGCCCCGCCCCGAAGAAAGCUCUUGUUGUUGAAUUGAGGCACAUGGUUAUAUAAUCUAUUUGUAUUUACUGUGGAACCCUUACUUAUUACAUCAAAGGUCUGCUCGAUUGAAUGAAGAAGAGUAACCCGAUCCACCGCUGAUCUCUUGUACCAGUGUAGUGUGAUAAGCCAGGCAUCAAAGAAAAGCAACCAGCUAACGACGCCUUAACGUUUUGAUGCUUGCUAAAGCAGAGUGAUUUUCAGGUUGGAGAGUCCGGAGAACAAGCAAACAAGUGAACAAACAACGGAACAAGAAAAGAAUGAAGCCUAUCCACACAAAUAUCUGAAUUAUUAACAAUACAGCUUUUGCUUCCUUAAAGAACAAAUAGGCGCCGAACACUGGACCGGGCCUACUGCUUUCCAACCUUCUUUUGACCUUGCACGCCUUUCUCUUAUUAUAUGAAAUUGUCUUAUAUGAAAUGUUUGAUAUGAAAUUAUCGUAUUAUAUGAUCUUCUCGGACCCUUUUUGCCAAAUCGGUGUCAAUAUUCUAUAGUAUGAGGUUCAACCAUUUGCGGAGCUAGUUCUAUUCCUCUCUCCGCUGUUUCGCCUCCCGCUUGCUCUAGGAUCUCAGGCCCUAAGCUAGAGCCGGCAUGGGAUAAGCAUGUUUCCCGCACCCCAUGAGUGGUAACUUGCUCGACCCCCUGCUUCGAGAGCUGACACCUCUCAAUUCCCAGUCUACCCUUUUUCUCAACAAGAGCACCCUUAACUCCUCUUUCAGGUAACUUAAGAAGUCUUCUGUCUAGCUUCGCUAACCUUUUCUGUGUGACAACAAGAUUUCAUUAUGUAGCUUCUCUGUUCCCAGGAGCUUCGAAGUCCUCGGCUCGGGGAUGUUGCUUUUCUAAUCCCAGCUCUUGCAACCGUACUUGUACUGGGAUAUGAGAAAGGCCGUAUUUACUUUACACCACCUACAAGCUUCGGAAGGUCGAGAUUUUAGGAAGUGUCAAAGAUGUCGCCAUCUUCGGGGACAAGAACAAGCUCAAUAAAAGCUUCCUUUCGAGGUUUCUUCUGUCUUUUGUCUUUUGAAAAUACCUAUAGGUUGAAGUUCACUCUAUAUCACUAAUGAUUCUAAGGGCAUUUAUUUGCCAUCGGCUCGGAUUCUAAUGAACAAGCUCCAAUCCACAGAGAAGAGAAGGAAGAGGAGAAGAGCUGGAAUAGUUUCAUAUAUGGAAGCCGGCCUUUCUUUAAGUACUAUGCUUCUUGCUAGUAGAUUGGAAAUGCUCACACCCAACCCCGUCAUUAUUUUGUCUUUGUUCCGUGGGGUAGUAGCAGUUACUUCCCUUUGUGUGUCAGUCUUCUAUUCGUUGUCAAUUAUGGGCCUUACACUGACCCCAGGAGGUACACUUUAGGUCCUUUACUCUCAUUCUCAAGGCAAUUCCAUUCUGGUGUGCGGAAGCCUGCUUUCUGCUAAGUACUUUAAGAAACGGCCUUAGCUGCUCAUCCCAUAACCCGCUUCCCUCGACUGCCUUCAGAGAAGAGUAGGGAGAUUUCGAAGAAUUCCAUUCCAGAAAAGUGGUCAAGGUUGGAAGGAAGAACAAGGCUAACGACGUAGCAUACAUUAGGCAAGACUAUCUUAUGAGAGUCUAAUUAGCGAGGACUAGCUCUAUUUGCUUGUGAGCGUACGAAGAGCGGUUACGAAUAAGAUCGGCAUGCAUGGUGAGCUAGGAGGUAGGGCUUAUUAUUUCGCGAAGGAAGGUCUACGAUCAGUCAACUGAAUGCUCUUUGAUGAUCUUUCUCUUUGGGUUGGUUGGGGCCCACGGGACUUAAGUGACUGGUGGCAACAACACUCCGUGCAUCCUUUGGAUGUGAAAGCCCCGCAUAGAGUUAAGCGCUAAGGGAAGCGGAGAGCUAGAGGUUAAUAGGUAAUGAAAUAGAGUGAGGAAAGCAGCUUCGGUUCAGUUCGGGUGCGCUUCUCUGACCCGGGAACCUUAUUACCAAGAUUAGAUACUCACCACCUAAGCGAGCCUUGACUACGAAAGCGAAACGUUGCGGCUAUUCUUCAUAUGUCAAAAAGAAAGAAAGUGAGAAGGAUUUGUUGAUAGUUGCAUUCUGACUUUAGAGUGGAGAGCAAGCACUAGAGUGAGUUUGAUUCUUCUACUUCUUUGUUUCAUCCUAUUUGGAGAGUGUAAUAUGAAGCUGUAUCCAGAUGUAGGGUAAGAGAGCGGUGUUGUCGGUUCUGAGUCUUAAGCGGUUGGUACGACUUAAUCAUUCGGUUCCUUUCCUAAAGUUGAGUUAGAGUUAAGCGAGUGAGAGGGGCGAUCUUAUUGCAACACCGCCAAGUCACUGCCAACAUAGCCCUGUUUUAUAGGCUUGAAAUGAACGAAAACAUCACAGUAGUCGUUUGAUGGCAAAUGCCCUAUAGACUUAUCGGCUUUAGAAAUGCAUUGACGCCUAACAUCUUGACCCUAUUGCUCUGCUCGGCUCUUAACAUCUUUGGUCAUAGUCAAUUCCAUUCUUAUGUACCAAGUCCUGUGCUCGCCUCACUCGAUCGACUCAGGCGUUGGUUUGAUUCCUUUUAUAUGUACCCGCUAAGGCAACCCUGUCCGCAUUGUUUUUGAUGUUUAGGAUUGAGCUUCUGAUGUAGUCAGUAGGAACCGUUGUUAUGUUUUGAGCGGAUCCACACACACCUGAACAGACUAGUCUACGCCCAGCCAGCCCGUAAGCCUUUCCCACCCCAGGAAAGCGAGCCCAUAAUAAGAGUCAGAUACCUGCCACCCUAUCCAAAUCGAAAAAUGAACAAGAAGAACGAUAAAGUAGGUAGACCCAUAGGAAGAAACGGACAUAAAUCUUGGGUACAUCCAAGAAUGAAAGAAGAACGGAGGGCUUUCUUUGAGCUUAUAGGUCUGGGAGUUCUUAGCUAAAUUGACUAACGCUCCGACUACCGAAACUAGCUUAGGAGCUUUUAAGCGGAAAUGAAAUGAAUCUAUCUCUUCCUACGUAAUUGGAAGAAGCAUAAAGCAGAAAUGACUUUCUGAAUCGUUACUUUCCUUUCACCUAUAGAAUCUUAUUUCUCUACGGUAUAUAUACGAGUAUCAAAUCAGAUUUCUCUACGGUAUAUAUACUAGUAUACUUUGGAAGGUAUAUCUACUAGUAUACUUAUUAAGCUGGGGCGGUCUCUUUUUAGUAAGUUGAAGGCCAGGCCCUUGCUUAUGGAUAAGCCGUUGUUUUCCCUCACAAUGCUGAAACCCAUAAAGUGUGAGUGCUGAGCCCUUUGCUUUGCUGUCAAUUUGACUCGGAAAGAAAAAGGCUUCAUUAAGUGGGGAUCUCCUCUAGUUCUGACCGUCCAGGUAUACUCUAUAGCUCUCCGCCGUAAGAACCUAAGAGCUAACUGCAGGCAGGAUAUAUUCUCAAGAAAGUCCAAUUGGGAGCCUAUCUCUUAAUCGGUAGCUUACGAGCAUAUCGACGUUCCAUCUCUGGGAGUCCAUCUUCUUUCCCGUUUGUUUAAGUUGGAGUUCCCUUCGGGAGGUGGGAAAGUUAGCUCCACCGGCCAGUCUCCUAGGGUCUAAUACUGGGAGUGACUACGGUUUCAAGGGGAGACGGCAAGUUAACAAGCAAGUUGAUUUCACCAAUACAGUGAGCUAGCUCCAUUCUUUAUUCCAGUGUGGAACUAGAACCAGCCUAUAAUCUAAAAGCAUUACCUACGAAGAUGGAUUAGGAUAGCUCAAAGACAGAUUAGCGGAAUUCCGAGUGAGUUUCUAGGCUAAGGAACGAACUUCCCGACAUUCCAUUUGAACCUUCGCAAAGACAAUGGUUGUAUAGAACGAGCUCAUAGCCCUAAUAGCAGAUUGAAACUGGAAUAGCUAGUAUGAAUCGCAAUCCCAAUGCAAUGCUUCUCUCUCUUUCCCUCUAUCAUUCCACUUCAUGUAAUAUUAUUUAGAUAACUUCAUGUAAUAUUUUUUAGAUAAGAUAUAUGGAGUAGGGAUAGAUAAGAUAUAUGGAGUAGGGACCAGUUAGCUGAAAGAGCGAGCCAAUCUUUCUUUCUUUUGAAAUCUGAAAAAAGAAAAGGAAUUUGGGAAACCAUAUGGUCUGCUGGCCUUAUCUCUACUCGAGUGUGUGAAGCAGGUUUGAAGGAUGGGAGAGAACAAUGGUAAACGGCUUUAUCCAACGGUGAACCAUCAAUCGCAAAGAUCGAGCCAUCAAAAGAAAAGAGGUGGAACAGAUCAACGAUCCUUCUAAUCCUAUUGAUCUAAGGAUGGAACAAAGCCCCGUCGUAGCUUCCUAUUAUCCGGUAAGCCGUUAAUACCCAGGUAGUUCUUAGAGGGUUGUGAGAGGGAGAAUCUGAAGGAGAUCAAGAGUCAACCAUCCUUCGCUGCAAAAACAAUACCUGCUGUGGACUUUGUGGACGUCUCAAAGCUUCCAGACCCUUGUUUUGAGGGGGAGAGACCACACAUAAAGAUAGCGCAGGACGCCUCCCUUCUAGUUCGAGGGCUUUACUACAGCAAGCAUAGCUUAAUCGGUCACCUUCAUCUUUCUAAGAUCCCCAUUCUUCAUCUUUCUAAGAUCCCCAUUCUUAGGGUAAGGAAGAUGGCAAAGCAGCUGUGGAAACCAAGCGAAAAUCAAAAGCGAACCUAGCUUUGUAAGGGUGAAUUUCGGAUUGAUAACAAGUUCUUCCUCAGAUUCAAGGAAAAGAGAGAAAGGCUAACGAACGUGGAUGUGUAAAAGCCUAAAGGGCGGAAGCAGCAAGUAGCUGGGGAAUGGCCAGAUUCCUCUCUGCCCUCUGCUCGGCAACGCAAUUCCCAUGCUCUAACGAGCACCAGCACCCCUCUUUCAAACUCACCUCACUCUCACUCUAGCUCAUUUCCUUCCGGCGUGACAUGGAUGAUCCGCCGACCGAAUCCAUUGCUCACUUCACCACGAUCCAUUAGGUGAAACGGUUGUGCAAAGUGUGUUUUUUUCAUAUAGGCAGCGUGGUUAUAGUACUCUGAUUGUGCCAGCCAUGCAAUUCGUACUUCAUUGGCUGAAUGGCUAUACACUCUCUAAAUGGAGGCUCGAGAAGUGUUUUCUUCAUCAAAUUCCAAUCACUGAAAUGGAGUAAUAGCACGCUACUAUAGCAGAUGCUGUAAGGCUCGCUCCAAUUGUAAACGAAGCACGUAGAAAACGAACUGCGCCAACGCCGGAGAACCAACACAGUUUCUAGAUAAUAUUAGCUUUGGAUCAAUUUGAGACAGCAACCUAGUGUUGUUUAGGAAAGCCUUUUGCACCUCAAAAGAAGUCAAAGAGAGAAUGCCUCACCUAAGUUAGGAUCUAUGUAGGAGGAGGGCGCCUACAGUAAAGGGAUAUGUGGUUACUACCACAACUUUAAUGCGGAAAGGCCUUAGUCUUCGGUCAUAACUUUCGCAUUGGUCAUCCAAUAAAAUCCCUGCCGAAACAGCACCGUCUUUCUUUUUUUAUCCAAUCCCAGCAAAGCUACAACUCGAGAACUUUUCAUUCCCACUUUAGUGUCCUACCAACUACCUAUGGCCUAUUUUUGUUCCACUCUGCUUUACACUCCAAGGGUUCUUUUGGAUCAUAAGCCUAAAAGUUCCAUUCAUGGCCUGGUUUCAGAUUGAAGAGAAUCAUAAGUCAUUAAUUGGAUUAUUCAUAUACGGCUGCCCCUUUCAAGUUAUCCUUAUCUACUGAGGUAUCUGCCCUACACACAUUGGUUGAAGGACGUUCCUUCUUGUUCUCUAUAUCAAAUGAUGGAUCAUUUUGGACUUGUGCGGUUAUUCUGCCUCAACCGACUGGACCACUUUUCUCUCUUGGAUUUGAUAAGAAAGAAGGAAAAACUAACCAUCAAGCAUGCGGGUACAAAGUUGGAUCAAAUGCGGAUUCCUCCACUGUUUCCUUUGCUUGAAAUCUAGCUUCGAUCAGAGUUUGCCUUUGCUGCUGCGGCGUCUUCCUUGGGAUACCCACACCACCUAUGUAGAAUAGAGUUCCUGGAAACGUUCCUUUAAGUAUAAGUGUUUUAAAGACCCGGGCAGAUGCUUACGAGGAGCUAAAGACAUAGCCGGUGGAUAUAGUAAUUCUAAGUCAAGUCAGAUGCUUACGAGGAGCUAAAGACAUAGAUAGCGAGUAUAUCCACAAAUUCCUCAGUCUUUCGCUCUCCAACCGCACACUGGGAUUUGGAAAGAAAACGAACAUAAAGCUCGAGCUAAUAUAAUGGUUUUAGUUGCACGUGGAUUGUAAGUUCGUGGAUUCUCCAAAAUAGAAAUAGACUAUUGCCAACGAAUGAAUUGGAAGAGGGGUACUCGCUACUUGGUUAAGUAAAGUCGCCUAUCCAUUUGUUUAUAGCAACCCCUGCCCGGGACGCAGUAUCACUAUUCUAGGCUACAUCCUAUAACGAAUAAGCUGACUAUUUCCAUCUUUCUUACGAAUAUAAGGGAGCUCGGGAUAGCACAACAAACCGAACCAAGACCUUCUCUGACUGACGGGUACUAUACUCAUCCACACUUUUUCCAUCAUCCGAUCUAGAUGAAGAGAGGUGUCGUUUACCAGUGGCGCAACAUACUAAUAGUCAGAAAGUCGCCAGGAGCCGUAGCUCAAUAGCUCUAUUUAAUAGAAUCCGUUUUCUCAAAACAAAAAGGGCUACUAUACUAGCAUGAGUCAGAAAAGAAGCACAUCGUACGAGCAAGAACCCCGCCUAUAAAUAAAGGUGGUAAGAAUCGUCGCUCCAGUGCCUGGUAUGAUAAAGGUAUAGCAUAUCGAUAUGACCUGUACCCAUUCGAUUUUCGCUUUUCUUCGAAAAAGAUUGUAUGUGCACUACUUCAUGGGUAGAUACUCAAAUACAAGCAAGGGACUAUUUACUUGGUUUUACUUACACUAACUCUCAUGCUAUAAAUGUAUCCAAAAGCCGCAGCUAGUCAAUCAUUCUUGUUUCACGAUCCGCAAAUUCCUCAAUACAAAGGCGUGACUCACCAAACUCCGAAAUAAGUCAAACUAAGUCGGGCAUGCAGAUCCCUUUUGCUACGAUGAACAUUAGUAAAGUUCCUAUUUAUGUGCCUUUAUCACCAAUUCUUAUUCACAAAUAAUGGAUCAAUAGACUUCUUUUCCGUACACUUCGUAGUCUACUCACCAACUCUUUGCCUUUGAUCUGGGACCCUUGAGUGACAUGAUUCUUAGUAGUCUAUGAUUAUUACAGUAGGUACUCUCUAACUAUUACCCAGACCGAGAUAGAGAUGGACGAAGGAUCUCCUAUUAUGCUAAUAGAGCAAUAAACCCCCGGGUACAAGAAUACUAAGCAGACUUUCACUCCGCCUUUCUAGUAGCAAUUAGUAGCAAUUCAGACAACAAACUUCCUCUUAUUAUUUCGCAAAUGCCGCUGAUGCGUAAUACAUUGAGUUGGACAGCUUUCCUUGAGCAGAUAGGACAGAGCGCCAUCAACAGACGCGAAGAAAGCACCUAACUGGGGUUGAACUGAACAGCCUCGAUCCUCAUCUCCUCACAGAAAUACCUUGCCUAGCUCUACUUUAUUAUAGCAGGAACCCAGAGUAAGCCUUUCUCUCGUGGCUUUCGCACGUUGAUCUUUCUAUACGAGCGCUAAAAGGAAAAAGGGAAGCAGUGUGCAUAAGUGAAAGAGUGCAAUUCGUCAUCUGCAAUCGGAAAGUGACCUUCUUGUAUAGGGCGGGCAAGAACUGGUAGAGCAAGUAGUUGUCGUUUCUAAAGUCAGAGGGAAUGCUACUCCGCAGAUUCCACUCGUACACAAGGAGUAGAUGCAAUCUUUCUGUUUCAUCUGUUGCCAGAGGUAUAGCUUAUAGGUAUGGGAGAGUCUAUAUAUCCAACUUGUGCUUACGCGAGCGGAACGGGGCGCUACCACUAAUUGUAGUUGCUGUGCUGGUUGACUUAUUUCUUUAGUGGCUGUAGUUGCUGGUUGACUUAUUUCUUUAGUGGCUUUUAGGCUUGGUUGGUUUCCUCGGGGCUAACGGAGCUCCCUGUGCUCGAAAGAUUAUUGUCCCGUCCUGUUUGCCCUAUAUAGUAUCUCCGCUCGAAAGUCAGAGUAUAAAGAAUUUCAGACAGAAUACUUAGUAGGGUCAGCAGCGAGAUCAGUGAUUGGUUUGCUUUCCCGAGGAGUGGUGGCCAUUUAGAUUGAUGUUUUCCUCCAUCCUCUAUAGCAACUGAUCCUUACUCUGUCUGAUCUUGUAGACUUUCCUUGCACUAUUGAUUCUCUCGUAGACUUAACAAGCACGAGAACUCAAACUUCUAUUUAUGAAUCGACAACACCUGACCUCACUCUACUUGUUGAUUUAUCCGCGAUAGAGGUUAUUGGUGAUUUAUUGGCUUGACGUCUAUGAUAGAGGUGAUUGAUUGUAUCGGUGCUGUAGCUCCUUGUAAUGGGGGAGGCUCUUUACUUGACCUUAGUUGUCGACGAUAGAGGUACUCGUGUGAAGCAUCUAUUUCCUAUGUUGUCUUUACUGAGGUACCCGUGUGAAGCAUCUAUUUCCUAUGUUGUCUUUACUUACGAGAAAGAAAUCAAGAAAGUCAUACUCAUUCAUUACCAAUCCAUAGAAUUAAUGAAUAGGAAAAUCAGAUCAAUUCCAAAUGAGGGUAUAUGUUCCUAACCAGCUCUAGUUCCUGGUAUUACACUAACUCAAUCUCCUUGCUACUGCUCGGGGGGCUGGGGCAAAAAAGAAAGACGCUAAUCCAGAGGCUUCGAACUAUUGAUUGGAAAAAAUAGGAAAGCAUAUGGGGCAAGGCCCUAAUAAGAUAGAUCAUUGCUAGAGAGGGCCAGGAAAGUGGCGAUUAGAAAGAGGUGUUUUUACCUUUGAGACUAUUUGACCGAGGGUUAUCUCCCUGGCAAGUGAAAUGGAUUCGAUUCUCCCCCAAUCAACGAGGUUUUCACGUCCCAAGCACACACAGGUUAUUUUUCUUCUAUCACGUGCACAUUUUCAAAGCAGAUGAAUUUGCUAACAAGCCAAAAGCGAAAGUAGAGGAAAGAGCAAGAGAGCAGUACUCGCAGAGAGAGAAACAAAGACCCAGAUCGCAAAGCACGUAGGAAAGUCAUAGGAGUUCAGAUGCGGUGACAGCAAGAGCCUUAUUGCCCCGCCCCUUACUAACGCCUAGUUUCUUUUCUUUCGUCCUGACCUUUGACUUUGCAUGCUAGGCUUGGCCCGACUCCUUAAUAUAGGGGAGUUGACUUACUUUGUGGGGUAGGCUUUUUGACUGACUUGUUAUGUGUUUUUUCAGUCAUAGUUCCGAAUUCAGUUAGAAGAAGCACACCGCUCGUCACCAACUCAUUCACCUGGUCACCAACUCAUUCACCUCUAAGCCAACUCAUGAACUUAGGGUAGAAGACCGCCUUUUCUUCCAAUAGAAUAGAAAGAAGUAACACUGGAAAAGGGGUAGGAAAAAGGUAUGCUAUGUUGUUGGAUCCGUAGAGCAAGGGGCGAGGUCAACCAUCAGUGAUUUAGCAGUGCCACCUGUCACUUUAAGGGUUCUCUCAUGCACUGUUUCAGGGAGAGGACAUCCGGCAGGACAAUCAGCAAGGGGAGCGGCAAAGUCUUCGAGCAGACAGUCAUCCCUAGAUGUAAAGGUAAGGGAAAGGGAGUGGGAAAUAGAGAAACCUUUAGUGUCCAUUUGAGAAAACACUCCUAUUCUUGUUCUUGUUGACGAACAAAAGAGUGGAUUCCAAGCUGGUUUCCCUACUUAGUGGAUCUAUAGAGAGAUAGAGCACAGGGGUGUUUACUUAUGCAAGGCAAUAAAGUUCGAGGCGGUAAGCAGAGCGGGACAAUGAGUUGAAUCGUCGGGACAAUCAGUGUUGUCAUCUAAGGAAAAAAGAAAUACAAAUAACGCACCUCACAAAGUAAGCUAAGGCGCAACCAACAAGAAAAUCCAAUCAUUGAAACUCGACGUCAUGCUAAGGCGAGUUGACCUGACCGCUCGAAAGAUGGCAUUCAAGCAGGGUGAAGGGAAUUGACUGCCCCAUACUCCACUCCAACCUGCGCCUCAAUUCGAACUUCCAGUAAGCAGGUGCUUAGAUUCGUAUCAGUACCAUUAGUCUCCCCUUUCUUAGUAGCAGCAAAAGCAUCCUAAAAGUAGUCAAUUCCAUUAUGCAAUUCCUAUUACCACUUCCGCGGUAAGUGAGUGGAUUGAGGUCAUAGAGAGGGGGAGUUGCAAGCUAUGAGGUCAUAGAGAGAGGGAGUUGCAAGCUAGUUCAAGUCCAGCAGCAAUCGGGUCUGUUCUGCAAGAGAAGUUAUGCGUCAGGAGAGGUGGGCAAGAAAGAGCACUGGGUUAGACAGAUUCAAUAAGAUAGUUGCCACUAGUAUACGAGGUUGACGAGAUAGAGUGCAAUUCCUACUUGCUGGUCGGUCCAGCUUCCUCACCUGUACUUUCUUAUGUAUCAAUUCUAUCUUUAUUAUGUAGCAAUUCUAUCUCAAGCUUCUGUAUUAAAUGCUUCUGUAUCAAAGCCGGUGCAGUACCAUAUUCUUCCUCAGACAGGCUAGGGACCCUGACUUACUAGGCGAGGCACCCGGAGACUUGAAACCCGAAGUCAGUGAAUUCCUUAGCAACCUGACCUAUGACUUUCAAUCUGCAUGUUAGAUCUGAGGCAAAAGCUAUAUCCUGUCCGAAGCCACUAGGGAGACUUAUCUUCUACAGGAACAGGCCUAGUAGCUGGGAGGAAGUAAACAGAUAUUAGAUAGGGAAGGGCAGAGUUAAGUACCGUGGCAGAGUAAAGUACAGGCGAGUCAAGAAGAAUCAGCUGGGUAUUGCGACUUUAGAGGGAAAAGAGAUUGGUUCGGUGCUAUAGUUCUGUCAACGAGAUCAUCAGCAGCUGUGAGAGUUGAAUACCGAGUGAACCUUUGGAAUUGAAGAAUCUCAUAUAGAAUAGAAGCAGUGUGAGUCAAAGUCUAGGGGCGGGUGCGUGUGUUUCAUCUUUGUUUGUUGGCGAAAGUGCCCUGUCCGUAUUUUAAGGCUUGAAGACCAGAGUUUCAUUCUGACUUUAGUAGAAGAAAUGAGUCAACUCUCUUCCACCGCUCCUGCAACUAAGUGUUUCUCCCUUGUAUUUCAUUCCAUAGUAAGAGCUUCGGCCUUUCCCUUUGAAGUAAUAUUCCUCUCUUAUAUACUUUAGCUCUAAAGAUUCCGAUUCCAUUAACCAAGAGUUCUGAACCAGGGAAUUCGAGAAUAGAUCCCCGGCAUAUGAGCCUGUUACUACUGUCUCUCUGCUCGACACCCUUGAUAUCAAACUAGCGCUACUGACUUGAAGUCUUUUACUACCUUUUAUCACUCUCCAGCUAAUGCUUCUCAUACUUUCACUGCUGAGCCCCAAGCUGCCCUCUUGACACAACAAUUAUGUAUUUAUAGCUUUAGUAUGCCUCUACUUGCUUGAAAGCCGAUACCAAUACCGAGAAGACCGUUCCUCAUAACCGGGAAUUCGACUCGAAACUGAGCAAUUGCACUCGGGAAUCUCACUUCAACUAUCAACUCUGGGAAUAGAGAAUACGGGUAUGAUACAACGCAUACAGCUAUGAAUAAGGUGCUGAAAGCCUACUAACAAUAAGAGUGGAACCAAUGCCAAUAGGAACUAAUAAUAGGAAUAACCCUAAGUAGUAAGGCUCAGUGAACUCAACUAGCAAGAGCAAGACCGAAACCCACUGACAGCAAGACGGACUCUUGACUUUAUAGAGCCCGCUCCUCGGUUAAAGUAGUCUAAACUCCAUUCUAUUGGCCUGUAACUACUGUAUCUAAUUCUUCAUCUACUGAAACAAAACCUUACUCACUAGCUUUAUCCUUACCCUCGUGCCCAGCGACUCCUUUAUCUCACCCUGUUGCGCCUUCCUUUCAUUUUCCUACCAGUACUUAUUUGGGUCUACCGCCAGUACUUAUUUGGGUCUACCGUUCCUGUCCUCAAUUCUGACUAAUACCAAUCCGAGUCUACUGACCCUGACCUUAAAGCAGUGUAUAGAAUAUCGGUUGACUCUCUUAUCUACUCGGGCAAUAAAGAGUUCUCUCCUGGGGCACUAAAGAUCCAAUUCAUUCUUUCUCAUCUGUAUGCUGGAUCAGAAUCUCAAGUAUGGAUACAGGUAAGGUCCGAUUACUCCUUUAUAUACCAGCUAGGGCUCGAAAGAAGGAUUCCAGUGCUGUUGACUCGGCAACUUACAAUAAAUACUCUGUGCUCUCACUGAUGAAACUACGAGUCCUGUGUUCGGAAACUCCAAAGUGAGAAUGAAAGGUGGAAUUGAGUCUACCCGCUCCUACCGCGCAACAAACUACUAAGCUUGGCCCAAGGAUCAAAGUCUUACAAUAGGAUCGGGCAGGAACCCAGUCCAAACGAAGAGAGCUAGGGUUUGUUUUUCAUUAAGAAUGAGAAUAUUCUUAAGAGAUCGUUCCUUACGUUUAGCAAUCAAUUAGAUCCCGACUGACAACGCUUGAAGCAUGGCUUGCCGUUUCAGGGGCUCGAUGCUUCUUUCUAUUCAUUCUUCGUAGCUUUCUUUUUCAUGUUAUUUGAUCAGGAAUGGGACUGAGAGAGCUAGCCCGGAUUCUGUCUUCAUUGACCUAGUAGCUGGACAAAGACCCAAGGACGGGGGCCAAUCAAUCUCAUCCGGAUCCCUAUUGGUGAGAAGACGGACUUUUCUCCCAUAAAGUGAUCAAGGAGCGUCAAAUAUUCUGAUACUAGGGUAAUAAGGAGCUCGCUCUUUCACUUGCAUAGUGAGGAUGCCCAUAAUCGGCUUUUGCUCUUUUCGAUUUCAAAGGAACCGCCAAGCUACGUAGUCCGGUCCGUCAAUGAAAGCCUUUAAUCCGCGGAAAGUAUAGGAUAUCUACAUACGCAGUGGAAAGUUAGAAACAUAAUAGGCAAGAUUGGAAUGCAAGAUAUUCCACUUAAGUAUCCUGACCUUCAGGUGAUCGAUCAUCGGAACGAUGACACUGAGCGAGAAAACCAAUCCUUAGGGAAACCUCGCUUUCUCUAACUAACUUAUUUCAUAACUUGGAAAGAGGUGCAGCAAUCAUUCGAAAGUUCGGAUGGAUGGAGCCAACGCCUUUCACUAAUAUACAGAAGUCACAUGGUUUCUCUACAAUGAGCAGGCAAUAACAUUUGAGAGCUAAGCCCCCACUUGUUAAGAUAUGCACGGGCCUGAAGCUGCUAAAGCGACUGCCAAUUCAAAGAAGAAAGAAGCUACACCGGCUUCUAUUAUAGAGGCCCGAACUCAGCUAGCCGUGCCCACUAUAUUAAUAAAGGUGGGGAGUUCUGCCUUUCUUUUGAUGUAGGCUUCCACACAUUGUAUAGUUCCACUCUCAUGCUUUCUUUUGAUGUAGGCUUCCACACGUUGUAUAGUUCCACUCUCAUGCUUUCUUCUCCUGAGAGUCUUCCUUGCCCUUCUUUCUUUGAGUGUAGCGUGUCGGUCUUUGCUAUUUCGGUCUCCCUCCUUUAGCCAAGAGACUCUGGCCUUCUGCUUAAAGUUCCACUCUUCUGUAUCUGGUUCAACUCAUCCAAUUUUAGAAUAGACUCUUAUGCUCUGCGAGCCUUUCAUUGAACUGGAAAAAGGAUAGGAUAGCUGGGAUUGGUCUAGUUCUUCUAUGUGCCUCUUUCUUUUUCUUUCUUUUAUCGACCCGUAACUUGGAAUCUUUCUUUUAUCGACCCGUAACUUGGAAAUGAAAGGAUUUGACGCUGCUUUGAAAAAUGGAAGCUUCUGGGCUACCUGGAACAUGGGGUUCGUUCCCUUUAAAGGUUGCCAGGCCUCUUGCACUGUUUUCUGAAACGAAAGAAGCCUCGUCCACAACAUGUUAAUAAUCAACAGGGUUUCGGGCUCGGCUCCUUUCAACAACAAGGCUGAGGUAAACAAUGAUAGGGGAGUUCAACCAUUAAGGAUAUUGUAAGCACUGAUUCACCCUCGGAGAACAAGAGCGGAACUGGCUAGAAUCCUUAUAGUUCGAUCCACAUUCCAUAGCUUCUGAUCUAGCUCCCGCACCUUUAGAAGUUGUAAAGCCACGCACUAGCUGACUUCCCCUAUUAGAUUGACCCCGCUGGCGAUCACAGAAGAUUCUUCCCUAUCAUUCCAUCGCUUCAUGCCUUCGACUGAGACCUAUCUGCUUAAUUCCCGAGUUGAACUUCACUUGGACACAGCCGACCAAAGGGGAGAGGGCAAGACUGCUUUUGCUUGAAAUGAAAGUCAAGUUUACUUUAUUGCGUACUUCUUUCCAUCCUGAGAAGGCUUUCAGCACCUUUGCUUUGGAAAGUUCCUAGAAACCAUUCUUAAUACGCUUAUUCUCUGACCGGCAUACCAUGCUACAUGAGUUCCAACCGGAUCUUUAUAACUAAGAGAAGAUUCGCUGCAAGGAGCUUAUUUACUGUUUCAUGCCCUACUGACUGAAUGGCUUUCCCUACCUCUUCCGGGCUUUAUUGCCAAAAGUGAUUAUAGCUUGAAUUGGAACCCACAACAAUCCGAAUCAAAUCCAGAUGCCAAUCCAAUGAGUUCGAGUUCCCGCAGCUGGAAGUAAAGCUAGCAGCGUAGUCGCCGACAUAGAAAGAGAAGACCUGAUCUUGGACUUGCAAGCUAUCUCGAGGGAAUCACUUGGAGCACAAGCUUUCGAGAAAGGUGAGAUACAAUCCAGAGAGUUCGAUCUCUGUAGUAAAGUCUAAGACAGUUUAUUCGGUAUCUAAGAAAACGAUUCUAGAAAGCGCUAGGCAUGCAUCUCAAGUCAUUCAAUGCUUCGCUUAAGGCAAUUUCCGUAAUAAUAGGAUGUAAGUUCCAGGUGAACCAUCUUAGACUAGCUAAUAAAGGAGAAUUUGUUCUAACACCUUUUUGAUUACGUAAAAGAAUGGAGCAAACGAACUCCUGACUCGACGCCUUGAGGUUUGGAUUGCUGCAGGUCUAAUAGUCGACGAAAGGAAAAAAGGAAAAGAGUUAUACGCGAAUUGCUACACCUUUAAGCCAAUUGAAUUAGUAAUCGAUGCUAGAAAGGCGAGAAUCCCUAGCCGGUGUUAUAGAAUUCCAUAGAGAAGAGAGACUAAGCCUGCUGUUAAUGAAUUGGACUGGACUCCUAAGAUAAUAUCCGGAACUGUUAAUGAAUUGGAUUCCUAAGAUAAUAUCCGGAACUCCAGGUUGAGUCAACAAUAAUUGUAAGUAGAGACUCUAGAUUCUAUAGACGGGCAUUCCUUUCGAUCUUGUAUCUAGAAGUUGAGGCUUGCAGCGCUCGCAAACACUAUCCCUUAGUAGAAAGCAUUGAAUGAAAGGUGGGAUGCCUUAGCUUUCAUGGAGAGGGUCGGGUCGUAGAAUCCCGGGGUUGAACUCCUACCUUAGAGUUACUGCACCGGGGGGCCUUAAAACCACCUUUUGGGGUAUUGGCGCAAUGACUGAAUUCUGCUAUUCUUUGUUACGAUAGCAGGGUUUGGUAUCCACUAGUUUCUAAGGGCCGCAUUUAGGAGUGAUUGAUCUGUUCAUCAAACUCUCAAUUGCAAAAAAGCAACAAAGUAGGAAGUCUGGUUCACAAGGUUAUACCACAGAAGGGCCCACUCAUAAGUUGCCUUUCCCCCAUUUCCAAAAGUGGUACAAGAGACAGGAUCAAAGGCUUUUCGAAAUUGGGAUUUGGUCUGUGUCAGUAGGUCUGAUGGAUGCGCCGUUUCGCGUCUAGUAGUGAUUUUGGUUGCUGAAGCCCCAGCCGAUCCUGUCGUGCCUUAAAGCUGGAAAGAAGAUGGAAAUUGAUGGUCCCCCCGGGUUAUGGAUCUGGCAAAAUAGGAAGUGCAAAAUCGCGAAACAAUGCUACAACUACAUCCUUCAUUCCUAUUGAAAGAGAAACUCAUCCAUGGAAACAGGUGAUUCAUGUUCAAGAGAGCUGCUUUGUAGGGAAAUAGACUAAUGUGACAUUGAAUCCUGUUACUUCUAUUUUCCUUCAUUGAGACCGAAACGGAGAAAUUCCAUAAAAAAGGAUGCAUUAGAAGGAGUGGUUUCUCUAUCCCCGCUAAUGCUUUCUAGUUCCCCCGGUUACCUCUACCAAAAUGGAUUCUAGCAAAGCGGUUAUUUACCCCAUUUGGAUGGAUUUGGAUGGAGAAAUACUCACUAUUGAACUGGGGCGAGCCCCUGCUACUUGUAAUCGAGGUUGAAUCUCUAUUCCCCCAAUAUGGAAAAAUGAAUAUUCUCGAAAUAUAAGAGUUUUCCUAAACUAAUUGCGUUUCUAUCUAUAUGAACGGAGGAUGAUGAAUCUAUUUCGUGGGUCCUGGCAACACCCUUAUGCUAUAUAUAGAUUCGUGGGUCCUGGCAACACCCUUAUGCUAUAUAUAGACCCUUUGUCCUAAUUUGAUCUUUAAGUCGAUUCGGAAUGAACAUAUAUUGUGGAUCGAAUGUUGCUAUCUUUACGAAAAUGUGUUAAGGUCCCUUAAAAGAAAAGGAAUAGCUGCUCAUUCAAUGAACGACGCCUAAAAUGAAUGUAUAUAUUUGAUUCCUUAGCUUGGCUCUCAUUUCAGGAACGGAGGCUGAACGGGCUGAGGCUUCCGGUGUCCAUAAGGCUAACGUAGAAUCCAAUAAUCUAAUCAUAUAUUAAUCGAUUUCAUAUAUAUCAUAUUACUUGCUAUAACUAGGAGUAUAUUCGAAGGUAAGUAACAAGGGCCAAGUAGUUAAGGCUAAAGCCAAUUUCAGAGAGGCGAGAACCCUUAAAGGUCUGUUUCAAUACUCAAGAUAGCUGGUUGUGAUUCCUUAGAAUAAGGGUAGCUAAUCACAAACAAGGUAAGAAAAAAGUGAGAAAGGCGAGCAAUAGGACGGAAACAAAAGAAAGAGGCGGCGAGCUACUCCAGAACGAGCGACCUGUAAGCUAAUAGACCGUUAGGAGGAAAACCGACCUGGUGAUAAAGAAUGGGAGCUAAGUAUUUAUUACGAACGGAUGAAAAAGGAGGUGCUGAAAGCCUGUGAAAAUCCAGAACCAAAAAAGAGUGGAGUCCCGUGCCGGAUAUUCGAUGGCUCUCUAUCGAACCUUCCUUUGUCACGAGUCAUUGACUGCUGUAACGUGCCUUGGCCAUCGAGCUACUCAAGGUAAGACUUCCAAAAAGAUGAUAAUAAGCAACAUGCUAAAUAGCAUUGUUUCUAUCGUUGGCAUGUAGUUUUGGAUAUAUAAGAUAAUGGGAAGAAAAGUGACCUACUUGAAGAUAAUGGGAAGAAAAGUGACCUACUUAUAGCCUUAUCCAUAUUACUUAGACUUUGAUGGCUGACGGUAAGCAGAGUUUUGAUUGACCAUACUAUCAUAAAGGCAAUUAGGUAAGCCUACGCCCACUCCAUCCCUAUUGUUGUGUUUUAUUCCAAUGGGAUUUGGGGCACGGAUUCAACAAGUACACCACAAAAGCAACGGCUUCGGCCCAAAAGUAGCAUGUUUAUACCUUUCAACAUACUAUGUGCCACAUGUUUAUACCUUUCAACAUACUAUGUGCCAUUUAAAGGAUUGUGCGUUUCUUUCUUUCGGCAAAACACCAGUUGAGGUUCAUAUGGUGCGGUCAAAGGACGACGAAUACCAUGCUUUUGACAAAUAGCUUCGAAGGCUUUUGUUGAUGUAAAUGCGCCUCCACCUAUUCCCUACAAAGCCGGUUCCAAUCAAACUGCAUACAGAACAAUGAUGGAAGAAAGAGAUAGGACUCGAAAGAGAGGAGAGGUAAGUAUACAGGAAGAGAUGUCCUUUUACCUCUAUUGGAUUUGCGCCUCGUUUGCUAUCAAUCUGUUCAGAUACAAAACCAAGUGGAAGCCCCAUUGCGAAAACUAUUGACGAGGCAGACGGAUAAAUGGCUCUUGCCCUAUUUUAGCUAGGACUUGCCUCAAAAUGUCUUGGCCAAAUAGUGGUCGGCUAGUGCGGGCCCAGGCAUACUUCCUGAGAUUGCUGCACGAACUCUUCACGAUCCUGCUGAAGAUGCUUACUCUUAUUCCAUAAUUACCAAGAAUUGAUAUAUAAGGAAAAGAGCUCGAUGACCUUAAUCACUCUGUUAGCGCAGAUCAAUCCUAUGAUGAAAUAAUGAGAAAUGUCUAUUCAAGGGCAAAAGCUUUUUCUCUUUAGACUACCGAUUCUAUUGAAUGAAACGGAGUCUGGGCCCGAUCAUGCUUAAACGAAUUCUUAAAGAGAAAGAGGAGGCACCUGAACAAGACUGGAAUCUUGAACAUUGAUGAUUCUGAACCGCCCUAAUAAGAAGUUGUAAACUCACCAAACUAAAGCUAAGCUAACGCCGAUGAAGGAUAGGCUUUCGCUCCCUAUGAUAGAAGCGGGUAACUCACCCAAUAAGAUAGGAGCAGGUAACUCAUAUACGUUACUUGCCUGCCGAAAACCGGAAUUGUAAUAGAAUAGGAGUCGGAGUUAUAGUUUCCAGAGGUAUGUAUAGGAGCCGAGCUUUUUGAGUAUACGCUUGGAUGGUGUUCAUGGCGGUAGGGCUGCUCUUCCACACCUCUUAUGGGAAAUUCCCUAUCUUGCAUCUGUAACCGCUGUUCUAAUGCUUUUAAGCCUAUAAUCUUUACCUUCUUUCGACACUCAACCAAGAAUCAUAUACUGUUCUUUCAAGCGCGGAGUAAAUACGGAAUUUCUUAUAGUGCGCAGAGGAAACUCAAAGAUCCAAUUAUGAACUGAUUGGUGCUCUAUAACCAAGGAAUGCUCCUACACCUAGAAACUACACUUCGAUUCAGCUUCCAUAUAGGAGAAAAGUCAAGAGAAGAGUCAAAGUAAAGAUCAAAGUAAAGAGAUGCUUCAUCACAACACCGAGAUCCUUGCUAAUUACCUGUUUGUUUUCUAGAAAAUGAAAGAAACUGCUUCCCUUUAUUUGGAAUCUGACCGGCUUGGCACUGCUUCCUCAGCUUCUUCUAUCUCUUAAGAUCUUAUAGAUUCCACCCGAACUCCACCCUCUUAUUAACCAGAUCCCGCUUAUGAUCGAGUAGACUUAUUAACUCGAACUGUAGUUGCUUGUUGGACAAUUAGUUUACCUUGAUUAUGGCGCAUAGGUGUUAUCGACCCCAACUCUACUACCCUUAACUUCACAUAAAGGUUGCCUUAUUGCCCUGAUUUUAUAGCCCAACUCAAUAAAUAAGAGCAGUAAACUCAUCUUUCGAGUAGCGGGGAACUCCUAUUAUGGCUAAUUUCCAUACCCUAUGAAACCGAGCUCCUUUACGCCUUUGCAUUCUAUUCUGCUCUUCCAUUCUCUAUUUAUCCUGCUUACCGCUGACUUUGACACAGCUACCGAUGAUUCUCUCGGAGACUACUUGAGAACAGGAACAGGCAAUUAAGAACUUGAGAGCGCAGAGUAUAUACGGAAUUGAUUAUAGUGCGCAGAGGAAACUCCAUUCUUUCAUUCUAUUCCCAAAACUCCAUUCUGAGUAUUAGUAUGCACCACAGGCGAGGGAAUCCUUAUUUAUAGUGUCAUUCUGUAUUGACUUAUUCUUAUACUUAAUACCAAUACAGUGCUAGAUCGUACCCAUAAAUCAGGACUUGUACAUAACUCGUACUAAUGGAAUUUUCCCUGCAAAGUGGUUAGUGGACUUUACUGAACACUCCUGUUACACUUGUAUAGUAUACGCUUGGUCUGUAGUAUACGCUUGGCCAGGUGCGCCUCAGACUGCAAAUGCUUCUUCGUAUGCUCAGAGGAUAGAUGGGCUGGCUCACUAUGGAAAGUGCCAACUCUCUUUACUGCUCUUCACUAAGCUUUUUGGAAAGUCAAAACCAGGAUAGGAAAAGCUUGCUCUUUUUGGAAAGUCAAAACAAGGAUGGGAUUGCUACAGCUUUCGCACUGUAUUAAAUACACUCUUUUUCCAUCUAUUUGUAGAAGGUCUCAAAGAAAGGAGAUGAAAAGACACCUCUCUAUUCUAUAGGUUUUGCACUCUAUGAUAUUCUGAAGCGAAAGAAGGAAGAAGGAAGAAAUCACCAAAUGAACUAGCGCCCCAACUGACUCAAGAACUCAUUCGUCCUUGAGAAAACCCCUUUCUUUGCUGAAGUUAUGGUUCCUUCUUCGAAGUAUUCCUGACUAAACAAGCAAAGGAAUAGCGUAAAUCAGAAGAAAAGUAUUUGAAACGGAACAAGUAACGGAACAAGCAACGGCGCUUACCAUGAGUUUGAUUAAGGAUCGAGGUGCGUUAGUGAGUCUGGAAGGAAAGAAAUCCAGAAAUGCUGUGCUUACUUACUAGCUUAUAUCAGAUGUAAACAAACGCUCUCUGCUUUUUGCACUCAAUGAAACAAGCAACGGCCUCAGGGAACUCGUAUACAAUGAAGGUACACUGCGCUUCAACGCCUGUACUCUUAUACUUAGCUUCUUUUCUUUCCCGCAACCAUUGAAAAGAGGCAAGGUGCUGAAAGCCUACUCGAAGUUUGCUUACUUUAUUUUCCCUUGCUUGUUCUGUCUCUGUCCGGCAAGUGCAACGCCUCUGUCCUUAUGAGCUACCGUUCGUACGCUGUCCUUGGCCAACAUAUGAUAGGUAGCUGUUGAGUGAUGUAGAUUCUAUAUUAUAGGAGGUGCACUAAAUGGAAUUCCUCAGGGGGCACUAUCGUCUUGCUUGUUGAGUAAGGAGUCAAGAGUUCCGGAGAUCUAUACAUAUAAUGUAAUAGUUCUGUACUAAGCGCUAAACAAAUAUGGUUGCAGUGAUAUUACUUGAUUCUAUAUAGGUAUAGCUUUGAUUCUAUAUAGGUAUAGCUCUCUUCAAUUCCAUUCUGUUCAGUCACUCUACCCAAUAAUUCCAAUUAUCGACAACACAUAUAAUCUAAUUGAAUAGAAUAUUACCCGCUAGAAUAUACUUGAAGAAUAUUACCCCGCUCCUUAGACUCUACAUUAUCUACUCAUUUCUACUCAACUUAAGAAUAUAAGUGACAUCUUUCUAAAUAGAUAUAAGUAAACUCUAUCAAAUUCAUAUAAUAAGUGGUGUAGUGCACAUAUUUGGAGAAAUAGAUAUUUUAGGCGCAGGAGAAAGUCAUGCUGUCUUUAGGAUAGGAAGGAAGGUGGACUUUUUGACCAAAACGAACUUGUGUAUUCAAUUUGGCUGCUGAAGACAAGCGAGAACCACUCUUUCUUUUCGAUGAGUCCUAGCCCUCCCACGGAGAAAGCAACCCCCUUGUACUUACUUCGCGACUUUGGCAAUCCAUCCGCUUUAACUACAUAGAAUAAGGAAAUAGUAGAGUUGGCGGCAGGAUGAGUUCCAAUAAGGAAGUUGUUUCAGAGGAAGCGCGAGCUUGGACCUUCGCCUUCUAACUUUCUCUCACAUGGGUAAAGAAAGCAAGUCGAUCCACACAGCAUCAUGCUUUUUGAAGAAAGAGUUAUAGGCAGUCCUAUUUCAAAGUCAUUGAAGGUAAAAAGAUCAUCAAUUCCUCUAAUUCAAUAGACUAAGAGGUCCGCCAUAGAUCCUUACGCCUCAAGUGAUCGUCAAGAAAAUGAUCUACAAGAAGGUCCCUUACUAAUAACCUCUGCAUCAUCACUAAUAACCUCUGCAUCAUCACUAAAUACCUCUGCAUCAUAGAAUUCGAAGAAAGAGAGAGUGAGACCAGACAUAAGUACAGAAGAGCAGUAAAUAGCAUACAGGGGCAAUAUCGGGAAAUGGCAUACUGGGUUCCCUUUCGCUAUCGCUCCUCGCAACAUAAGGAUCAAUUGUGCAGGAACUAAGGAAUGUGCCUAAAGCUCAUCUCACGGAUCAAGAUUCAAAAGCUUAAUGAAGUUGCACUCGGAUGGAUCGUUUUUAGCAUAUACCCUAAUGAACUUUACAGAGUCGUUCUAUUUUCUCUUUUCCCACCAUUGGCUUCUUUAAAAGAGCUUUGCCUUACCUAUGAUGCCAAAAGCAAAGACAAAUAUGGAAUUGACAAUCAAAAACAGAACAAUCUUACUAUUCUAUAAUUGUGGUAUAUUUCUUUCUUUAUACUAUGGUAUAGUUUCUUUCUUUAUACUAUUCUCUAAUUAGUACAUUUCUGUCUUUCUUUAAGAAUGAAUUGUACCCCAAUCUUACCUAUAAGCGGAGAAUAGGGUUUUUGCAAAGAGCUUUCUUUGUUGUGGAGAAUUGGAAUAGUCGGAAGUACCUAUUAGAAAGUCAUACUAUUUGAAUCAUUCGAGCGAGUGAGUGAAAAAACGGAUUCUUUAAAUGCAGCCUCCCAUUGCUAUCAUUCUGUUUCCGGAAGAAUACAGGCAUUACGAUAACUCUGAAAUAUUUGGCUUUGUAUUUGACCCUGCCCCCUUCUUUGUCUUUUCUCUUUCUAUAGAUCCCUAUGGAUGCUUGUAACUUGAUUCUUGGCAACGAAGGCAGCUUUGGUGCGUCCCACGAUUGAUUACUGGCGAUUGAUUACUGGGUCACCUAACUCCAAGUCAAUGAACUCUAGCUAACGAAAGGACCUACUCUUCUAAAGCGAAAAAGGGCACUCGCGGUAAUUCGCCGCUGCGUGUGUCGUGAGAUGUAUUGGGCGGACCUUGAAUUGGGUAGAAAGUCCAUUUUUCCCUUCCCGUUACGUCAAUUUACAUCGUCAUUGGCACAUUGGGUUUAACUGAUAGCUGAUAGAGCGCGUAGCCCUUCGCUGCGGAUAGUGUUUCAGUUGGCUUCAUCGACGUUGCUGCUUGCCCGAAGCUGGACUUACUCAGGUAAGGAAGGAAGGAAUAAGGGCGGGUUACGAGCGGACUAGCAUUGCAGGCCUUUAAGCAGGAGAGGGAAGGGAGUAUAGCGAUCAAAACGAGAGUAAUCCGGGCAUACCUACCGCAUCUCAUUAGUGCUUGCAAAUAUCAAUCAAAGGGCUCGUCAACAUUCCUAGGAUUGAUUGGCUGAGCUAAUAAGUAAACGGAAAGUAGAUCUGUUGUGCGAAGAGUGCAGCGAGGUAUGCACGUCUGGCAAUGUUCGGCAUUGUCCUAGGCGCGGUCACACGGCUUCAGCCCGGGGAUAAUAAUGGAAAAUGAACGAAACUUUGGACGAAAGUCAGAAAUGUACGCUACUAGACGUUAUUUCGUGCUUCUAUCGAGGCGCGGCCGUUAGGAGACCCUAUUCCUUAGUUGGUCAAUAGAACAUAGAGUGUUACUUACUCCAACAAAAAAAGAGCUGGGCUCAACAGCCUUAACAAAUUCUUCUUCUUGGGUUUCCCUAGCCUGUCAAGCAAUACUAAGACCAGAGCCAGAUAUCACGACGAAAAGUGCAAUCUCUGAUCCGACCCCUCGUCGAAAGAGUAGGUGUCAGAGGCACAAUGAACAGCAUAAGUAAAAGCCCCUAGUCGAAAGAGUAGGUGUCUCAGAGGCAUUAUGAGAACAGGCUAUGUGUGCACAAAGGAAGAAAUCCGUGUUUUUUGGUUAUUGCGUGGAAAGGGGCCAAGCUACUGCUACAAACGGCCAAGCAACGACUAGACAAGUUGGCGGAUCACUUAAUAUAGGAGAACGGAUGAAACAAGCACUCGAACACAACUUUCUGAAUCAACUUCACUUGCUAGCUCAGCUCCUGCCGCUACACAUUAGUGGUUACUUGACUGACCUGGCACCGAGGAAACUACUUUGUUUGAUUUUAAGAAACCCAGGAGUGGAAAUUGAGACUACUUUAUGGAGCAUGCCCGUAAUGUUGAAAUUCUGAAUUGUUUACAGUUGCCAUAGGUAUUGUAGCCUGAGUUGGGUCUAUCAUGGAUGUGGGUCUAUCGAAUCAAUCUAUUAGUGGUCGGGGUGCCUAUUGCCUAUAAAGGGGUGCCUAUUGCCUAUCAUGUGUUUAGUAAAGAAUGCAGGAUAAAGGUAAUAAUCUUACUUUUAGGCGCUAAGUCAAUCAGUGUCAGAGCGGAGCAGAGAGAGUAUAUAGAAUCAGAGACAAACCCUUCCUUAGAUAUAGUAGUUCCGGUGUUAUUCUUUUGUUUUCUACCUUCCCCCGCUGUUUGAUUCUAACUUGAGAGCUCAGCAAGUAGUUCAGUAUAACUCGCUGCCGCUUUGAGGCGAGGUCUAGGUCGACUUCAGAUUAGUCUCUUUCCGUUCUAGUGUAAUCUACAGUGAAAGUGGAAUCCGUUAGUCGACUAUCAGAGCUUAUUAGGUCUAAGCAUACUACUUACUUACCAGAGGAUUUCUUAUUGUUGCUCUCUCUACUCAGGAUGCUUUAUCUUUCCUUUAUUUGAAGAAGCUGGUUCCGGUUCCUUACCGAGAAAGUGAUAAUAUAAGUAGUGAGAAGAAAGUCAAGUACGAUAGAUAGAUGGAUAGUAGUGAUAAGAUAGAUAGAUAGUAGUGAUAAGGUGGAUAGAUAUUAGUGAUAAGGUGAAGCUCCAAGAACGUCUUAGUGGAUAGAUAGAUAGAUAGUUAGCAGCUUAAGGCAGCUGAAGGAUCAACUUCUAUCUCUAUCUAUUGUUUUGGUUGAGCCAUAAGUCAGGUAAGAAGUAAUGAAUUCUAUCUCUAUCUAUUGUGGAAGUAAUGAAUUCUAUCCAUAUCUCUUGUUUUGGUUGAGCCAUAAGUCAGAAGUAAUGAAUUCUAUUGCCCCAGUUAAUGAAAGUGGAAAGAGAUUCGAUUCAUAGGAAAGCUGGGAUUUGGAGUAGUAGCUCUGUUCGAUAGUGGUUCCCGCUCUUCUAAGCUCGCCGUUUGGACUCACGUUCCAGUUGUGACAUCAACAAGUGGUUUGGCAAGGGCCGCCCAACACAGACAAAGGACGCAGGGCCGCUUCCUAUAACAAUUCCUUCAAGUUAUAAACAAGUCCUUUGUUCGGCAACUAGGAAUACAGGAUGCCGUUCUGGGUGCUAUAAGACAUCUAGUAGUGGAUAUAAGAAUGGAAAUGGUAGAUAUAAUAAUGGAACUCCCACAGGUCAGUUAGCCUUAAAUAAAUGAGAGUAAAAGCCCUAAAAAGAGGAAAGAUAGGUUUCAAGCAUAGAUAAGGAAUAAGUGCCCGAGUAGUGAGAGUUGUAGUCGAGCUUUGAGAAGAGGCAAUAAGGCUUGGAAAUACCAGUUCCAAUCUUAUUGUUAGUGAUCCCUUUCCUUUCCUUUAUUGUUAUCAGUAGAGUAGUUCGGUUCUCCCGUAUGUGCUGGAUCAUACCUAAGAAUGCAAUUCGAUAUUGUAAGGUCAAGCAUGAAAAGCAUUAAGCGCCAGUUUGAAGGUAAGGAAGCGCCAGGACGAGAGAAGAUAUAGUCAGACUUAUAACUUAGAGGGCUAAGGCAACCUAUAAUACGGUAAAGUCCGCCUGAGAUCAAGUAAUGACAGACUCCCUUUUGCUUUGAGCUAAGAAAAAGUCAUGUUAGCACUCACCGUUAGCACUCAUCUAAGAAGCAAAGAAGCAGGUCCGGGAAUGGAAGCAAGGAGCCUAAAUCCUUAUAGAGGCAAUACAAACUUAGAGCAGGGAGUUUUAGGUUGAGUCAACAGAUGCAGAUUUUCUCUAAGAGUUCAAGCGGAGAUAGUCAGAUGUGAGGUCAGUAGCGCGAGGCUAAGAGAUAUGGGAAAGAGAGAUCCGGUGCUCAAGAAUGUAGGCUGGGUGACUACUCCAGUUAAUUAUGAUAGGCACUGGGUUCGUUCUCAUAGUAGUGCUUGGUGGUUUAAAGCAAGGUGCUGAAAGUCACUUAUUAGUAACAAACAGGAUGGAUGUACUAACAAACAGGAGUAGAAAUCAAUUCAUCAAUGCCCUUAAAAGAAGAAUGCAGGGUGAAAGGUAUAGGUUUGAUGAACUACUACAGGGAAUAGGGCAGGGAAUGCCUGUUCGGAGCUACUAGUAUAAGUUUGAUAUCAUAAUCAUGAAUAUAAGCUAAUAGAAUAGGGAAUCGUAAACACAGAAAGAAUCAAGUUCGUAAGUAGAUAAAGAAUAUAAGUAAGGGUAAUAAGCCUGUUUGUGGCACUAGUCAUGUUUGCAGUUAUUUUGUUCUUCAUCGCAACUAUGAUAUUGUAGUUCCACCAAGUAAAUCACUCCUAUAGUUGUAAGUUUGCAAGUAUAGAGGGGCAGGCUAACAGGUGAACAUAUGAUUUCAGAGGAGAAUUUGAUACAGGAGUUUUUUGUUUGAAUCCGGAAUGCAGCUAAACGAGUUUCAGCUUUCACUAAUACUUAAUCAGAAUGUCACUGGGGCAUAGUAAAGUAAGGAACAGGUACAGAAGCAGGUGGGCAAGAGAUAAGGCUCUUACUACAAAGCUCGAUUCUUAAAUAGCUUUCUUUGAUUCUAACCUAGUGGGCGGGUCAGUUGAGUUCCGACCAAUGUCUUUUAUUCCAACUUACUACCCUAAGUUAUAACCUAUGUCUUUUAUUCCAACUUGCCUACUCUACUCGGCACUCGAAGACUCAUUGUUUUAGAACUCUUGGGUUAAAGCCUAUAGCUGAUAAGUCAUAAUACGGAUAUGAUCCAACACACCCACUAGUCAUAAUACGGGUAUGAUCUAGCACACCGGGUAAUUCCACUCAUAAGUCACAGAACUCUAUCUAGUAGUCACAGAAGAGCAUGGGAACUCGAACCACGAACCGGUAAAUACAUAAUGGAAUUAAUGUAACAUAAGUAUAAGCCUAGAGGCAGGGCAGGCUAACAGGUGAAAUACGUAAUACAAGCAAGGGAUAACAGCCCUUUAGUUAGUAGUGGGGGAAGAGGUAAGCUAAGGGAGUAGACUUGGUCUGAUAGUUCAUUAUGAUUAGUCUUGAUUUCCAUCUUUCUUUUGCUAGCUUAGUUCUAUAGUUCAUAGUGGAUUUCCCAGUUACCCUGUUGGCAUUGGUUCCAUCCUUUGUAUUAGUAGUUCGAGUCUGUUUAUCAACAGUUUUGAGUUUCAAAGCGAGUAAAGCAAUAGAAAGGAAAGGAAGACUAAUGGAUACUAUUGAGUGAAAUGACCCUACUAUUGAGUUUCGCCCUGUGACUUAUGUGCUUGAUUAUUACUUUCGAGCUCCGUCCUUCACUGGUUCCCACGCAACCCUAUAAAGGUAUCCUUACCUGGAAGCUUUUGAACUUAUCAGUAUUACUGGACCUUCAAUCAGAAUUGAACAAGCGCUAACAAGGCUGAAGUUGAAUACCUAGAUGCGCUAGAUCUUAACCCUAAUGUCAUAUUCUUAUUUUCCGGGUUCGGUUCUUCUACUUAUGAGUUUGGUUCUAUUUCCUGAUUAAUAGACUUCUACCCUAGAGAAGGACUGACUUUCAUUACGCUGACUUGCCAUUACUAAUCGUUUUUACUUAAUGUAACUCUGCUGGACCUUUGCUUGUACUAGGACGGAAUGGAACUGGGUAGACCAAGUCUGGAUAAGCUCACACAGAGACUUAGCCCAGGGGGACUCAAUCAGUAUUUCACUAUAGAGAUGUCAUUCCGUUAUAUAAGUCCUGAGGGAUGCUGUUAGGUAAAAUUCAUAAGAAAGGUAUUUAUUGGAGUGAGAGAUGUAGUUAGGUAAAAUUCAUAAGAAAGGUAUGCUCUGUGUUAGGUUGAAAAACAUCUAUCUUGCUUGGUAGCAAACUCCACUUUGGCUUUAAGAACUCUGAAUUCUCUUCCAUUAACUUGAACUCUGAAUUCUCUUCUAUUAACUUAACUACUAAUUAGGGAGGAGAGCCAGUGUUCCGCUAUCAAUCACGUUAGCUCAUAAGUAGGGAGAGCCCAGCCCGUGUUCAGCGCUAUCAAUCACGUUAGCUCAUAAGUAGGGAGAGGAAGUAAUAUAAGUAAGGGCAAGCUAACCUUAGUUCUUUCUAUAAACCCUUUCUUUGUCUUGUGCGAAACACCUUCGGCUGGGGAAUUGAAUGUAAGUGCAAAAGGUAUCGAAUCUCACGUGCAUCAUAUCAUAUUAUAUUAUAUAGAAGAAAGUCAACCAAACCAAACCCAGCAGACUUGAUUGCAUCUACUAUACCGGAUUAUAUUAUAUAGAAGAAAGUCAACCAAACCCAGCAGACUUGAUUGCAUCUACGAAAUCUGCUCCGUAAACUCGAUCACUAGCUACACUGUAUUGCUUCAAGACUUACAACUAUCCCAGCUUUGCUUGCUCACUAGCGCUGCGUAAAGAAUUCUUACAGUAGCUUGUGGACAGCUUACAUCUUCUUACUACUUACAGUUGACUCACACAUAACUCUCGGGGAACAACGCUUACUCUCGCUAUACUCUUACUCUCGCUAUACUCUAAGAUAAGAGAUUAACCUAACAGCCCUUCUAAACUGACUUAUGGAAAAUAGAGUGCACACAUUAUAGAGAGAAAAGUCAAAAAACUGCCUACAAUCAUAUUACAGAGAGCGUGACACAUAUAGACAUUUUUCACCUAAGAGAGGAGAGCGCGACACAUAAAUCAAUAAGUCACCUAAUAUCACUGCAACAAGAACCGUAGCAGUAGAGUCACCUUCUACUUCUGGUCUUACUCUUUCAAAAGUUGGAUAAUCUACUUUAAGGGGAAUAGUAUAGAUGUGUCACUUUCCAGUCUUACGGGAAUAGAAAAGUCAUAAGUAUGCUGUCUUUGUUUUGUUACUCAUUUAUAUCAUACUUGCUUGUUUGCGCUAACGGAGCUGCCGCGUAGUGGGCAAGCACCAACCGAGCCUGAUUAUGGGUAACUCUACUACAGAAGAGAAAGUGGGUAAACUACCAAAUAUGAGAUAAGCACCCGAUUGGUUUAGUCUGAGUCUCCCUAAGAGCAUGGAGGCACCGUGAUCCCAAGAUCUAUUAUCUUAUUAAUAAAACAAGCCUUUCCCGCUCGCUCUGAGAAACCCACUCGCUCUGAGAAAACCCCGAACCCGCUCUGCACUUAGCAAAACCUGUACCUUCACCAUCUACUACAGCAAUAGGCACUCUUCACCAUCCACUACAGCAAUAGGCACUGAAGUUGAUUAUGGACUUCCCGUGUAGUGGGCAAUAGCACUCGGGACCUAAAGAAACUAGUAGCCGUCAUUCUCAUACUGGUUAUCAAUCAUUAGUGACAAUAGUCCCUUCCUUAAGAUAUAUCAUUCAAUCCUCCUUAUGAAGAUACAUCAUCAUUUAUGCCCGGACAAAACCUAGUCAUGUAUGUGCUCCUUCUUUCUCUCUCGCCAACCAACCUCACCUUAGUGCUCUUCUUUACUGGAAUUCAGAAAUCCAAUGAAAAGGAAACUACUAUUAAUAAGAAAGAAACGGGAAACAGCCAAGAGAAAUGGACCUCAAUCGUAGGCAAGGGCUACCUCUACCUUUACCUUUCCUUCGCGCAUCUAGGAAUCAGUCCCUUACUUUUCCUCAAAGCCUAUUCUCGAGAAAAUAUGUAUUAGAAAUCCCAUAUGUAUUAUAAGAUAUUGGCCUUGUCUUUAUUCUAAUGUCGCGGCAGAUUCGUGACCAGGGGGUAAGUCCGCUUUGCUGCUGAUUCUAUUACCUGGGACUUCGAAUCGUGAGAAGGAUUUUCUGCUUAGCGUUGACUAGCGUUGACCGGGGCUUACUAAUGGUAAAUAAAGUCCAACUCCUGCUUGCUUUACUCGGAAGAAAUGCUUUGCCCUUACCUGACUCAAUCAUGCUACUUGAAUGAAAGACGGGAAAAUAUCUGUCUUACGAGAUGCCCCAAUCCAAUCCAAAGAGAAAGGCUAAGAGCAAGUGCCACGAUUCUCUAAGAAUGCCAUUUAUGUCAGUUUCUUCUGGGUUUGCUUGGUAUACAGGAGUUGUUACUUUCUCUUCUACUAUAGCUAAUAUGGAAAUCUUUCACGCAGUGGGAUAUGCCCGCUUUCUAUCUUACACUAUACGAAAUGCCUAGCUGACUUGCCCAAGCCUACCCACUCCCUAUGAUUCUAUCAAUCUCGGGAGUUCCUGCCGAAAAGUAAGCCUUUUCCUCGCACCCGAACGUAACUUGAAAGAACGUCUUGAUGGCGAACACUGGACUUGUGCCUUAACCCUACUUUCUCACUUUCACUGGUUCUUCUCUUUCUUCCCAAGCUCCAUUACGUGGGCUAUCUGAACUUCCAACACAGAGAUCCCUGCCGGGGGGCUAUCUGAACUUCCAACACAGAGAUCCCUGCCUUAACUCCCUUCCCAUUUAGGAAUAGAAACUCUAGCUAGCACAACGUCUUUGAACUCCACUCUCAAGUCAUCAUGGAAUUGAAGAGAACCCCUCCCUUAUCGAAGCAUCGGCUAAGAUGUUAGGAUCAAAUGCCUAAGAAGGACUGUUUCUUAGUUUCAAUAGUGACUUUUGCCAUAAGGGGUGUGUGUGUGUUUCCCCUGCCUGAAAAUACUAACAUAAACGCUUGCUUUGACUUCGACUUCUGACUGAACUGCAUCAUAAGAAUCUAAAGUCAGGGCAAUUAGUUUAGUUACAGAGGAUGUAUUAUUAGAUUAAUUAGUUCCACAUAAAGGGAAAGCCUGGAAUAGUGCUUGUAGACAACAUUGGUAGACAACAUGGAGGGAUUUGAUUCUCUUAUUAACUUACCGCAACAUUCGAACUAUCAUUUCACUUUUGUUCUACUUUACUGGAUGAUUCAUUCUUAUCGCCAACCAACACCGAGAUAUUUAACUGCAGCAGAUAUCUAGCUUAUGCGGAUUCUCUUUCUUAUGCUUCCUCAGAACAUUGUUUCCCCUUUACUUCAAAACGAACUCAAGCUCCUUCCUUCUGCAGAUCCUUAUUCUUGACCUUAUUUCUUUCCCUAACCCUGCGAUUGUGAUCUACCAGUACCUUCCUCUAUACCUGCUUUCCAAGCUAUUCUCUUGUCAUCAACACUGUCAACUUGAAACCAGUACUCAUGGCAAAGGCAAAGGUCCAAAGUGAAAGGAGUCGUAUCCCUUUCAAAAAGCAACCGGCUAACGUAGGUAGUUAAGAGCAAGUGAUGUUUUCGAGCUCAAAGUCAUUGAGUUCCGUAUCUUUACCUUGCUUGUAAUGGAGAAUGUCCGUAUAUAUAAUACGAGGCUCAAGCAUAAGUAGGAUUAUCUGAUGGAGUUGUAUCAGAUGACAGAUCAGAAACAGUGUGAGCUCCCGAAAACGGAGAACGGACUCUUAACCUCUAGUAUAGAGCAAGCAGGUAAUAAUCACAGGGGAGUUUCUUUGGGUUGGGUGCUUGAGAAGGCACAAGUAAGGUCAGAGCAGCAAUUCCAGUUCGCGUAUAAAGAAUUGCCAGCCAGUUUUAGUUGACGACUUCAUAUUUGAAGUUCAUAAGCUGUUUCAACGGAAUGAUGCAGUAAUAGUUUUGUAUCUGAGAUCAGAAGAGAGAUAAGUAGGGGAAUGCAAUAAGUAAGGCAAAGAGUCAAGGUGGGAGUGAAGAAUGCAAGGGGCAGGUCAAAGAACGGGAGGUGAACUUGGUCUUCAAGUAAUAUAGCUCAGCCUGAAAGUGACAUCAAUCAGUCAACGAGCAUACCUUCUGUUCGGUCGUCGGUGCACACAAUCAUUCUGUGAGCUACUAUGUCUAUGUUCCCAAUCAUUCUGUGCUAUGGUACAGCAACUCCGGUCCAGCAACUACGUCUUCGCUCGUGCAUCGAAGGGACCGCACCCAUUGUAUCAUUCAUAGCCCAUAUGCACCCAUUGUAUCAUUCAUAGCAGUAGCAUCCCAUAUGUAUGUAUUGGCGAAACAGCCGUGCAACGAAGGGCCGGGCAACGAACAACGAUGGUCCACAGGCCGGUCAACAAUAAAGUGGUUUGUAGGUUCUGAAAGUGAUCAACAAUUCUUCAAGGAGGUGUUCGCACAUCAUUCGAAUUCUGUGAUCUGUCAUUCGCCGUGGAUCAUCUCAUCUCUCAUUCAUCGCAGCGCGGGGACAUCUAAUAUCAUAUGUAUUGGGAGAACCAACAUUGAUUCAACGGGCGAGACAAAGGACUUAGCAAAUAGAAUAUGAAAACACACGCAACUAUUAUAUAUCAUAUGCAAACAAGAAAACACAUGACAUGAAUUCCACUAUUACUAUUAUUAUUCCAAUAUUACUACUAUUAUUCCACUAUUACUAUUAUAAGAAUAUCAUAAGAGAAUAGAGAAGUACAACUACCAUGCAAAAACAAAACCUCAUAAGCCAGAAAGUCAGGAGCAACACAGAGACUUAGGUAAAAGAUAGUCAGAAUGCUAGUAUUGGAAGUAAGCCUAAAAGCAAGUAAGCUAAGAGGUUUGAAUGUGGCCGGUAGAGGCAUACUGAAACUAGGAUAUGGAAUGCCAGGAAUAAGUACUCGAACGAAAAGCUGCGGCUCUACUCUAUUCUUAUGCGGUUAUUGUAUUCCCCAGGUCGAUUCUAAGAAGCAAUAGGAACAGCCUUGUUUUGCUGGGGCUGUAGGUUGGUUCUUAUUGACAGCAGUAGCAGCCGUUAGGAACUAGUUGAGUUGCAUUUUCUAGUUAAGCUCAAUCCUUGUUAGCAACGGGUCUAGUCUCAUAUGCCCUAGCUCUGUUCUAAUAGUUAGUAGAUGGUUUCCCAGUCAGUAGGGUACUUGUUAAUAGCAAUAUGGGUCUUCUACUUAUUGGCAAGGAGUUUAGUAACACAAGCCAGGAGGAUAGUCAGAAUCAAAGCAAGGGAGUUAAGGCAUGAGGACGGGCGGAGUGUCCACAUACUAGAAUCCAACCUGGUAUCGAGUGACAUUAUGCUUAUUACUAGACCAAUUCUUUCCAGUAGUGAUUCCAGCCUUGUUAGACGUUCCUGAGGACCUGUAUUAGAAAAAGAAGUUCAAUCAGACUUGCGAGUUGAGUAAGCUGAGGUUAAGGCAGGGAGGGUACAUAGAGAGUGUCCACCUAAGAUAAGAGAUAGGAAAUUCAGGCUAAAAGGAAGAAGCGUUAACCUUUUUAACAGUAGUAUUAGUCUGCUUGCCACUAGUGGGAUUCUGAGUCGUAUUCGGGUUAUUCUAAUGGUGGUAUUUAGACCCCCCGUCUCGAGGUUGGUUCUAUGUUAUACUACACAUAUCCCGUAUUCUGAGUGACAUUAGAAUAAGCACUGGUUUAGCUCUUUACCUCUCUUGGUGGAUUCCUCUUCUCUUGUUUGAUUAUUUGACUUACUUAUUUAGCAACCUAUCUGCUUUGCCUUUCUUUCUUUGACUACCAACCUUGUUAUAGUGCUCGUGCUCUAAUCGAACUCUGUGGUCACCAACUCUGGCAGAACUCCUAUUCCUUGAAGCCUGCGAACCCGGGGCCCGGCUCUAAUACUAAUAGCAGUUGUAAUAGUGGUAAGAUCUAGGGAAGUAUCCGAUUGACCUCAUAAGUAAGAAGCCGACUCGUAAGUAAGAAAGGGAGUGGGACCAUUACUUAUAGAACCAAACUGGGAAUGGAGAGGAUGAAACAGGCACAUAUGAAUUUCACUAAUAAUAAACAGAAGCAACCUACCGCCCUGAGCACAGCACUUGGUAAUAACCACCAAUAACAUAUUAUGUGUUGUUUCAGAAGACUCCGCACAACAUUAGCAGUUGCUUGGCCCCUUCCUUAUCUAUUCGUUCCAGUUCGAUUCUUAUAAGCACUAGUGAAUUCCGUCUCUACGAGCAUAAAUCGCCCUACUUAUUUGUAGUUAUGGCACGAGUUCUCAAUCAAGUAAGUCUGUGGCCUAACUAAAGGUAGGUGAAAGUCUCGCUCCAUUUCAUAUCUGGCUCGGGAGGUAAAGCUACAAACUAUCAUUUCGCAAUCUUCUAUUGUAUCUCUUGAAGCUGGAAGUUAGAGAAGCAUCUGAAAGCCUGUGAUCAAGAGAAGAAGAUCAGUUUAGGGCUUUCCAUGGAAAACCACUCUUUAUUAGCCUAGCCCUAUGAGUGAACCGUAGCUCACGAACGCUGGACUAAAACGCCGGAAUUGGCUAUUUGUGACAGCUGUAAACUCUGUAAGCGCCAGCAUCCUCUUCUCAAGCAUCCUCCUAUACAUAGAUUAUUUCUUAAUAACAUGGGUAACGCCAACAACGGCUAAAGAUUCUCAAUUCGUUCUUCAAGUUAGUUCCUGAGGUUGUUUACCCUAUUCUUUUCUAUUAUGAGUCACUGCUGUAGAGUGAAGCUGUGUAGUUUAGAAGCCAAAUCCAAAGGGAAGCCUUUCUAGCGGCGAAGAGAACUCCAUAUCCAUAUAUAAGCCCUACGCUUCGGAUUGCCAACCUCGCUUGAGUGAGACUCGAAAGCCUUUGCAAGUAAUAAGUGAGAGCGAUACUUUAUCCAAGCUAAGCUUUCGGCUACAUAAAGAAGCAUGAAUGAAACGAGACAAGCUUUGCCCGACUGAUGGUGAUUGAGGUCCAUCGUCGGCAGGCGGUAUAGAUGGAAAUGGUCUUGCUUGGAAUCUUAGAGAUGAAAUGGUCUGGAAUCUUAGAGAUGGAAAUGGUCUUUGCUUGGAAUCUUAGAACGAAGAAGACAGCAAUGCUGCGCCGGGCCAAGUCGAGCAAGGAUUGAACUCUCUCUCGUGCUUUGCAUUGGAUUUGAGAAUGGGCAGAGCUUAGUGUUGUAAAACAGUUGACUUAAUGAAAAAACCUAGGGAUCAAUGAGGAUACGGGAAUGUCUUAAGCCAGUUGAGGUUUCAAUUUGUACUAUAGAAGACCGUUUUUGUUUCAAUUUGACUAUAGGAUUAUUUACGACGCAAUAGGAAGGAUGAGAGACAGACGGGUUGGUUUCUUUAGCUGAACUCGAUAGAGUGUAGUGGGCAAUAGCAAUAGGAACUCUUAUCUAAAUUCUGGAUUAUUGACUUCACUUCCCUCUGUAUUAUUGACUUAUACAUCUCAGCGCCAGGCAGGUUAAUUAAGUCUAGUAAAGGUUUACUUGUGUUAAGUGCUCGUGUGCGCCUACCUACAGUUUUGUAUGCAAUGAACCCUUCUCUCGGACAAGAACAAGCUUUUCUUUGAACUAACAAUUGAAUACUAAACAAUAGCCUCACAGCUCGUCCUUUAUCAUAGACAGACUGCAGGUACAAACUAUAGAUUGAGUCUCAAUUAGAUAAGACUUAUUCUCUCUUUCUUUCCUUCGAGAUACUCAUUCUCUAUUUAUAGUACACUAACCCCAUGAAACUUUCUAGCUCAAGGCUAGAAGCUACCAACACUUUCCAAUAAAAGAAAGAAAUAGGAAUUCGGUGGAUGGAUGACCCUAGACCUUCCAGAAGAGAAGAUCGAUAAACGAUUAAGCGCCUUAGAGACCAAUGAAAUGCGACCUAGAAGCUAAGCUUUAUUACUCAAAAGUGAUUUUCAGACCUCUUGCUUCUGCCCUCUAUCUAAGAGUACCUUUGAACCUGGAAUAAAAGGGGUGUGUGUCGCAAUGAAGGAUAUAGUUGGAAUAUAUGAAAUAAGAGUCAAGGGGCUUAUCGUAAAGGGGCUUAUCAAGAGGUAAGUAAUAGAAUAGGAGUACCAAACAGAGGAUAGUCAGAUAGUACACAGGCCCCCGAGAAAGUAGUCUAUUUUGGAAUCAUAACUACGAGACUCAAGCAUAGUGAUAGAAGAAGAAAAGUCGCAAUAAGCAUAGUAAUAGAAGAAGAAAAGUCGCAAUAAAAGAAUUCCAGAAAGGAAUGGAAGAUUUGAAGUAUUUCUUCGCUGUGAUAGUAUCAUUAGUCCUCAUUGGGGGUAGAUGUUCGGUUGAGUGUCUGAAAAUGACUACCUAUCUCACUUCCGUAAUUUGGGCUGAAGAACUAGUAGUAACCUGGGUGAAAAGGCUUGGUUUCUCUGUGAAAGGUGAAGUCUAAGUGUUGGGUCAUUACAAUUGGUAUCAAAGCGACUUUGUGGGCAACACUAUUGGGGUGAAAUGGAUAUAUAUGAGAUUACCGCGGGGUGAAAUGGAUAUAUAUGAGAUUACCUCUCCGUAGGGCACACUGAAUAGAGAUUCCUGGCCACAUGAUAAUCCUAAAGGUGAAUUAAGGGGCAUGAGUUGGCCUUGAUGACGACGUCCAAACAAUAGAGUGGAUUAGAUUGUUCUAUUUCGAGUAAUCACACCUCAGAGAAUAUUCCUUUGUAUUCCUUAGUUAUGGUCGUACUUCUACUCAGCCAUGUGGUCAUAGGGAAAUGACUCUAAGAAUUCUUAGGCUAGCAAGUGUAUUGGCUCUGAGAAAGGAGACCUUCUGACUUCUUUAUGUAAGAGUGUUGUGUUAGCAAUGUCAAACAUUUACAACCAUAGCAAGCAAUAAGAACUACAAAACCAUAGCAAGCAAUAAGAACUCAGAAUUUCCACACAUCUUUAUUACUUGUUUUCUUUAGAUGCCAUAUUAGGAGUAAGUAUUAUGCUAUCCUUUGAAGUUUCCCCACAAUUGAAAGAAGAAACUAGUAGGGGUUGACCAUAGCCAACAAUACCAGCCCUGUUAACUGCACAGAAGCCUAUCUGAAACAAAUAGAUCACCAACAGAAGCCUAUCUGAAACAAAUAGAUCACCACUACACUACUUACACCACUACACUACUUACACCACUACACUACUUUACACUACUUAUUAGUUAAUGACAUUUGAUGGAUUUCCUAUGUGUAUUAGUUAAUGACAUUUGAUGGAUUUCCUAUGUGUAUCCGAAUUCUCUGGGUGGUCCAUGCCGUCAGCUAAUCCUUGAAGAGCCGAUAGGGUACCUUGCAGAUGUGAAGAAGUCCAAUAGAGAUAGAUUGAUUGAUUAUUACUGGUGUGCUACAUGUGUUAGUUAUCAUUGUUGGGAGUAUAUUAGAUGCCCGGCGCGCUCACUACGGCGAGUAGAUUAGCUUGUUCCCGCUCAAGUACUUUACUCAAAUGGGGAUCUGCAGCGAAUGAAUUCAAUAGAACGAUUAAGAUUCGCCAUACAUACAUAAGAUUAUAUGAACGCCAUACAUACAUACAUACAUAAGAUUAUAUGAACGCUAUACAUACAUACAUAAGAUUAUAUGAACAUAGGUGAAAAAACAAGAAACAUAAGAUUAUAUGAACAUAGGUGAAAGAACAAGAAAAGGGGGUUUGGUUUCAGCCGUAAACGACGAUAAAUGGGGGCUAGUUCCAUUGCUUAUAGAAGUAGAAGAUAGGCAGCCUUUCCCUAUUAUACUAUAGAUAGAUAUAGAUAGAUAGUUAUAGAUAGAUAGUUGGAGGAAGCCUAUUAUACUAUAGAUAGAUAGUUGGAGGAAGCCAAGUUGAUACUAUUUUCUGGAUACCAUACUUUCUACUUUUUUAGCAUUACGGCCCCUUUCAUGAGCAUUUCUCUAGCUAGCAGUAGGGCCCUCGAAAUGGAAUAAAAGAAAUCGAAAUGGACUUCUAUAGAAUUCCGUAAUCCCACUCGAUAAGAAGGUAAUCCCACUCGAAACAAUAAGGUCAUCCAACUCUCUACUGUAAGUAACCUACUAUCAACUCACGCUUAACUUCAUUCCUAAACUCACUAGCGCCGCUCCACCAAUAAGCUUACUUGCGCCCGUUGGUUGCUUUAAUCAAAUAAUAUGGUAUUGGCAGCCUUACCUUUCUACUAAGCACUAAAUGGACAGAGCACUAAAGGGACAGAGGCAUAGGCACCCUUUACGACCGACAGGAAGGAACGAGUAGACCCACCAGCUUUCCUAAAUGUUGCAUAUAGUCCACAACGAAUAGAAGAUAGAUUCAUUACUUAACAACUAAUAGAUUCAUUACUUAACAACUCUUAUUUAGGCACUGAUCUCUACUUUAUGAGCUUAUUUACACUUCGCCUUUCCAGGAGCUCCUUGCCAGCUUGAUAUCUUUGCCCAAUCUUAUAGGGAGCAUGUCAUAUAUAGGGAGCAUGUCAUAGAAUUUAGUGGGUACCUUACAGCUGCCUCUACCAAAAGAAUGGAACAGCCCAAAACUACCUAUAUUAUUUACCCUCCCUCGCUAUUAAUUUACCUUCCCUCGCUAUUAAUAAGGAUUAUUGGAUUGCUCUCUUUCCUAAAAUCCAAGUAUUCGGCUCUUUAGAUUGAAUUGGAGUGUCAGUUCCUUGUGAUCUCAUUUCUGUCCUAAGAGCAUCUCGUUCUAUUCGUUCUGGCAGGAAGCAAGUCUUAACCAAAUGACAGGAGAAGACGAUGGCUUGGCUCCGGGCUAAUUGGAUUCUUAUAAGCCAGGUGUGUUGUGAAAGUCCGCAACAAAGUGUGACCUUGGCUUUCUAAGAGUAAGCAGUCGAAAGAGAUGAACAUAGGACUUGUUUAUGGCUUGUAAUAACUCCUACAGUUGCUCUCCCUUUCUUUCCUUUCUCGUAGCGUAUAAGAUCUAGUUUCUAGGCGUUUUCUUAUCUUCUUCCCGUCCCCUGCUAUUGUCUUGUUUGAAUAAAUAUCUCCUCUCCUCUCUUUCCAGCAAAUCUAUUGCUAUGGGAAUGUAAGGGGCGAAAUGCUUUUGGGAGUUUCAAAUACACAUGGAUCCUAUGAUUCCCGAAUGGGUCAACCUUUUCUUUGGAACUGCUGCUGAAUCAAUGGCCAAUGAUAAAGAGUGGGGCUUAUGUUAUAGGGGCUUUCCAUGGAAAAAGAGUGCUCAUGCCCUGAAGACUGCAGAUUCGAAUCAUUUCCCCCCUACCGCUUGGUAGAUUAGGCGUGGACAGGAAAGUGUGCAGGAUGUCAAGUAGGUAGGAGUAGUUACCCUUCACACUUGCAUUGAAGAAUCGCGCAUGUCAAAGCAUAUAGGCCAUUGCGAAGGAAAAGCGGGUCACCUCAAUUCCAAUUGUUCAAAGUGAGAAAGCCCAGAAAUCGAUCUUUGAUAUACCCCUGACUUUCUUUCUCUGCUUAUAUCAAAGCUGCUUCCCAUGGCGCGUAUUUCCUGUGGACCGGCCAUGUUUUACAGACUGCCUCAAGGCGGAAUACCCUCCUGUAACGAAUCCCGAAGGAUCAACUCUUUUCAAUUGAGAGCGAGCUGCUAAAUAGGCUACUGGCGAAUUUCUUACCUUUCUAAGCAACGUUGCUUGUCGGUUUGUCUAGUAGUAACUUGGCUAUGCAACUUCCAAUCUUAGGAAUGGUAGUUUUCAUAAAGUAGUAAACUGGGCGGAUACGCUUCCCAAUGGUUCCUUGUAUUCUUUUCCUAUUCUCCUUUCUAUGUCUAUGAGUUUCCACAAAGAAAGAUUUGUGACCUUCCCCUGAUGUUUCUGAAUUCAAUAAAACCUUAUAGUAUAUAAAACUUGAUAGUAUAAGUAUGUUCACAAUAUUGGAGGUGAUAUCAAAUAUGAUGCUAUUCCAACCCCCUGACACUUUCUUAUUCAUGUCAGCAUUGAUUAUAUAAAAUAAGUCAUUAUAUCGGCACUAGUUUCCUUAGCAAUACACAGUUUAGUUCUACAUAUCCAUCUUGAGAAAUGGAGUUAGUAUAGGAAUUUCAUUUAGUAGGCUGCUAAGCUAGUAUAAUAGCUGUUCUGCGCUUAUGAGACUCCGCCCAUUUAUUAAAGUAUUCGGCCCUAUAUUAUGGGGAUCCCUUACCCCAACCCAUAUGUCUUUCCGCAGGUCUUACAGUCAACAGGUUUGUCGGGAAAUAUACAUAACCAUAUUUUGCACCGCGCAUAUCGUGUCAUUGCUCCUCGCCUCGCCCCGCUUCCAGCGGACUCUAAUCUCACUCGGGCUACAAUACCUAUGGCUCUUCCUUGAACUCCACUCGACUUUCUGGUUACCAAUUAUAUACAAUACACUUUUCUUGGUGCAUAACUAUCUCCUUGACCUCGAACAAACAUAACUCCUAUACAGUAAGUGAACAAGCUUAGGCGCUAACAGGAAGUGUAGUUUCAGUUUCAAGAUCAGUUUCAAGAUAUGAGGAUCCGUUCUCAAGUAAUCCGCAAUCUCAGUUCGACACGACCGACAGAAUGGAAUUGAUACAAAAAACUCCACUCCGGAAAGUGCAAGAAGAAUUGAUAGCUAUCCCCAUAUAUGUCAAUUGAGUAACUAAGCUUCUUGUCCCAUCUUCCUCAUCGCCCAGCUGCUAUACCUUGAAUUGAAUACGAGAGAGGAGGUGUUAGGCUUUCACCUAGUAGUUUCGUGGAGUUCGAGAACUAAUUAAUACACACCUCUACGAUUUUAGGAUGCAAAUCUUUGUUUUGAAGUCUGCUCCGAGGUUAAAGUACUGGUUUUUUAACGGAAAUUGACAUUUAAGUACUUCUUUUUGGCAUCUACCUCGUCAAAGGGCUCAAUAACACUGGUUCAGUGUGCUUCUUUACUAAGAGCUAUACCAUGUGCUCGAAAUACAUAAUGGGAUUCCACACUUCAAGUCUUGUUCGGGGUCGGUAACACCUCUCUAGUUUGUAACUAAUCCUUUAACACUCCUGGACUUCUACUCGAUAGAGUGAUCGAAUCGGUAGCUGUGCGUGCCAUGGAUGGAAUUUCUCUAAUCGACCGCUAUUAGAUAGAUGGAUUCGCCUCGAGGUUUGUGCGAUAAGACUUGUUUGUUCUCCCUUUCACACGGAGCGCUCACUCGAAAUAUCAUAGAAUAUAGAGAUCGGAUCGUCACCAGGCGAAAGAUAGUUCCCGCACCCGUUGAAGAAGCCGUGAUUGCUUGAGGUGAAUCAGUGGAGUUGUGUAUAUAAGAUAGAGGUUUCGCUUGUAAGCCAAGCAAGUAAGUCGCCAGCUUUCGAGAUGAAUGAGACCAUUUCUUUCUCUUGUGUUACACCCAAACAAAACUCCAGUGGUAGUAGAGUCCGGGGAGUCCCACAUCGCCCGUCGCCUCGAAGUAGUGAGGGACAGAGAGUGGUCAAUCCGAACAAGAGAUUAAGAACCAAGACCCCCAAUUAUGCAAAGAGUACUAACAACGCUUCAAAGAACAUUUUCUCGAAUGGCAAACGGCCGCUAAAACCAAGAAAAGUCAAACCUUAAUAACCUUCAGAUCAAGAGCAAAACGCACUCGAGAAUUCUCCCAGUAACCACAGUUGGCCCAGAGCAUGAGUUGACACCGAAAGGGAUUGCCAAGAGGCAAGCUCAUAAGAGAAAGCCACGAAAGAAGAACGGAUCCCACAAAAAAGGAAUAGAACUUAUACGCUCGCUGUGGGGAAGGUAAGGAUUUCUGGUUGGACUUUAUGCUGGACGGGUACGUGAGUAUGCUUGGGGAGCCGCUUUGCUAGCUUGCUUUGUACACUCGGACUCAUGUGGAUAGUAGCUCCACGUUCAUAACGCUUUGUCAGGCAAUUUCCAGAAAGAUAUGUCGUCUUUCGGGCACCCCUACUAUGCUUUCUAUUUAGUUCAGGCUCCCCAGGGACGAAGUAGACCUACUCUGGUGUGUAGGAAGGCAAUAUUCUCAAUUUCUCAAAGUGCUUUAGGUUCUUAGUUUCAAUCGGCUACCUUUGAUCUCUUCUCUUCGUCAUCCCGCUUAGAAUAACUAUCAGAAUAAAGAGCUUGGAUUCUAUAUACCACCAGCUUUCCUUUCGGGGUCAGGAAAUAAGGAAUAAAGGGAGUCAAGCCAUUCUUUGCUUUGUCAGAAGUCCCAGUAUCCGGCACUCCAUCUCUUUCGAGGCUUUAUUUCUUUCAUUUCGGCUUAGCUUUAAGAAGGGCUUUCGCUUAAGGACAUAGAGAGACUUCGAACUGCUCCAAAUAGAAAGGUUAAGCCCGCGUAUAAAGACUUGUAACUGGACCUUAUUACCUCUCAAUGAAAGAACGAACUUCAGUUACCUAGCAUCAAGCUUGCUACCCUUGAUUGCAUUCUUACUAGCACAAGCAUCAGUCUUGGAGUUACUGCUUUCAGGCUUAAGAACCCCGAUAAUGGCAGGGAAUCGAUAGGAAUACAGAGGGAAUCAGCGGGCACCGCAUCAGUCUACCUAGCAGCUGUACCAGAGCUACCCCAUACUUCAAAUACCGAGCAUCAGUCCGGUUAGCACAAGUUUCAUCCUGAUACUACUUGGUUCUAUUCUUUGAUUUAGUGGUUUAAUCCUAACCUCCUCCGCUCCCUUCCUAUCCUGUGACUACUAAGCUCCAGUCUUCCACAACCCAGUUUCAGGCUUGCAUCCCGUAUUCAUAGCUUGGAGUUCAGGCUUGGACUCCUUUGUCUCAGUCACCAAGCAACUACUAAUGACCAAGCCUCCAACUAAGCACUAAGUAUACGCUUGGCAGUUGCAAGAGAAGUAAUAAGAAGAGUAGAAAGUAAGGCAGAAAGAACCUCAUUUCUAUCUACAUUUAUGAGAAGUAGUAAUGUUAUGGCAAAGCUGUAAGGCUGUAAAGAAGCUGAGAAGCAAGGAACCAGUCACUAGUUACGCUAACUGAGCUCCCUCCCUCCAUUUUGAAAGCAAUGUGCUGCUAGUAAAUAAUUGAUAUAUUUUGAGUAAGCAGCAAAUGGUUCACUAACAGAGCUUAUUAUUCGUUGCUUGUUGGUUCCGCAUAGUUAAUGGUUCUUAUCUUGUCUUAUGCCAAUAUUCUAUCUUCCUUAGAGUUGCGCUAACAUUUACUGGCUUGAGUCUCGGGGUGCCUACAUUCGUGCUUUUUAGUCCAUAGCUGAGCUAUUACUCUAUUCUAUUGUAUUAUGUCUAUGUUCCUUUCUUUCGCCUGAGUGCCUAGCUCUGACUUUCCGGGGUGCCUAAGGAAGCAAUGCAGUUUUUCCUCUAUUCUCGUCCUUUUAGGAAGUAAUGCACUGUUAGGUUAAUCUCUUAUUUAUAGACUUUUCGCAUGCCAUUCCAUUCUUCCGCUUAUUCAGUGAGUUCGCCAAAGCCAAAGUUCAUUAGUGAAUUCGUCUUCACACUGGCAAGAAUAAUCAGAUAGGUAGCUGCUUCACACAGGCCCCAUCGUUCAAGAGAAGUGAAGUCAAAAGUACGGUUUUCGUAUCAGAACAAGAAGGUUGUAUCAAAACUGGUUAUUAUUGAAUCAGAGGUGUUGCCCGAGUAUAGACACCUAUUUCUCAUUAUGGAAUCCGUUGAGUUUGGUUCGGGUGCUUGUGUUGCAGUUGAUGAAGUAUAAGUGGAAGUAGGUGAUUGUGCCACACGAGCUCUACUUUACUGUCUCUCGGGCUUACUCCGCCAGGUAGUCAAUCUUACUCACCAGGUAGCCAUAUCGUACUCACCGAUAGCGCCAAGCCUUAUAAUGCCUAUAAAAGAACAUACUUUAUUACACAUAAGAUAUUAAGGGAAACUUGGAAGAAAAUCACUACUAGUCAGAAUGAACUGUAGUAAACUAAGCCUUACCUCUUUUCACUCAAACCUAUGCUCCCAACUCCAACACUACCUUUCGCGCUUUAACAGCAGUUUCUCAUUCCUUUCAUUCAUGCCCAGCGUCCUUACGAUAAGUAGUCUUUGAUUUACUGGCAGAACAGAUCGAUGAUCCUAUCUUCUUGGAUCCAAUUAAGAAAUGACUAAUAAACCAUGGUGAAUCAGCUGACGGAAUAACCUUUCCAAACUAAGGGAUUGGUCUCCUCCCUUAUGAAACCUCUAUAAAAGCCCUUUACCUUUGACUUUGCAUUUCAUAAUAGUAAGGUCCGCCUUGCAAGCCAAGCCUGAAUUUGCUGUUUUGGAAUGUGGUGUGGGUCUAUGACAUCAGGUAGCCUGCAAUCGAAGAAUGAGCCAACAGAGUGACCAUGUUAGUUGAUUUGCUCUUCUUCAAUCGGGUUUGUUUCGCAUUUGGGCAGCGACAGCCCUCCACCUGCGUAGCACUGACACUUGCAUCACCUUUCUUAUAGCCUCCGAGAUCUGAUCCUUUUGGUUUGGCAUCUCCGUUUUUGGAGUACUCUUAUUAAUGAACAUUUUAGAUAAUUGCUCAAAAGCCCGCCAACUUAGAAUGAUCUAGUGAAGUAAACCACUUCAGUGCUACGGGCCCAUAAUACUCUUAUGGAACAAUCGGAUGGCAGCCCAUUCGUCUUUCUAGAAAUAAAGGUCAGACAUCGUCACAAUGAGCUUUAAGAUGAGAUAGAUAGGACAACCUUUUCUUUCGUUGUAUUUUGAGAAUGACUUGGAACCGUAGUUGUGAAUCAGGAAAAAGGCGAAAAUCCAUGAGGUGGAAAAACCGCCAAUGCCUUUCGUUUUCUUAAAGAAAUCCUAAAUCCAAGUUAUUUCAUCUUUUUCUGUGUACUCGUCUAUCUUAGCAGGGUGAAUAGGAUAGGAUUUGACUAGAAGCUAUAGGGGCAAGGUGGUUGGAGAUGAGCUAAACUCCAGUGGAAUAACAGGGGCUAGUUGGAUCACAGGGGAAAGCACAUCAACAGAAAGGUUAAGACAAGGUUUGGGGAUUGAUUGGUCUACUUGGGGUGCGGUUGAGUCCUUCCUCUAAAGAAAUCGCGUAAUAAAUUAGUUCAUCGAAGCUAGUUCCAUACAGACAGAGGCCGAAUGAUGUGAUGCUCAGAUCGAUUCUCGUUGAUUCCAUAUUAUUGAAGUAUUCUUAUUAUACGAAAGAGGGAAAGAUUUCNNNNNNNNNNNNNNNNNNNNNNNNNNNNNNNNNNNNNNNNNNNNNNNNNNNNNNNNNNNNNNNNNNNNNNNNNNNNNNNNNNNNNNNNNNNNNNNNNNNNNNNNNNNNNNNNNNNNNNNNNNNNNNNNNNNNNNNNNNNNNNNNNNNNNNNNNNNNNNNNNNNNNNNNNNNNNNNNNNNNNNNNNNNNNNNNNNNNNNNNNNNNNNNNNNNNNNNNNNNNNNNNNNNNNNNNNNNNNNNNNNNNNNNNNNNNNNNNNNNNNNNNNNNNNNNNNNNNNNNNNNNNNNNNNNNNNNNNNNNNNNNNNNNNNNNNNNNNNNNNNNNNNNNNNNNNNNNNNNNNNNNNNNNNNNNNNNNNNNNNNNNNNNNNNNNNNNNNNNNNNNNNNNNNNNNNNNNNNNNNNNNNNNNNNNNNNNNNNNNNNNNNNNNNNNNNNNNNNNNNNNNNNNNNNNNNNNNNNNNNNNNNNNNNNNNNNNNNNNNNNNNNNNNNNNNNNNNNNNNNNNNNNNNNNNNNNNNNNNNNNNNNNNNNNNNNNNNNNNNNNNNNNNNNNNNNNNNNNNNNNNNNNNNNNNNNNNNNNNNNNNNNNNNNNNNNNNNNNNNNNNNNNNNNNNNNNNNNNNNNNNNNNNNNNNNNNNNNNNNNNNNNNNNNNNNNNNNNNNNNNNNNNNNNNNNNNNNNNNNNNNNNNNNNNNNNNNNNNNNNNNNNNNNNNNNNNNNNNNNNNNNNNNNNNNNNNNNNNNNNNNNNNNNNNNNNNNNNNNNNNNNNNNNNNAAAAAAAGUAGAAUUUCAGAAUGGAACACUAUCCCACCGAGUAAGAAUGCAAAUGAAACCAAAGAAACAGAAGAGGUAUGAUAGAAUGAGAUGAUAGUCCACUACCAUAGAAGAAUUGGAAUCACUAAUAAAGGCUUUCCGCACCUUUAGGAGAAGGUUCGUGGAACAGAACUGGGGUUGGGCAGUCAGGAUACUUAGAAACGAAUACUAGUAGUUAGGGGUCAGACUAAUGGAAGGAUCCGAUCAGUAGCAAAGAGUCUUAUUUACGUUGGUUUCAUUCUACUGGUUGGUAGUUAAAGUCCAAUCAGUACUAGUAGAUUUCUAAUAGCAGUGGUUCGAUCCCGAGUUAGUGGUUGUUGUCUUAGAAUCAGUAGUCGCAGCCGUAUAGUUAGGCAGUAAGAUCCCCCGUUUCGAGUGUGAGUAUAUCGGGUAGUGUUCGAUCCUUGUUUUGACAUUGGUUAGAGGACCCGGAUGCCGAGUGCAAUUCUCACUUCUUUCCCACACCGCGUAGAACUAACAAGCUAUACUUGGGACCCGGACUCCCAUCCGAUGUAUCCUGAGCCCGGUUCCACUAGACCCCUAAGUAUUAGUCUCCUGUUUUCCAGUAGUACCCUUAUGCUUAGUAGCCCUAGUCUUAGUAUCCAGAUUUCUAUCCUUAUUUCUAUACAGAGCGUAUCCGAACUUUCGGGGUGGAUUCUGACUCUUUCUAUCCUCUUAUAUUAAUGAGCUCAAUGCCGAAACGAAACGGGACCCCGAUACACAUUCUUAUACAACUAGAUUGAGUUUUCCGUACUGAGAGUAGAAGUCCUAGUUUUGAGUUCCAUCCUUCAAUCCAUCCUAGGAGUCGCUUCAUUCUUAUACUUAUUAGUUUCAUUCCUGUUUCUUUCUUGCGGUAUUUCAUUAUCUUAUCUAUUAGCUGGAUUCCGAGCUAUGAGUCAAAGUACUAGCGCUUUUCUUACUCAAGUCGUCUUAGUUGCAAGAUCAAGUCUUAUCGACAGCAGUGCCAGUUUGCAAGCGAAUAGCGGUAGACUUCUUCGUGUAUAAGCGGGCUCUAUAAAUGAGUAAGCAAUGCUUGGUGCGCUAAAGUAGGCUUGUAGUUUGUGGUUAAAGAAAGCGAGCUAGGCAGGGCAGCUUUCAGGUAGUAAAGAAAGACGGAAGUGAAGAGCGAGCUAGGGCAUACAAGAAUACACCACCUGACAAGAACCCAGGCUCUGACUAUUGAUCCGGAUCCUUUCUCUUUUAUCUUAAAAAAAGGAAUGGGACUACUAACUAGCAAUUGAACCACUGUGACAACAAGAAUCUAGCUCGAAUAAGGAAGAACACCAAUAAGAAGAAGUCCGAGCCUAUCUCUGAAACUUUGACUGAUGUUAAUAAGAAACGAACUACUGAUCUCGAAUCUGACCCACCCCAUCCCAAGAAAGACACUAGGCUGACUUUACUGUUUCUUAGAACCAAAGCACUGCUUACUUAUAUGACCUUAACUCCGAACUCUAAGCCAGUCCUUACUUCAGCUGAGUCUUACUCCUCUGACAAAGACUUCUACUUGCGACUUUCAAUACCACUUCUACGUGAGAGUCUUACGGCAUUCCCUACUUAGGGGUUUUGGGCUUCUACUGCUUUAGAUCAGGCUGACUUUCCCCUAUCGCAGUUUGCCACUCAGGUCUCUAAACCUUACUUUGCUAGGAUGAACCUAUACUUAUAAUACUUCACUACUAAUAGGAACCACUACUUAAUAGAAUCCGAACUAGGUAAACCACGCCUGACUCUUUAAUCGAAUCCUUAUUGGCUCCUAGCUCCCAGGCACCUGACCUAUCUCCACGUACGGCAAGCAAGUCUUACUCACUAGAAGUUCGGGGACGCUUCGCUAGGUACUCAGAAUUUCACCACUAAAUCAAAGCCUGAAACAAGGUAGUUAAAGAAUCAAACUAGUAAAUCAAAGAAUCAGACACCUAUCCCCAUAAGUACUGAAGUCCUGAAUUGCUAUCCCUAGUUGCAUCUGUGUUUGUUGGGUCAAGAAAAAGUAAGCAGUUAGAGCGGAGCCAGUAGGAAUUGGUAGCGCAUUCCAUUCUUUUAUAGCAGACUUAGAGUUAGAGCACCAGUGCCUGUGAGAAAGUUAGGAAAGGGAGCUGCUCUAGUUUCAUCUCGAGCACCGAACCUAUCUCCACGACAAGAAAGUUAGGAACUGCUAGUAUACUUUCAAGAUCCCGAUAAACCUCUGCUUUAAGCGCCUACCUAAUUCACUUCAUGGUUGCCUACCUAAUCAAGUCUCAAGUAAGCUCCCCGCUAGGCUAGCUAAGAUAACAAAGGUCGAGUAUCGGUCUCAGAGCCGGAAGAGGGCAACAUAUGGUAUAGAACCCAAAGUAAAGAUACUGAACACACAGGAACUUCCUCACCAGCUCCACUAUCUUAUGUCGGAUACAUAUCUCUCAGUUGCUUCAUCUACUGAUCUCGUUUACAAAACCAUAACUUCGGAUUCAGUUGCUGGUUCAGAGGAUCUGAUUGCCCUCACUCCCGGUGUCAUAUAUGGAAGCUACUCUCUGGGUUUGUUUACAGCCAGCCCGAUCCUUAUACUUACAUAGCUCUGGUACUUACAUAGCUUGUUGCUUCUAUAACUCUACUUCAGGAUCAUGCUACAGGUGCUAAGAGGUCUUACCUACCACAACUCGGUUAAGGGACAGCUGUCAAAUAAUCCAUCCACAGAGUCCUCUCUUAUUACCACCUUUUCUAUACUAAACACUGCAUCCCUUCCGCCAAACUCACUAUAUCCUCCCUCUUUUGGUAGGCAUUCAUCAAAAGAAAGAGUCGAUUCGAGAUACGAGAUUAUUCCCGUAAGCCAAACACUUAAGAAGAAAUCUCCGCUUUAGAUAUUCCCUUACAAGAGCAAGCCAAUCACCGACACCGGACCUAUAAAUUCCUCACACUGCUUCAUCUUCUGAUCCAGAAACAGUUGAUUGAGAGUCGACAAUCACUUUCAUUGCUAGAGCGAGACAAUCAGUCCUUUCUGCUGCCGACAAGCGUUACUUACUUUCAACAACACCUUUACUUGGUUGGGCAUUCGAAAAGAUCAGAUAUAGUCGACUUUCCUCUAACUCCACCUCAACUUGAAACAAAGAAUUAUGAAAAUCCAACCAGAACUGGAACUGUUACAGACUUUCAAGCUUAGUUUGGGGAAUCUGAAAGGGAAGGUUUGAAGCACCUUACUCACUUCUAUCAUUGGUGCUCAAUAAGAAAGUGACUCACUUCUAUCAUUGGUGCUCAAUAAGAAAGUAUUGACUCGGAACAAGAAUAGAAAGAUUCAAUAAAAGGUGGACUUGAUUCGGCGUAAGAAAGAACGGUUUUUGUCUUUCUUUUUGUCAUCGGGCUGUAGUUUAGUUCCAGUCUGAAGCGUUAGGAAGUUGAUAACAAAGUAUAGAUUCAUGGCUAAAAUGCACCAGAGGGACCCUUUCUUAGUGGGAAAUAACAUUUCCAUUAGCUAUUAAGAACAUAGGUGAAAUGACGCUUAAGAAGCCUUCUAAAGCAUAAAGCAUAUUCCUGAAGUAUAGUAUCCACCAUCAAGCGCUUCUUUACUUCAAGUAGAGUUAGGGUCGGGUAGGGAAAAGAUAGUAAUUAAUAACAGAGGCCGGCAAGCAAGGGAACCAUCAAGGGAAGCAGUGUUCUUAAUAAGAAUCAAGGUAAGCAGUUUAGGAGGUAGGCCAGAGAACCAGUUAGAGCCGAGCCAGUAGUUUAGAGUUGAGGUCGGGUCAGGAAGCUGUUUCAUCUGUAGGCGUAGUGGUGAAGUUGCAUCUGUAUUAGUUGACUCCGGUGUAUUAGUUGACUCAGGUAGAUGAGCCAUAGGGUAAAGAUGUUAGGAAGAAAUUGACUUAUACAGCCGAGAAGUGGAUGAAAUAGGGAAUUGUCUUGUUCCAGUGAUCCAGUAGCGUUACAGUUCAAGUUAGAGUGGAAUACCGGUAGUACUAUAGCGUAAAGGUCUAGGUCAUCUGCUUGUGUUCAGCAAGUAGUAAAUAGAUAAGUAGUUGCUAAGUAGUAGGCUUGGCGGCUCGGGUAGUUACUUGGCGAGUAGAUAAUUUCUUCUAUCUUUAUUAAGGAAACCGGAACUCUGAAUUCCAAUACUCAGCGCUUAUUGUAAGUUCAGCUCAGUGACUUUGUCUCCGUGUAGGGCAGUUUCGAGUGUCAAUUCCCAUUCUUAAAUAAGAUAAGAUAGGCCAAGAAACAGUACUAGAGCAAGAAAGCUGAAUGGAAUUAGCUGACUACGGAGACGAACAGAGGUUUAGGAGCAAUAAGUAUAUUUGUUUACAGAGCCAGAGAUGAGCCUCAUGCAGCAAGUAGGAAUUAAGUUAGAUAAGGUAGAGACACCCUCAUAAGUAGAAAUUACUGAAUUGAACCACAAGUAGAAGAAUGCAGUUAAUAGUUGACAGUUGCCAUAGGUAGAGGAGAGGAGCCUAAUUCAGUUAUUAGUGGACAGCUUUGCUUGUUGAAAUCAGUAUUUGUUUACAGAGGAUUGGUAUAGUUGACAGCUGCUGGGCUAGUUUAAUUACUUGCUUGGCGAGUGGAAUUACUUGUUUGAUUCCAAUACAAGGGAGUAGGGCUUGUUGAAGUCUUUUACUAGUUAUUCAGUCAGUUAGUAGUUAUGAACUCAGUUGGCAAGUAGGGAGAAUGUCCUGUUCCUUUACUUGUAUAGUAGGGAGAAUGUCCUGUUCCUUUACUUGUAUAGUCGUUGCUUGGCCCGAUGUCACUACUUAGCAUCUGUAACUCCGGUAGGGAACUUGCUCUGUUACUCAGGUAGGGAAAGAUACUUAUUGAACUAACGCAGUUACUUAGCCCCCUUUAUGAAUUUACUUACGUAAUAUAAGUAAGGCAACCGGAACUGGCCUUAACCUUGUUUGUCCUACUUUUGGUGUUCAUGGUGGCAGGGCAGGGAAAUCAGAUCCUCAUGGCACACUACUUUAUGCUCUUGUUGUUGGCAAAGGUGAGGAAGCCGGGUUGACAGUUCCAGUUCUCAAGUAAGGGUAAGGUUCUGUAGUUCCUAGUUGUGAGUUAGAGUGUAAGACCGGUUAGUAUAAUAUUAAGAGAACUCAGUAGUCAAAGAGCCAGUAGUUGUAGUCCCGGGGAUAAGAGAUAUGGUAUAAGAGAUAUGGUAUAAGAGAUAUAGGAGCUAGUAGCCGAGGUUCACUCAUCGGUCAGAAUUGCACUCUGUAGUCAAAGCGCAUCUAGUAGAAGAGGGUUACUUCGCUCUCCGCUCUAAUCUGAGUCUUAUACUUGUCUGAUUGGUCCCUAGUUUCAUCAGUAGUAGUAGAGAGGUGAGCUAUUGGGUAUAAGCCUUAAGUCAGUGGUCCUGUGUUCGGGUACUCAGACUGGUGCUUAGGUAUUGCAGGCUGAAGCUGGGUAGCUAAGGUCUCUACCUAGUGCUGCUAGUUAUUGGUAUGUUGCUGGGCAGACUGAAAGCAAGGAGAGCUAGCUCCGACUUAAACCAGUGAGUUACAGACUGAUGCGGGGCAUAGCAAGAAUGAGAGGAAGUAGUUACAGAAUAGACCUAUAGGGCGAGCAAGACUCAAACCAGUGCCCACUCAGAGCCAACCCACUAACAACCAGAAUCAAACUAGCAACUAUCAGAAUGGAACUCCUAAGUAACAGUCACUUACCACAGCCCCGAUGCCUAGGUAUAAGAUCCGAAUUGAACUCAUAGGUGAGCUAGUAGGAGCUACCUAGUACUAAGAUCAGAAUUCCACUCAGAGGUCAGCUAUUUGGGAAGUUAGAAUUGAACCACUAACAACUACUAGGCCAGCAUCUAGGGCAACUACUUAGAGGUGAGAAUACAAGUCAGUAGUGCAAGUUAGAAUUGAACUAAGGAGUCCAAGCCUGAGCAGAGGGAGCUCGCUAAACUCAGACUGAAACCAGUGUGCGAGUAAGACUUAUGCUCGGGAGUUACAGAAUUGAACUAGUUGUCGACUUAGCGGGGUGCUCUUACUCUUGGGGCGGGCUUUCCCUUGUAAUAUAGUUAGGGUCGGGGUUCCUAUUGCCUAUCAAACAAAUAGAGCCUUGUCUCACUCCUAUACGAGUGGUAGGCUUGUUUACUGACUUGGCCCCUACUAAAUUCUAUAUUAUCUUAUUAAGGAUAAUGUUUAGAGAAAGAGUUAAGUGCGAACAAGUAAAGGAAGGAGAGUAGAGGUUGUAAAAGGUGAGGAAGCAGUCCUUUGUUCACCGGUAUGAGUAACAAAUCUAUAGAAAAUUCUCUGAUAAUUAAGUGCCAGGAAAGUCAAGUUCUAGGGCAUAGGAAGGAUCUUAAGCUGUUCGGUAUCUUGGUCUUGGCACAGGUUAGAGGUCAGCAGCAAGCGAGAAGGUAAGGUAAGUGAAUCCAGAGUAUCAAUAAGCUCAAAGUGGGUGUUGCGCUUAAGUAUCAAGUUCAAGUAAGUCAGCAACCCGAUUACUAACGCUAAAAACAGGACUUGCUCCAGGCGAUGAAGGGAUGGUUUACCUUUCUUGUCUUAGAAAGAGAGAAUCUUAUGGAUCCGUAUCUGUUGUAAAAGAAGGAUCAGUUGCAGUAUCAAGAGCAAAUAAGUCCAUUUGAAUAGAGGAUCUGGACCAUAAGUGGUGAGAUCCGUUCUUGUCUCUAAGGAGAGUAAGGAGCUGCCCUGCCCGUUCUUAGUAGUGUUACGUUCGAGCAUUGUUUGCAAAAGAGGUUUUUGGCAACUUAGACUUCAAUCCUAUAGAUGGGUUGGUUGGUGGCUUCAACCAGUACCCAGCAAGCCUUAAAGCGAGGGCAGCUAGUAAGGAACACAGAAUUCACCAAUAAUCAAGAAUAAGGGAUCUACUAACCGGUCUGCUUCUCUGCAUCCCUAUUAAACCAGUAAGUCCAAGAAUGAGCCAAGGUAAGGAAAGUAUUAAUUGACCCGCCCCAGUGACAGUGAGAAAGUGGGGUUAUGAGAGGCAGUCUCGGGAUACAAUUCCAUACCAGAGUAGAGGUACGCAAGGGAAGAAAGAGAAUCCGGGUUGGUAGUAUAAGUAGGGCGCUACUCUUUGAGUCUAGAUGAAAUUAGUAGUUGCCAGCAGCAAAGCAAGUGGAAUGAUUUGUUUCAAGGGGAGUUUCAUCUGGUCUGGGUGUUGAAAGGAGAGUUGAGAGUUGUAAGGUAGUUACAGAAUGCAACCACUGCCACUGAUUCCUGUACUGAUGUUAGUGGUAUUGAUUCUCUGAUGAGCUAGUAUUGGUAUGUAGCUAGUAAGCCCUAAGUUCACAAGUGAGAAUUCCCCCCUUAUUAUAAUCCGACUGAUUCUUUCACUCCGCAGUCAAAGAAAGAAACUAGUAAGUAUAAGACCUCAACCGGUGAGUAUAAGCCUGAAACCAAACCAGUAACGACCAGGCUAUAAACCUAGCAACCAGAACCAGUGAACUAACAACAAGACUUCAACUCAGAGGUGAGCUAGUCGGAAAGGUAUUAAUUGCCUGCUUGCUGCUAGGUAAGCUAGUAGUUAAGUUAGAAUGAAACCCAUAAGUCACAGUCUUCACAGGCCCGCUACUUAUUAAGGCUUGCCCGCAUCUGAAGUAAGAAUCAAACUAGUCAGAUAAAGGCUAAGGACUGAACUCAGUAGUUACAGAAUGACACAGGAGACCAUCCAGGAGUGCUAGCUUUGAUGCCCUGUCAAAGGAAUGAAUCUAGUUUACUUACCGCCAAGAGGGAGAGGUGAGCUAGUAGGCAAGUAAAAGACAAACUAACACACUAGAAUAAGGAAUGGAAGAAUUGCCCUCUUGUUUAAGAAAGUCAACUCGAAUUGCCUGGCCUGAUUCCGAUUGCCUAACACCGAGAGAAUAUCCUUCUUAAGCUCUUGUUAGCGGUGCGACUUACUAUUUCGUAUCAAGAAGAAGAGAAUCAGCUGUUUCCAGAGCUGGAUCUAAAGAAAAGAAUGAAGCAGUAGGCGAACUAUGAUUCUGCUUCAACAAGACUAAGUGCGCUAACUGGUUACUUUCCGGGCGAAGGAGUGUACUCUUACUUAAACCUAUACUAUAGUCACUAUCUAGAUUCAAUUAGUAAACUCCCCAGAGUAACUAUCUAGAUUCAAUUAGUAAACAAUCGGAUUCUCUCUCUCUCUCUGGGUUACUUGAAUAUUGAUUUGUUACUGCGCCAACAACACCUUUCCUUUCUACCUCAGCUGUAUAGAUUAGUAUUAGAUUGGAUUUCUUUAUACGAUGAAAGUCAACUUGCAGUUCUGAACCGCCAACACCGAGAUCCUCUACAUCUCUUACCUCUUGCUCCGAGACCUUAGUCAACAACUACUGAUUCCACAGCUGACCUUGCAAGACCCAACAAAGACAGAUUCAAAAAGCAAGUAAGUCAACUAAGUAAACCAGCCUAUCCCUUAACUACCCUAACAAGUAUUUCGUACCUGCCCGACCCUAACUCUCCUCCCUGCCUCCACUGCCUCUGGUAAAGCACCGAAGACUGACUAUAAGGGCCUCGACACUGAUUUCAUUGCCCAUUGCCUGGGAAACUCAUUAACUUCCCGCAAUGCCUCUUUCUUCUUCAAAUCCUGAGAAGAACAUUCCCACUUUUCUUCUAUCUUAUAUAUAAUAGAACUCAAUUUGUUUACAGAGCAGAGGUCGAGUCAACCACUUUCUUUCUCUAUUAGCUAUCCAAAAUACCGGUGAAAUGAAUUGUAGCCCGAGUUAGAUUCGCUAGUUUACAGAGUUAGAUGAGAUGGAGGCAAGAACAGAAUUGAUAUUAAUAAAUCAAGAAAGAAAUCAAUAAAUCAAGAAAUCAGGGGUGGUGGACAGCCUUUCCAUAGUAGUGGUCGGCCAGAGGUUGCUAACUAAACUAACUCAACUGAUUGUCAGAGCGCUUCAACGCCGUUAGUAUACGCUUGGCCCCGGUAGUAGUAGUUCUGGGAUCAAUAGUACUUAUAGCUUCCUCCCCUAUCGCUACUAAUACUGUUAUGGCUCUGUUACUACUUAGUCCAACAAAGACAUCUGACUUUCUCACUGGAACUGGCUAUUCUCCAAUUCACCUUGCUUCAAAGUCCAAUAAUUAUGCAAUCUUUCUCUUUACGCGCGGAUCAAUUGAACUGUCAACUUUCUACCUAUCGGGGUAAACUCUCAACUCCUAACUCAGGUGCCAGGUGCCAGAGUAGAAGACCAGUAAAGUAUGGGUCAAGGUAUAAACAAAAAAAGCACUAAAACAUAACAGUAGUGGUUGGAUGGUCAAUCCUUCUAAAAAAAGCACAGAUGAGCGGUCCUGCCCUGCUCUGCGGCCUACCUCUCUUAUUGAUUACUUAACUAUACUUUACUAGCUUCCUGCCUACAUGGAACUGGAUUGAUUUCUUUCUUUCGAUCUUAGGAACAGCGCUACCGCGCCCCUCGAAAAGUGGCUUGGUGGAUUGAUUUCUUUAUAAAUAAUAAUAAUAAGAUUCCUUUAGCCCGAGAUACCCGCGAGAGUUGCUUAGGGAAGUGUGGUUCAAUUGUAUAGGUUCGUUGCCAGUAAGUUAUAUCCUAAUUAUGAUAUAGUAAGAUCAAUACUGAAUUUAGUAGUGGGCCAAGUAACUACUAAUGUGUAGCGGCAGGGCUGCCUUCCUUAUUGUUUACCCCUCGCCCACCUCUCUUCUAAAGUCACUGCUUUUCUUGUCUGAAACUGACAAGAAGGCCUCUACAAAAGCUUCGUUUCAUGCCUUUCGUACAAUCAGUAGGAUUUCGUAAGUCAACCAAGAACUAAGUAAGUCAACCUACCUACCCGAGCCUCAAAGAUGGUACUCUCUUUUUACUACCCAAGUAAGUUAACUACCCAUACGAGUAUGUCAACUACCCGAGCAAGUAAUAGAAUGAAACAAGGCUCUAUUAGUUUGAUAGGCAAAAAGGAAUGAUUUCGAAUCAGUAUAUGUUUUUAGGUAGAUGAGAUGAGCCAAUAGUAUACAAGCCAUCAAUUGUUAGUAAAGAUGAAAUUGUAUCCCCUAGACCUGGACUGGACCUAUACCUCGCAUCAAAGCGAGUAAGAUAGUCUGCAACUUACAAUAAGGUCCUCUUGACUAUCUGAUUGCCCAAACUCGUAUUAAGACUUAACGACUUAACGAGCAGUACCACGGCUGUUGGGGGUCGGAAUAGAGCUAGUUCAACUAAGAGAAGGAAUUAGCUAAGGUAGUUUAAGAACGAAACGGUAGGUGGCAUGGCAGGCUGAUGCGGUGUACUACUAUGCUAGGUAUUUGUAUGUAGCUAGGCAGACUGAUCUGUUAGGUACUCAGACUGAAACCACUGUUCGGGGCUAUGGAACCAGUGAAGUUGCAAGUCACAUCCGUUCACCUAUAUAAAGAGAUUAUAGAAUGAAGUAGGCUUUCCUCUACUGUGUCAGUAGUGUGUUAGUAUAUGAUAGAGAUGUCGACUUAUCUUCUUGAUUUAGUAAUUCUUAAGGUGUUAAGUCUACUCUAUUCAUUAGAAAGAAACUAUUCGCUUGCCCCCGAACCAGCAUCUUAGCACCUGACUAGACAUAUAAUAAGUGCCCGACCCGACCUCUCUAGCCCGAACGCAACUUAUCUUGCCGACCUCAGUUAUUGAUUACUUGACUAGCAGCCUCGCCUCUGGUAAAGCACCGAACCCGCCUAUCCUCUUGCUACUAGCUAAUCUCUUACCUAUCCCUCUGAUCUUGCUCUUUCACUCAGGUUCUCUUUCUCUAUUUACUACCUACCCCGGACAGGUGAACAAAGGACUUGAGCAACACAAUCAUCUCCUUAUACUUUAACACCCGAAACCAGACUAGCUUCUAAUCAGUACUUAUGAGUCCAGAGUUCACCUUUCUUUUAUGCCCUGGCUUCCCUUAUCUUGAUUCUCUUGCACCGCACCUCUUGCCCCAACUAACUCGUAUACCCUAAACAAUAAGGCAACACCGAGCCAGGUAGUAGGAAUCUCUUGGGGGGCGAGUAACGUCUAGAACAGCAUCUUUUCUCUUGACCAACUAACCUAGUAGCCGGUUAUCUUUCCACUACAAACCUAGUAGCCGGUUAUCUUUCCACUAAGAAUGGAGUUUUCUACUUUCUAGCUAAAUCCUCUGAUGAAACGGGACUACUGCUUCCAACUGAUUUCAGGUCUUCAACUCACACUCGAGCAGGACUACCUGGGCUACCACUACUGGGGAUGCAACAAGAACAGAAGCAGUACUAAAUGACACAAGGGAUUCUACUGGGCCAGGCCAAUCCACUACUACAGCGGCAGGAGCUCUUUCUCCGAUCAUCUAUAAUAAGAUAAGAUAAGGAAGGGGCCAAGUCACUACUUUUGAGACUUUCACUCAGAACCAAGAGUUAUAGGAUCGGGCCAACUAACUACUAGACAAGUAACAACUAGAGCAAGAAAGAAGAAUUCCUAAUUCCGAUCUGAGUAGUAGUAAUAGGUAUACCUAAGGUUUCUGGUCAUAGGCUUACGCUGAUAGCAAAUGUAGAAUUCUAAGAAUCAGGUUAAUAAUGCACUAUUUCUCAUCGCCAAGACACUGCUAAUGACCGGCAAGACACUGCUAACUCCCUUUCCUAACUUUCUCACAGGAACAGGCAAUUCCCCAGCUGAUUCAUUCUCAUCGCCAACAACUAGAGCAGCUCUGGCUCUGUAAACUCAUACUGAUGAAACUCAGAAUGAAACUCGCUACUCUCAACUAAACUUUCUACUUUACCUCGAACUACCCCCUACGCUGCACCCCUAAUAGCUAGACAAACAUACUCUCGACAAAUCAUUCCACUAGCUACUCCGACUCCUGGGGUUGAUACAACUGGUUCCCCACACUUAAGAAUGAAG